rnacentral:lncRNA from 1 species
UUUGUUUGGCGCUACACUGAAGUUGCCGGCAAAGUUCUGAAGCACCAUAUCUUCUGUGAACAAGAUAGUACAGUGUCUUGCAAUAUUUACACAAAAAGUGGGAAAAAAAAAGUCCAGCCUAUUGUUUGUUGGCUAUUCUUAGAUGAGAAAGUUUUGGAUCCUGAACUGAUUUUAUUGAGCAGCUGCUAAACCAGAUAAAUAUCUAAUAUCAGAGUGAAAAGAAGAUAUUAUAAUGGAGAUCCCCUCCAGCAGUAACGCCAAUUGCUUUGAUUUUGCUUCUUAUGAUUAUCUGCAGUCGCAUCUCGUCUCCUCCAGCACUAGCACUAGUUGCUUUGAUCUUGCUUUAGAUACUCUAGCCGAGCUUGAAAAAGAGCCCUACUAUGGCUGGUACUUCAAGUACCUGAAGGAGAAGGCAAGAUUAAUGAAAACCUGUUUUCUGUAUGUCAAAAAGUGUAGGAGGAGGAGGAACCACGAAGCGCUUUUGGAGCCCGAUCGCGAGGACAGGUGUAAUAUUAUGUCUGAAAAUUUGAGACGUAGUAUUAUUUGCUUCAGAAUUCAAGAAGUGGCUAUCAGGAUGAUUCAUGAUCUUCAGCCUGCUUAUUUUCAAUAUAUUCAUUCUGGUCGUUACUUAGAUCAUGCCAACAUUGAAAGUGCGAUUACCAGAUCCAAGGAAAAGAUCAAAAUGUUUCUUGAGACGGAUCUCAAGAAAUCAUGCGCCGCCAUCUUCAUUGACUAUUACGCACCGGGAGAUCCACGACUAGUUAUGGAUCUUAUUAUGUGCCUUUUAGAGACUCUGGAUACAAUUAGAAAUAGGCUAAAACUCUUAAGGAAUCUCAUUGACUUUGUGACAAUGCAAGGUUUUGAAUGUUCGCAACUGACAGAUCUCUUGACUUACACUGUAGUUGCAGCUGGACGCCUGAUUUCUGUAUGUCUGUUUUACCAUGAUGAACAAGUGGCCAAUCGAUUGGAAUCUGAAAUUUAUAAGCUGAUACACGAGAAGAUCAAUCUUUUUGAUCUCCAAGUCCGAGAAACUUUUGUCCAUGUCCUGACAGCUUCAAAGAAACAACCGAGACCAUCAUAUGCUUUUGCCCUUCAGAAGAAUGAGGAUCAUGUGGUAGGCCAGUUUGUUGGUUCUCUCCGUGAUUAUCUUAUAGAUCUACUAGGAUCUUAUGCCAGUUUUCAGGUUCCAGUGAAGGAUCAAAUACUCAGACUCCAUGAGGAAAUAAGAUGCCUGGGUAUCCUUCUUAAACAGGAGGAGAAACUAGCUGAUGAAAUGAAGGAUCUUAUUGGAGCUGUGGUCUCUGAUGCAGCAAUUUUGACCUUCUCCCUUUCUGUCAAUGAAAUCAAAGAAGGCUUGCCUAAGGAAAUAGAUCUUGCGGUGUUUCAUUUGCACAAAGUUCUCAAAUAUAUGGUGGCAGAGGUUGCACACAAUUAUCCACUAAAAUCACCAUAUUCAUCAUCCUAGACCCAAUGAGUUGGGCUGUAUGGAUUCUUUCCUAGAAAAUCUCAAGGAACUAGCAAGGUGUGAUGAGGCUGACGAUUCAAUUGGUUUUCAACAGGAUAGAAUCCAAAUGAUCCAAAAAGAUCUCGUAAUUUUAAGAUCUUUCCUGAAAAAUAUCAAGGAGCAGCGCCAUCAGAAUGGAAAACUUCAAGCUUUCUGGAGUCAUGUUAUGGAAGCUGCUUACAAGGCAGAGUUACUGAUUGACUUGGCACUUGUUGGUGAUAAAUGUGAAGAUUCUUUGGAUGCUGUUUCUAGAGAUAUCAAUCUUUUGAAGAUUGAUGCCCCUGAGAUCCAUAAUGGUCAAACCCAAAGAGUUAACAAGACUUCCCUUCAAAUACCAUCACAACUUGCUGCCGCCAUGCACGACGAAGAUCUGGUAGGUCUUGACGAUGAGGUGGAAACUCUUAGUCAUCGGCUUACGAGAGGAUCAAAGCAAUUGGAUGUUGUUCCCAUUGUGGGUAUGCCAGGCCUUGGUAAGACCACAUUAGCCAAUAAAGUUUAUAAUGCUCCUUCAGUUAGGUCACAUUUCCAUGUUCGUCGUUGGUGUCGUGUUUCUCAAACAUAUAGCAUACGCAGUUUGUUAGUUGAGCUUUUGUGUAGUAGUUCUUCUGAGAGUUCUGAUGAAUAUCAUAAGAUGGAUGAAAAUGAUUUGGCCAUGAAGCUAAGGCAGGUUUUGCUGAGAAGUAGGUAUCUCCUUUUUUUGGAUGACUUGUGGGACGUUGAGGCAUGGAAUUUGUUGAAAAAAUCACUGCCGAAUGAUGCCAAUGGAAGCAGAAUUCUCUUCACCAGCAGAUGCCAGGAUUUAUCUUUGCAUUUCGAACCUAAUAGCGAGCCUCACCAUCUCCGUCAUCUUACUGACGAAGAGAGUUGGACAUUGCUGCAGAGAAAGCUAUUUGGCACGGAAGAUUGUCCUGCAGCACUAAGUGAAGUUGGAUCUCAAAUAGCAAAACUUUGUCGGGGCUUACCCCUUGCAGUUGUCCUUGUUGCUGGAAUUCUUGCUACUACUGCAAAAGAUAGGUGGGAAGAAGUUGCAAAAAGUCUAAGUUCUAUUGUCCUUGGGGAUGAAUACUGCAUGAAGACACUUGAGCUGAGUUAUAGUCAUUUACCAGAUUAUUUGAAGCCAUGCCUUCUGUACUUUGCUGCAUUUAAAGAAGAUGAGGUUAUUAAUGUGCGAAGGUUGUUACGGCUUUGGAUCUCUGAAAGAUUCGUGCAACAGGCUGAAGGAAAGAGAGUAGAGGAAGCAGCUCAUGACUACUUUGUGGCUCUAGUUAAUAGAAGUUUAGUUAAGGGUGUCGGACAAAGAACUGUGGGUGGUGCCAAAGCCUGUCUACUUCAUGAUUUGGUACACGAGUUUUGUGUGAAAAAAGCCAAAGAAGAAAGUUUUCUAUAUGAUGUUCAUACUUGGAACCCUCUUGGGCUUACUGGACCAAGCAACCCCCACCGAGUUUGUGUCCGCAAUACCAGAGAAUUGAAGAUUUGGGAGUUAACGCUUAUAUUUCCCAAUUUACGCUCUUUGAUCUUGUUUAGACAAGAUUAUUUUAAACAUGAAGAGGAGGAUUUGGGUAUUUUGUUACCUAAACUUCUCAGAGUGUUGGAUUUUCGGAGUUUGCACUUUCGUUACAAUUCUUUCCCAAUCGAAGUAGUAUUGCUUGUUCACUUGAGGUACCUGGCGCUCAAAGGAGUAACAUACAUCCCAUCUGCGAUAGCCAACCUCUUAAGGUUAGAAACUCUUAUCGUAGAUUAUCCGAGUUUGGGUAUUGAGCUGCCAAGUACUAUUUGGAACAUUAAGACAUUGAGUCAUCUACUUGUUAUAAAUUAUCAUGGAGUAUGGCGAAGGGGUUUUAUUUUUCCAGUUGAAAAUCUUGAAGUAUCCCCAGAUUUAGAUCGUUUGGACACUUUAAACCUUGCAGUUGAUCCCUCUCCUCAAAGCUUGCAAAAGAUACUGAGAAAGUUACCAAGCAUUCGCAGGUUAAAAUGUAUGGAACACCGGGGCGGAUCAAGAGAAGCUACCAGAAAUUGCAACGAGAUUCUUGAGUUUGACAGUUUGAGUCAACUGGAAUCACUUUAUUUGUAUGGUUUUCACGGAUGUGGAUUCAAAUUCCCAUUGAAUUUGAAAAAGUUGACUCUCUCAUAUAAUGCUCAGCCAUGGAGUGAAAUUUCAACAAUUGGAAAGUUGCCCAAUCUUGAAGUGCUUAAAUUACUUGAUCACAGCUUUCCCUAACCUCCGAGUCUUAAAAUUGUCAAGGUUGAAAUUUCGCAACUGGACUGCAUUUUCUGAUAAUUUUUCCCGCCUUGUGAAAUUGGUCUUGCACCGAUGUAAGGAGCUGGAAAAGGUCCCUUCCUGUUUAGGGGAGUGUGAGACUCUUGAAAUGAUUGUGGUGGAAAAUUGUCCUGAGUCUGUUGUAGAUUCUGUAAAGCAAAUUCAACAAGAGCAGAUGGACAUGGGAAAUGAGGUUCUAAAGAUCGAAAUUCAUUCCAUUCCUUAGAAGAAGAGUCUAAAGAAGCAGAGUCAAUUCCCUCAGAAGCAGAGGAGGUUUCUUCAGAAAGAGAGUCUGUAUCCUCUCAUCACGCAGUUGGCAAUUGUGAGAGUGAAUGUACAGUGGGAUUCCACUCAUCAGGUCAGAUAAAACUAUAUUUGCAUAUGUUGAAUCAGUUCAAUUAUAUAAUGAUUCAUGCUUCUCUUAACAGUUUACGACGGCAAACCAUUCAUGUCUCUUUUUCAUUUGUUUAUAUGUUGAAUCAGUCCAAUGAUGUGUUAAUUCAUGUGUAUUUUGAAGCAAUUUCUGCUGCAUAACUUUCUGAUAAAUUUCUGAUUGAUGCACAAUCUGUUUCUAAAAUCUGCUUCUUGUCAUUUUCUCGUUCAGUGUUGAGUAAUUUUUAUGUCCCAAUUUCCGAAAUCUUCUUCCUUGUUGCUACAUAACCAGAUACACUUAUCUGUUCCCAAUUUGUGCAUGUAAAUAAGAGUAAUACAGAAAAGUGUGACUUACUUCUAGUUUUCCUCAAUAAAAACCAUAAUUCAAUUGACUGAUAUGUUGAAACCUACAAUCACAGUUUUGCAACAAAUAUUAAGUGGAGACCAAAACCCAAAAAAAAAAAACAACAAACUAUGGUUGUGUUACUUUUCAACAGAGGAAGGGCAUAGGACUUAAUAUGUGUUUUUCUUCACUACAACAUGCUGAAAUACAAACAUUUUCAUUCUUUAAUAGGCAAUAUUUUCGGAAAUAAAAAAGGAAGCAAUUUUUUCUUAAACUUUUUUUGUGUGUGGUUUCAUGUUUUAUUUUGCUAUUUUAAGUGGUUAAUUGCUCAAACUUAUCAAAAUGACAAUCAAAGAAACCAGAUGACCUAUUUUGUCGGGUAAUCUGUAUACCUCUUCAUUCAACUGAUGUACUGCAAUUUUUCCUUCUUCCAGAGCAGGUUUCCUCAGAAGGUGAAGACUGAAACAUUUAUGUCUCUCCUUGAUUUGGUGUGGUCAUUCCUUCCACUCAUCAGGUUAGAUAUAAUUGUAUGUGUAUGUUAAUUCAGUUCAAUGACAUAUAAUUACUGAUCAUGUCCCUUCUUCAUCUGUACCAAAUUAUUUGGUUUGAACUUUGAUGCAGCUGCAUUACUUUGUCAUUGCAGGGGCAAGCACAGUCAUGCAUUCUAUCAAGCCAACAUUAUCCAUCAUAAUCUGUUUGUAAAAUGUUCUCCAUGUUCUUUUCUGGUUUGAUGUUUAAUAGUGUUUAUGAUCCAUCACAAUCUUGUUUGUAAAAUAUUCUCCAAGUUCUUUUCUGAUUUGAUGUUUAAUAGUGUUCUUGAUCCCAAUUCUUCAAACAUUCUCAUUGCUAUAUAGUAGCCACUCGCAUUUCUUUGCAUUCUUCAACUUAGCAAAAGUCUAAAGGGUGUAACUUUACUUAAACUUUUUCUAUGCUAUUUCAUCUUUUAUUUUCUGAUCACUGUGAUUAAUUGUUCAAUGUUCAACCUGGUAAAAUUGACAAAUUAAAGAAGCUGAAUGACAUUUUUGCUGAACAAUCUAUGUACUUCUUCAUUUAACUUGACAUCUAAUUGUGAUAUUCUAUACCAUGUAACUUAUUUAAUACAAGAAUAUUUAAAAAAUAGAGAAAACCAUUACAUUGACGAUCAUUUAAGACCAAUAUUAACGUUGAUGAGAAACCAUUACAUGAAAAAAAAAAAUAUAUUUUUUUUGGUUGCUAUGACUUAUGAGGCUAAAAAGUACAGAAUGCUGACUUUAACUUUCUUCUAUCCAAAUGAUUGUAAUCCAAAAUUCCAAAUAUCAUUUCCUCCGCUUUAUUUUUCAACUUUCUUUCUUUCUUUGGGCCUUUGUUUCAUUUUUGUUUUUCGGAAUUUGGGCUGUAGCUUACUGGGUAUAUAUAUUAUUUCUUCUGGUUUAUUUUUUUUCCUUAUUUUUCUUUUUUCCCCUUUCUUGGGUUCCCUAAAAGAAACCUACAUAACUAACAACCAUUGUAUUAAAAAACUAAAUUUAUUAAUUUACAUACACAUGUAUAGAUGCAGUUUACAAACUCACGGAGUCCUCAUGGAUGGACCGCUACUGAAGCAUCACAAAACAUAAUUAGUUCUUUUAAUACCCAUUUAAUUACUCUAUCAAAUCUCGUCCCAAUGAUCAAGAAAGGGUUCUUAGAUUCUUUUUCAUACCAAGUUCAAGGUUUGAAUUAUGUACCUGACAAUUGGAGUUAAAAAGCAGUUCGAAUUAUGUACUUGACAGUAGAGAGUAAAAUGCAUAUGAGAAGGGAUGGGAGGAUUACAAAAAAAAAAUGGAAGAGUCUCCUCUUGUCUAUAUACAAUAGUGUCCCUCUAUGUGGCUUGUAUAAUUGACUAGACAGCAAAGGCAAGACUUCUAAUGAUCAAAUCACUCUACGUUAACCUAGGUUUAUUCCACUUGCACCUUUAAAGUUCUUUCUAUUUUCACUUUGCUUAAUAUUAGUUACAAAACUUUACAUCUUAUCUUUCAAAACAAAUUCUAAAUCUUACAAAGGGCUUAAAAUUGAAUGAAAAACCUUAUAUUCACCUUUUUUUUUUUGUCAAAUAUUCACCUAGUUAAUACUGCUCUAAGUUGAACUAGGGCAUGAGAGCACAAUCUACUAUUGUUAAUGCCAUGCAUCCAAGGGGUGCUGAGCGGGGCUGUGUUUUGAAAGUUUUAAUUCACAGUGUGUAAAUAUGGGUGUGAAACAGAGUUAGCCCCCUAAUUGAUUGAAUUGAUGGUUCAGAUGUUUGAACUGAUAAAGUCAAUACCAAUCACUCAUUUUGUUCAUCACUGGUCCACCUUUCAAAAUAUUUUUAACUGCUAAAGUUGUUCAAAAAGUUGAAUACUUUGAAAAAAAAAAAAAUCCUAUCUGAAGUUUCUAGUAAUAUCAUUUACCACCCCUAUUGUUCUAAAAGUAUCACUUACCUUCCCUACAAGUGAUGUGGCAAAAAUUCACUAUCGCAGCAUGCAAAGUGAAAGUAUUACCCUCACAACUUAAGAUUAUUUGUUCUAAAAGAUUUUGAAGGAAAAAUAAAUAAAUUGAUAAAUUAGAAUAUCUAUCUUAACAAUUUUUGGCACUUAAACCUUCAUACUUUUUUAGUCCUUCUAUGCCACCCAUAUAUUACAUUGUCCUCAAUAUUCUAAUAAUAAUUUAGACAAAAAAUGUAAAAAAAAAAACUUAGAUCAAUAAAGAUAAUUCCCAUUUAGGAGUUAAUUUUGCACUUAAACCCCCUUCCAACACUCCAAUUUUUUUUUAAAGUCCUUCUAUACCAACUUUAUAUUAGAAUACCCUCCCUACUCUAACAAUUAUUCGAAAAAAUUUUAGUAGACUAAGUACCAAAAUUUUAUACAACUAAAAAUUUGAUAUUCUAAAAAUUAUAUUUCACUUAAACACCCCUUUGAUCCACUUUGAAUACUCUAAUGACAAUCGUAUAUUAAAUAGCCCUUGCUAUUCUAACAACUUUUGAGGCAAAAAAGUUUAGAAGGGAAAAAAAACCAAAAUCCAUCAAAGAACGGUCAUCUUAACAAUUAUUUUUUACUUAAACUAUCCCUUCCCCCAACUUUUAGUUCUCCUGUGCCAACUUUAUAUUAACUGAACUCUCCUAUUCUAACAAUUGUUUGUGCAAAAAGAAUCAAAUGCACUUGAGCAUCUUCUGAAUUAAAUGCAAAUCCAGGAAUUCGAUCACCUAAAAUACAAACUAUAUAAUAAAGACUUUAAGGUAAUAUUACACACCCUAAUAGAAUGACAUGUAUCAUUAUUAGUAGUGCAUUUAAUCCAGAAGCUGCUCAAGAGCACUCUUCUUGCCUCCCAUUUCCCAUGGUACCUUCACUCCAGUGGAUCUAAUCCCCUAGCUUGCAUUUAAUUUAAAAAGUGCUCAACUAUACUUUUUUUGGCCACACCUUACUUCACAUAGUGUUGGAUUAGGAUUAGAGUAGAUUAGCAAAUAUUGUAUCAACAAAAUAAAAAAAAAAGGAAAAAAGACAAGGUAGUAUACGACUAGCAGUAGAGUGCACUUUUUUAAUAACUCCUUUUCCAUAAUAUAGGUACAGAUUAACCAAUAUCAUAUUUGGUAAAAAACAAAAAAAAAAAGACAAAGACAACCCUGAGAUACAUCUAUCCCACAGUGUAAGAGUAAGCAUAGGAGUAAAUUAGCAAACAUAGUACUGAUUGAAAAAAAAAAAAAAAACACAUUCAUUUAACCAUCACCCCAUGUCAUGUCAAACGUUUAUGACUAUCCAUUUUUUGUUUUUUUCUAGAAUUUUAAAUUCUUAGAACCUGAUGUUCCUAAAAUGGUCUUUGAUUGCUGUAAAGGGUUUACUACACUUGCCCACCUUAAAAUUCCUUUUAGUUUCAUUUUGCUCAUUAAAUAUUUAGCUGGAAAACUUUACAGGAUUUUCUUUUUAAAGUUGGCUUACAAAAGGAAAAGAAAAGAAGGGAAGGUUAGAAAGUUGAAUUAAAAACCUUAUGAUUUUUAUUAAUGUCUUCCAAUUGGAUCGAAGGCUUGAGAUUCCAAUCUAUUAAUGUUCACAUUGUAAGGCUUUUUCUAUAUAAAAAUGGACAGUGGAUCCACCCCUGCAUUACAAUACUAUCGAAGAAGAAAUUUAUUAAACCCUUUUCUCAAGAGUUAUCUAACUUAUAAAAAAAAUAUUGGACACAUAAACCUAAGGUCUCUAAUUUCUAGAGCCUUAAACUUAUCCAUUAAACUAAGGUUUCUAGGCAAAACUUGGCAAUACUUGAAUACUUCUAAACUAGAAAUAGAAAACAUCAACUAUUAGGAAGUUAGGUUUAAUUAUAUCAACAUUGCCUCUUUAAAUUAAACUUUUCACGAAUAUAGCUCUAUACUAUUGCCAACCAAAAAAAAAAAUCUUCUAAGAUAUUUUUUCAUUAUGAAUCAAUUCUUGCCAAUCACUUCACUUUCAAUUUAUUAGCCUCACUAGCUGAUUGCUGAUAUCAAGAUUCUCAAUUUUGCAAGUCCGUCACGAAAAAAAAAAAGUUGACAAGAAUUUUUUUCAACUCUUUCACAUUACCAAAUUAAAUAUCAACAACUAUAGUAGAAUCUUUUUCUCUAAUCACUGUCUAACACAAAUAACACGAUACGAUGCUUCUUCUCACAUGUCUAUCCAAUUAGGAUCAAUUUUUUCCUAAUUGUCAAGUAACUCGAGUACCCCCAAGAUCAAUUUAGUGGCCCAAUUUUUUCUAAUGUUCGAGUACUCUGACUCAUAAAAAAAUUCACAUUUCAAAAUCUAUGAACAUAAACCUAGUAAUCUUAAGUUUACAAACAUCCCAAGAUCAAAAGGCAGGGUUCUAAUACCACUUUAGUGUAUAAAAGAUGCGUACAAGAGGAUAUUGGCACAUGUAAAAAUAUGUAGAAGAAAAGGAGUUUAAUAGCCAUAAAUACACAAAGCACAUCUGAUUCACAUAUUGAGAUUGGCACAAAUUCUAGGCAGAAUUGCUUUCACAACAACCGCAACUCUCUUUAAUUUUUUUUCUCGCCCUUUUCAACUCAGUAUACUGCUAAAAUACCCCAUAUAGAGUUAACAUAACUGAGUAAUUAAGAAACUACUGCAACAAGAAACUACCACAUAAUUACUCCGUACCCUAAACAACUAAAUUACUGAAACUUGGCUAUACUUGAAUACGUCUAACCUAGAAAUAGGAAACAUCAACUAUUAGGAAGUUUGGUUUAAUUAUGCCAAUAAAAAGGCAUAUUCUUCUGACCAUCACACUAUGUCAAAACGUGCAUGGGUUUCGUUGAUUUUAGCAAUGAUAACUGUUCCACAUAAAGCAACGGCAACAUGCAUGGAUUUAGGAUAAUUUCAUAAGCUAAUUUUGUAUAUAAUGAUAGUGCAUAUAGUAACAACAAUGAAUGAAUGCCACCUAAACUUGAUAUAAUGGUAGUGUAUAAUUUGAAUUUUGUUUCUUGAUAUAAUGGUAGCUUGCAAUAUUAUGGAAUAAUUUCAGAAAUCCCACUAAGGUUAUUGACAAUUUCACUUAUCUCUCCUCAACUUUAGGAAAUCUCACAUACUCUAGCAGACAAUUGGGACCUGUUGAUGUCGAAAGGCGCAGCAAAAUACUUAUAUCUUUAGUCUUUGGUGAUAUUAACUAAACGAUUUCUCACCUUCAAAGGUAAUUUGCAAAAAAUCAAGUCAAGUCUUAUUUCCACAACCUUGUAAUACGAUGCAAAAAGAAAAUAUUAAACAAACAAAAAUUAUUCUCACCCUUGAUUCCACUGCACCUUUCACAAGGAAAAAAAAGCUGUUCUCUAAUUUUUUAUGGUUACUUUCUCUUAUAAGCUUUAAUUGACGCUCAUCAAGCCUUAUAUAUUUUAGUAUAAACUUCCAAGCUUUUAAUAAGAAACUUGUAACAUCACCAAUUUCUCAUAAUCAAUAGCACAUAAAUUUCAAAAAAGCUCUCAUAAUCACCAUUUUAUUCUUGCUUUUCUGGAUAAGAUUGACAUUAAUUCAAUAAUCGAGUUCUAGGAAUCCCUCAUACUUAUUACUCAUUUUUUUGUUUAACCUUCAACUUAUCAAUCACAAAGAAUGACGAAAAUAUUUAAAAGAAAAAUUAAACAAAAAAAGACCAAGUCUAAUAAACAAGUCAUACUUGUUGCAAUUCUAGUGACUAGUUUCUUUCUCCAAUUUUAAACAUAAGAAGGACAUUGGGAGGAUGAAGGAAGUGUACUGGCCUAUGUUAUUUCAACAAGUGGUUUACUGGGCGUGGUCUGCACGAAAUGAAGUUAUGCACUAGGGUGUGCUAAGAAAGGUCAGAGUUCGGAUUGAGACUCUUUUACAGCAAUCAUUGAUAGUACAGGUGUGACGGCCCCACCUCCCCCUAAGGCGAACCAGAGGGUUCGGCGGGUCGCCUGCCCAACUCUCGCCGGGACUCAGUCGUUCACUACAAUCCUCAAAUGAAUUACAAUAUAAAUCUCAAAUGUACAUCACAUGGUCCACAAACAUACAUCUAAGUCUCCAAUAAUUACAUGUCAUAAGCGAAGCGGAAACGAUUCUCAACUAUACAUAAAAUGAUUCCAAAUCCAAAUUAUACAAGAUAUAUGCCAUCCAGUCACGUGAACAAGUACUACAAGUCCUUCCUUCGCCACGAGCCCUGUGGAGGGGAAUAAAAUAUUUUUGGGGUGAGCUAGAAGCUGAGCGAGUAACCAUUAAAAUCAGUAAUCAAAGCGGUUUCACAAUAGUUCAUUUCAAUGAUGUCAUAAAUCAAUGAUGUCAAGAAUCAAAUGAUAAGUCCAGAAACAAUUACAACAUUUACAAUACAUUAAAAUGGAGUAUCAAUAAUUCAAGGAACAUUUACAAUGGAAAGCGAUAGUAAUAUUCAUUAAAAGGAUACGGGCUCACAUGGAGCUAUUCGUUUGUUCGUUCGUUCCCCUGACAUUUUCCCUUAUUCCUCCAAUCGUUUGAAAAUACAUUUUUUUUGUAAGUAGAAUCCCUCGUUCAUCCUUUUGUUCGUUCAUCCCCUUUUCCGGACGUUGACCGGACUCCACCCAUCCGACCAUUGGCCGGACUCCACCCAUCCGGACGUAGCCGGACUACAAGGUAAUACUCGAAUAUACCAAAUUCACCCAGGGUCACCAUAUCGCCCGACCGAGUCCGCUUCUGGCUCGAGUCGAUCGGCAACAAAGGGCAGUGGCCAAUUCAGCCAAACGGCUUACAUUCAUGCGCAACUAGCAUUUCAAUAAUUAAAUCCUUGAAAAUUGCACAGUUAUUUAAGUCGAGUGCGAUAAAGUACACACUCGCCUAGAAAGCUCGUUUUGGAAAUCAUUCAAAGCACUUAACACGUUAUCAAUUAAUAAUACAAGUCAUGAAGUCAAGAAAAUAUAGCAAAUAAGGAACACUCACAUGCAAGCACGCACGAUAUGCAAUAAAACAGUUCAAAAGUAAUUUUGGAAACAGUUUAAAGGUAAAUAAUGCAAGAAAACGGUACAAAAGUAACUUUGGAAACAGCUCAAAAGUAAAUAAUGCAGGAAACGGUUCAUAAAUAACUUCAGAAAUAGUUUGAGGUCACUCACCUCCAUGGCUCAGAAAUCAUCCAUCAUAUAACAUUGCCUUGCUCAAAUCCAAGUCUUAGAUCACAAACUCAAUGCAAACAAGUCCCUUCAAAGUUCGGACAGCACUUCCCCUGAAUUUGCUAACUUUUCCAGCCAUCAUGGCUUCAUUAUUUCCUCAGCCAGUCCCAAAAGUACACACACAACAACAAGUUCAUCCAAUAGCCAUUCAGUAAGCUCCAAGUAGUACUAGUACAAGUCAAGCUAGGUAAAAGUUCGGAAAUGAAAGUUAAGCUCAAAACCGGAAAAAUAGCUUUUGACAUUCUUUUGCGGUAAUGGCACCAAAGGCACUACGAUUAUCGGAUGAGGGUGCAAGACCCACCAUCUCGAAACUAAAAGACAGGGCUACAACAUCAUAGAAGGUCACUCAACCCAGUUUUGAGUGCAAACAGGUCAAAAAUGCAAGAUACUACAUCAAAAACGUAAAACCGAUUCACCAAAACGCAUUCUAGCAGAAACAUCAUAACUCAGGCUCUACAAGUCCAAAUCCAGAAAUUCCAAAACCAGCUGAAAGCUAAGAAACAGGGUUACAAUUCAUCAGAAGACCUCAACAACCAAUUCGGAAGCAUUCCUGACCAUAACAACCAAUUACAGAAGCAAUUCCCAAAUUCGGGUAAAACCAGAAUAGAAAUAGUAAUUUCGACUUAUCUCAUUCUACACUACUCCGAUUGACCUGAAAUUUUGUAGGCACCUAUAAAAUAUCAUUCCCUACAAUUUUAAUGUUUUAAGUCAAGGCCAAUUCGGCCUCUAUCUAGGACCUAAAAUUUCGGACAGAAUGCUCCCUCAAGAACCCUAGUUUUCUGAAAUUUCUUCCAAACCAGAAAUUGGUUGCAAUUAAUCACUUUUCCCACCUCCUAGAGUCCUUAAACAUUAUUUCCAAUCAUCAUAGAUGACCACAUACUCAUAUUCAUAUGAAAAUAGAAAAAUCCCCAAUAAUUAUAAAACUUCACCAAUUCAACCAAAAUCAAGAUAUCUUUCACCCAAUCACACAUUUAAUCAACACAACUCAUUACUUUGACAUUAUCAAGACCAAAGGAAGCAUUCACUAGUUACUCACCUUGAAACCAAAGAAAAGAGACCACUUAGCACCAUAAGUUUCCAAACAACUUCAGCAAUCACCUCAAGACCACUUAGCAAAGAGAUUUUAUGGAAUUGAUUUGGAGUUUUAUUGGUUGGAUUUGAAGAUUGAGCAAGAAAUAGAAGGAAGAAAUUGAUAGCUUUUCUUUCUUUUCCUUUGAGAGAGAGAGCCGGCUAUGAAGCUUUAGAAAUAAGGAUGAUUUUUGGCAAUUUUUUGAUUUAUUUGGUAAAGUAGGGAAUAGUGUAGUCAAAGUCCAAGACUUAAUCUUAUGGUGACACUUGUCACCUUUUGGUUCAAAACUUAUCUUUUGUCUCUCCAAUACAAAUAUCUUAACACUUUGUAAAAUAAUAUCACUUAAUACAAAAUUCCAACAAGUUGUCAAAAAUAUAAUGCAUUUACGGCACUUGCGGGUCCCACGUUCAAAAUACGCUCUUAAUUUCUCAAAAACUAACCGAUACUAGAAAAAUCAUUUUAAAACUAUCUUUGCUCAUAAACUUUAUCUGGGGAAUUUUUCUAAUCAAGAAAAUGUAGAAAAGGCGGGCGAUUAAAAAAAAUAAACCCUAGAAAAUUAGAAAAUUUCCGGGUUCUCAAACACAUUUUUGUUUUUCGGGGCGUCACAACAGGAGUUACAUGCUAGCCGCAAAUUGGUGGGUGGACGACAAAUGAAGUUCAUCAAUUGGAGAAAACCGCCACUGGGAUGGGUUAAACUCAAUGUAGAUGGCGCAGCCACGAGAAACCCAGGUGAAUCAAGUGCCGGAGGUCUUAUAAGGAAUGAUCAAGGAUGUUGGCUCAAGUGGUUUAGUGCAAAUUUGGGGUGCUCAAGUAAUGUAGCAGCCGAGCUCUGGGCGAUUCUGUUGGGACUGAGACUAGCUUGGGAGCAAGGGUAUAGGAGGGUGGUUAUUGAGUCAGACGCGCAGGUGGCAUUGAUAUUGAUUAACAAUGCAUCUGAAGAGAGUCCAUAUUGGAACAUGGUAGCGGGAAUCCGAGAGUUGUUAGGCUAUGAUUGGGAAUGCUGUUUGGAACAUUCGUGGCGAGAAGGAAACUGUUGUGCAGAUUACUUAGCAAAGCUAGGAAAGAGUCUAGCUCCGGGGAUGACUGUUUUCUAGGAUCCUCCACAAGCAUUACGAACACUUCUGGACCGUGAUGUUUGUGGAGUGACAAUAUCUCGUCUAAUUAAUAUGUAACGGGCUUACAUCCUCCUUUGUACCGAAAAAAAAAGCUGAGAUUUCUAGGCAAAACUUGGCUAUACUUGAAUACUUCUAAACUAGAAAUAGAAAACAUCAACUAUUAGGAAGUUCGGUUUAAUUAUGUCAACAUUGCCUCCUUUAAACCAAACUUUUCACGAAUAUAGCUCUAUACUAUUGCCAACCCAAAAAAAAACUUGUAAUAAGAAACUUAGUAUUAGCUUCCAAGCUUUUAAUAAGAAACUUGUAACAUCACCGUUUUCUCAUAAUCAAUAGCACAUAAAUUUCAAAAAAGUCUUCAACUUUGCUGGCAUUUUAUUCUUGCUUUUCUGGAUAAGAUUGACAUUAAUUCAAUAAUUGAAUUCUAGGAAUCCCUCAUACUUAUUACUAAUUUUUUUUAACCUUCAACUUAUCAAUUACAAAGAAUGACGAAAAUCUUUAAAAGAAAAAUUAAACAAAAAAACACCAAGUCUAAUAAACAAGUCAUACUUAUUGCAAUUCUAAUGACUAGUUUCCUUCUCCAAUUUUAAACAUAAGAAUUAGUUCUUCCGAAUAUAUAGCAAUUGAUUAAAUCAAGUUUGUCAAUUCCUAUACUUAAUUUGGUCUUUUCAUCAAUUAGCAAAUGAUUGCGUUACUCUAGUUUUUAUAAUUCUAGGAGAGAACUCUUUGAUAAUACACUCUAGUUAUGGUAACUAUGGUAUUAGAAAAAAACCAAUGUACUAGUAAUAUCAUUUUUGCAAAAAUGAAAUUUGUAUUUAAAACUUGAAACAUCUUAAAUUUAUAUAACUAAAUAAAUGUUAAAAAAAAUACAGGGUGUCACAUCUAGUCUUUUGCUUUUGGUCUCCAACUUUUAAUCCAAUUAAAAAUUUCUUAUUUAUUGGCUUGGAUUGAGGGAUUUGAAGAAAAAUUUGAAAUCUUCUCAAACACUUCUAAAUAUUUUGGAUUACUUAGGUUGUAUAUGAUUUUGGAAUUCACUACUCAUUGAAUGCAUUCAAGCACUAAAAUAAAUGGUGGAUUUUAAAACAAAAGGCCUCCGAAGUAAUUCAAAUGACCUAGAAGAAUUUGAGAGGAUAUCAAAUUUUCAUCAAAUCUCUCAAAUCCAUCAUAAAACAAAUUGUUGCAACACAAAAGGGCAUUAUGGUACAAAAUUCUAUUCUCUCUCUUGAAAUUGUUUAUCCUUUAUUGAUUUGGGUUGACAUGGCGUACAAAAAUGCCAGAUAAUGGAUGCAUGUGAAACUUUCAAAAGUUUAGGGGAGGUAAGCGAACUUCUUAUUGUCCCACUCCGGUUAGGGGAACCUAGCUACCACAAAGAGCAGUCAAUAAUUAAUCCUAGGUACUGGAGCAGGGACUCUAGUAGUGCAAUGGGUUACUUGAUUCACCCUGUUCCCGAAGAGUUUGUUUAAUCCGAUAUACCAGAAUUAAUUAAUUGACAAAAAUUACUAAAUAGUAGACAGUGGCAAGUAGGGUCGUCUCCUCAGGGACUGGAGAUAUUUGUCUCUUUUUAAAGUCCAAUUGAUAAGGGGAGAUUUUACCGGAAUGAAACUAAAAAUAAUCAGACAAUUUAAUUAAAAAUGAAUAAAUCACUAGCACAAAUAUAGCAGGAAUUUAAUCAGGAAUAAAUAAAUUCUAGCCAAAGAUACAACUACUCAAGCACAGUCCAUUUAUCUGAUCAUUGAUGCAGCAGAGGUUCACUUAAUUUAUUAAUAGGCUAGUUAUAGUCCGACGACCAAUUUUUCCUUAAAUUAUUGAUAACCAAGGUACGACCGUUGAUUACCCCUAAUCAGCAAAUACUCCUAGGUACGACCAUAGGAAUUAAUUUUCCAAUUGCAUUAAUAACUAGAAAAACCUAGCCCUAAUCAAUAACACGCUACGAGGGUUAUUUAAAUUAGAUCGCACGUUCCCCUAAUGUGUAAACACACCAGUUGCCACUAAUAUUAAUCAAUCAAACAAUUACGGAUUUAAUUGACUAAAUUGGCACGAGAUUAAUAUAUCACAUUGAACAUCGGGCCCUGGACAUCCAAUUAAUAAAAUAAUCCCAUGAAAAUAAAAUCAGACAACAUGCAAAUAUUAAUAGAUAAAGGAACACGUGAAAACUAAUUAGAUCUCACAGAUUUUCGGGACUGCGCCGUCGAGUUGACCCUUGACUAGAUGGAAGACUUAGCCACGCCGCAUAAUUAAAUCACCACACGAGUUAAUAAAUUGCGAAGGCAUUGUUUUGUACUAAAAAGUAAGGAAUGAAGGAUGUUUUCCCCGUUGGGGAAUAUUGUCAAACACCUGGCGUGUGUCAGAGGCCAGUCCCAGGAAAAAGGAAGAAAAAAACUAAAAACUGAACUAAAGCAAGGAAACUAAAAGCUGGCCGUCCGUCUUCUGUACGUUAGCUCCCUAUUUAAAGCCAAAGGAAAGAUAUCCAGUGGUCCCCACCAAUUGGCCACAAGCUGCCCCAUUUCUUCUUAGUUUCCUUAGGCUUUGUAUGUUGCUUUUUCUUUAAGAACCAAAGGACCAAAGCCCUUUUCCUUUCCUCCGUGGUCCCCACCGAAGUCAAAGGCCCAAGCCUUCAAGUUCUCUCUGCCAAAGUCUCCGGUUGUAAUCCUCUUGGUCAACAAGAAUAAAGGGAUGGGAGUCCAGUUCUUUUCAGCACUGUGGCCCUGGCCUGUGACUCGCUUGAAGACUCAAUUUUCUCCAGGAAAUCCCUCAUGUUUGGUAGUUUUCCGUUCUAUCCCUGAAAUAAAGGCCACAAACCAAAUAUAAGUAGAUAUCUGCAAUUAACACAAUAUUUAUCAGGGAUGAAAGGGGAAAUUAAUAAUAAAAUUACUAACAAAUUAUACCCUAAAAUUCUGUGCUAUGCCGGCGACAUUGGCGUCAACGUUGACCUUCCGAGCCUGCAUAGUCUGAACCUGCUCCCGGAGUUGCUGCCAUUCAGUAGUCCCAUGCGGUGGAGGUGGCGCAGAAGAAGAUGGCCCAACUGUGUCCUCGGCUGAUCCAGGAAAGGAGGAGGGCCCUGCCCGGGACGAAUGAUGCGCACCCGGAGCUCUAGGUGGUCCAGGAGGAAUGAACUGGUAGGAACCAUCAGGCAGGCGCUCGAUGACUCCCAUCCUCUCCAAGCAGUCUACGUCCAAGAGCUCCAUCUCGCAUGCCAAAUGUAAGUCGUGGUCCUCCAGGUCAAGAACCCCCAACUGGAUCGCCAAGUGAGUGAUAUAGGACCCAAGGAUAAGGGGCUUGUUCUUUUUGGCCAAGACGGUCUUGAACUGUGCGGCCAACCAACACCCCAAGUUAACCUUGAUAUUGUUCUUCAUACACCAGAGGAAGAAGAACUCAGGACGAGAGAGUAUGCCAGAGCUGUCCUUGCGCCCCGAGUAGCUAUAGGCUAAGAACCGCUGAACAUAGCGGGCACUAGGGUCCUUAAGAAAGGAGCUCCUAGACCGGGAAGGAUCGUAGCGCUGCUGAUCGACGGACAUGUCCUCCCAUACAUCAUGGUAGUGGGAGAGGAACGGCUCUAUGUAGUCACAGGCACUCUCUGCAUACGCCCUAAACCCAGCAUACUCUCUAGUGAUAAACCCAAAUGCCCGAUUGAAUUGGGUAAUGGAGAAAUUGAACUCUCGACCCAUGAGCCGGAAAUGAAUGACCUGUGGUGUGUCAACGGUGUAUCUCGUAGGUAACUCGAACUCAAAGGUGGAGUAAAACUCCCGAGUCAGCUCGACAAAGGCGGGGCAUAAGAUAUCGAGAUAUGAGCGCCACCCGAUGGCUGUAAACAUCUGCUCGACCUCCUCUCGUAUGCCUAGACUCAUGACGGUUAAUUUUUCCCAAGUCUUGCUUGGUGUAAUACGCCGCUCGCAGACCUUAGCAUAUCUCUGCUGAUCGGCGGGUCUAGUGAAGGUUAGGUGCCCCCCAAAGUGAGUAGGGGUAUCUACCUGAGCACCCCGACCCCUACCCAAACGGGUUCGCACAUUAGAAGAAGAGGGGAGGUUGGUAGGUGAGUUGACAGGAAUAGAUGCUUGUGGAGGGGGUUGAGACUGAGAGGCCCUAGACCUAGAGGAUGAUUUCGGCCUCACCAUGAUUUGGAGUAAUCAGCUUAACCAACAAAAGUCCCAACAAAUAUGACAACUCGCCAAUGCCAACAAGAAAUAAAGGAAUGCCAACAAACCAAAGGCCCAGCAAUUGCAACCCAGCAAUAUCAGUUCAGAAACUACGCCAAGCAACACAAUCACAAGUCCUCGGCAGUUGAAUAAUUAUCCAACCAACCAGAGUGAACAAGUUCCUGAUAAAACACUGCAAUAAUAGCACCUACAGACGCAACAAAUGGCUCCAGGUGGCCAGGUAACGCACACUUGCAAGACCAGCAAAUGCAACGACGACAACUGAGAACUUUGGCAAGAAUAAAACAGCCAACCAACUAGCAGUAACAAAUUUAAUUAGAAAUAUGUUCACCAGUAAGAACUGCAUGUGGAAAUGCCCCCUUGUUCGCUCCCCUUUUUUUUUCAAUGUCCAAUCUCUCAGGUCCCAAUUAAUCAGCCAAUAGAGAGAACGAAUCUAUAGCAGCAAGAAGAAAAUGACGCCCAACAGGUAUACCACACAAGUGAAGAAGUGAACUCCAACAGCCGACAAAACCAAAUUUUUAAAACCCCAAACAAUUGAACUCAAAGCCAAUAAAAAACACAAUCAAUAAUUCCAAGAAUAUGGCCGACCCGUGAUCAAAAUCAAGACAAAUAGCACACCCAGCACCACUGGCUUAUCCCCAACUGGAGAAACAACCCCCACGGCCAACAAUUUCCACAGUUGACGAACCCAGAUAGUACCAAUUUAUUUGGAGAAAUUUGGGAGCAGGAUUCAAAUACCUCCACUGGUGCUGCGGAGUGGCGUCGGCUCGGCCUGGUGAAGCUCGCGGAAAGGCCGUUUGAAGUGGAGGUGCAGCGGCGGCGUGAGCAGGAGAGGCGGCCGUGGACUGGAGAUAUGGGUUGCGGCUGGCGUGCGUCCGUGGCUUUGGCAGGCAGCGGCGGCGCGAGCAGGAGAGGCGGCCGUGGACUGCCGCGAGCUUCGGGCAGCAGCGGCGGACGGCGCGCCUGUGGCUUCUGGCCGCUGCGGAGGUAGCGGCGUGGUAAGGCUGCCGCGCCUCUCUGAUGAGGCUCCAGCCGCGGAACAGAUCUGGUGGCUUUGCGCAGGGCAGCGGCGGCGGGUGGCGCGGUUUGAGCGCAGGCGACGGCGGGCGCAGCGCACGACGGCUGAGCAGCGUCUGCGGCAGGCCGGGCGCGCGCGCAAGAGGAGUGGAUGAGGGCGGCGCGUGGUGGAGUUGGAGAUGGCGGUGAGCACGGGCGGCGAGCAGAGCAAAACAGCGGGGAAGAAAGAAAGAAAGAAAAGAGAAAGAAGAAGAAAGAAAGAAAAGAAAAAGAAAGAAAAGAAAGAAAUUUUUUUUUCUUUUUCUUUGUAUUCAAAACCUUGUUUCUUCUUUUCUCCGAAUUUAUAUUUCGACAUUCUGAAAUUUUUUCUUUUUUUUUCUUUUUUUUUCAAUAAUCCGUUCUUCUUCUUUGAAUGAAAGGCAUAAUAAUAAUAAUAAUAAUAAAAGAAUUUUUUCAAAUCCUUACCUUUCCCGUGAACGUGACGCGGGCACGUCAAGAGGUCAAGAGAGCUCCCAGAAGUUUCAGAAUUUCCUGAUCGUGAGCGUCCUGCACAUCACCACGCGGGCACGUCAUGAGGGCAGGAGAGCUCCCAGAAGUUUCAGAAUUUCCUGAUCGUGAGCGUCCUGCACAUCACCACGCGGGCACGUCAUGACUGAAGGUCGCCUACAAACCAGCAAAAACGAAAACGAACACCUAAAAUCAGUCAAAUUUAAGGAAAACAGAUUCAAACAAUGACAGGAAACCAAUAAACAAUUAAAAUGAAUAAUUGGAUUGCCUCCCAAUGAGCGCCUUUCUUUAAUGUCUUCGGCUAGACAUCGUCCAAAAAUUUGCUUAAACUAAGCAAGUAGGGUCCUCCAAGUGCAUCACCUCCACCCGUUCAGUUGGAACCCCUUCAUAAUACGGCUUGAGACGAUGACCAUUCACUACAAAUUUCUUCUCAGCUUUCAAACUUUGGAUCUCGACUGCACCAUAAUGGAAGACAUUAGUCACAACAAAAGGGCCAAUCCAACGAGAACGUAAUUUACUUGGAAAUAACUGCAAUUUGGAGUGGUAUAGCAGAACUUUUUGCCCACACUCGAAUGUCUUCCUUGAGAUCUGUUGGUCAUGAAAAAUUUUAUUUUUCUCCUUAUAAAUUACCGCAUUCUCAUAAGCUUCAUUGCGUAUCUCCUCCAACUCCUGUAAUUGUAACUUCCUUUGGAUUCCGCCCUCCUCAAUAUCCAUAUUGCAUUGCUUAACCGCCCAAAAUGCUUUAUGCUCGAACUCUACUGGAAGAUGACACGGCUUACCAAAUACCAACCUAUAGGGAGACAUCCCUAUAGGUGUCUUGUAUGCCGUCCGAUAGGCCCAGAGUGCAUCUUCCAACCGUUGACUCCAAUCUUUUCUAUCGGGGCGCACCAUUUUCUCCAAGAUGGACUUUAUCUCCCGAUUCGACACCUCCGCUUGACCAUUGGUCUGAGGGUGGUAUGACGUUGAGACCCUGUGGAGUACACCAUACUUGCGGAACAACGCAGCUAUGGUUUUGUUGCAAAAGUGCGUUCCCCUAUCACUGACAAUAGCUCUAGGCAUUCCAAAUCGCACAAAAAUAUUAGACCUGAUAAAAUCUGUAACUACUUUCGAGUCAUUAGUUCGAGUGGCCUUAGCCUCCACCCAUUUAGACACAUAAUCAACUGCCAGCAAAAUAUAUAAAAAACCAAAUGAAGUAGGAAAAGGCCCCAUAAAAUCUAUACCUCAGACAUCAAAAAUUUCAACAAAAAUCAACGGGACUUGGGGCAUUUGAUCUCUACGGGCUAUAUUACCUACCCUUUGACAGCGAUCACAUGACUUGCAAAACACAUAGGCAUCCUUAAACAAUGAAGGCCAAUAAAAUCCACUUUCUAAAACCUUAUGAGCCGUUCUCUUGGGUCCAAAAUGGCCUCCACAGGCAAAAGUAUGACAAAAAGCUAAAAUUGAUUGAAAUUCCACUUCACUUACACAUCUCCGCAUCACUUGAUCUGCACACCUCUUCCACAGGUACGGGUCAUCCCAGAUAAAAUACUUGGCAUCGCUCUUCAAUUUAUCCCUCUUCGAUUUCGGCCAACCUGCAGGAAAAUUACCAGUUACCAAAUAAUUGACCAAAUCAGCAUACCAAGGCAACUGAGAAUUUAAGGAAAAUAAAUGCUCUUCAGGGAAUGCAUCCUUCAAUGGCUCGCUAUCCUCUUCAACUAGUAUGCGACUCAAAUGGUCCGCUACUAGAUUUUCUGAGCUUUUUUUGUCCCUUAUCUCCAAGUCAAAUUCCUGUAGGAGCAGUAUCCACCGUAUGAGCCUCGGUUUUGCAUCUUUCUUGGUCAUCAGGUACCUCAAUGCUGCAUGAUCAGAAAAUACGAUCACUUUAGCACCUAACAAGUACGACCUAAAUUUUUCCAAAGCAAAAAUAACUGCAAGAAACUCAUUCUCAGUGGUGGAAUAAUUCAACUGGGCUCCAUUCAAGGCCCGAGAUGCGUAAUAGAUGACAUGAGCCGCCUUUCCUACUCUUUGCCCCAGUACAGCCCCAACAGCAUGAUCACUGGCAUCGCACAUGAUCUCAAAUGGCAAGUUCCAAUCGGGGGGUUGGAUGAUUGGGGGUGAAGUCAACAAUUCCUUCAGCUUGUUAAAGGCUCUCUCACACUUAUCAUCAAACUCGAAGGCUAUAUCUUUUUGUAGGAGUUGGAACAACGGGGCUCCAAUUUUUGAGAAAUUCCUGAUGAACCUUCGAUAAAAACCUGCAUGUCCAAGAAAAGAGCGCACCUCCCGCACACUCGCGGGGUAAGGUAAUGCAGAAAUAAUGUCUAUUUUAGCCUUGUCAACUUCUAUGCCCUUAGACGAUACAAUAUGACCCAGGACUAUCCCGUACUCAACCAUAAAAUGACAUUUUUCCCAAUUAAGCACAAGAUUAGUCUCUAUACACCUUAUCAGGAUUAAUUUCAGGUUAUCUAGACACGUAUCAAAACUAUCACCAUACACACUGAAAUCAUCCAUGAAAACUUCUAUUAUUUUCUCAACAUACUCAGAAAAGAUGCUCACCAUACAUCUUUGGAAAGUCGCAGGUGCAUUGCACAACCCAAAUGGCAUUCGUCUGUAGGCAAAGGUCCCGAACGGGCACGUGAAGGUUGUCUUCUCUUGAUCCUCCGGGGCAAUUGCUAUCUGAAAGUAUCCUGAAAAUCCAUCCAAAAAAUAAUAAUAAGCCCUACAAGCUAAACGUUCAACCAUUUGGUCAAUGAAAGGGAGAGGGAAAUGGUCCUUUUUGGUGACGGCGUUUAGCCUACGGUAGUCUAUACAUUGCCUCCAUCCAGUGGGCUUACGCACUGGCACAAGUUCACCCGUUUGGUUGGCCUCUACCGUCACUCCUACCUUCUUUGGGACUACCUGGACCGGACUCACCCAAGGGCUAUCAGAUAUUGCAAAGAUGAUCCCUACAUCUAACAAUUUUAAAAUCUCUUUCUUUACAACUUCCAUCAUGAGGGGAUUGAGCCUCCUUUGAGCCUGCCGUACAGGUUUGGCAUCCUCUUCUAGUCUAAUCCGAUGCAUACAGACGGCCGGGCUGAUUCCCUUAAUGUCUGCAAUUGUCCAACCUAUCGCCUCUUUAUGCUCUCUAAGGACCCGGAUCAAUUUCUCCUCCUGGAUUUUUGACAGUGCCGAUGAGAUAAUCACCGGGAGUGUCUCAUUAUCACCUAGAUAUGCAUAUUUCAGGUGCUCUGGUAGAGGUUUCAACUCCAGUACAGGUGCCUGCACCACAGAUGGCAAUACCCUCUGGUGAGGCUCGGGAGUAAAAAUAGGUAAGACUUCAUACCUUUUCGUGGUGGUCUGCAACGAGUGUAAUGCCCCUAUUGUGCAUUUUAAAUGCUCACUCCACUCCACCUGAGGAGUUGUCUCCAACUCGAGGUGCUUGGUUAAAGCCACCUCCAGCUCAUCCCUGCCAUCAGUUUCAAACACUUCCUGCACUACAGGAUCAAUAGCACUCACAGAGAAAAUUGAGCUAAAGUUGGAGUUUGAGGGAUAUUUCAUAGUAUCAAAGAUAUUGAAAUGCACAAUUUCCCCAUCAAACUCCAUGGACAGAAUACCCUUACUAACAUCAAUUUUCGUCUGUGCUGUGCUCAUAAAAGGUCUACCCAAUAACAGAGGUGAGGGAUCAGGGGAGUGAUCAUCAUCCAUAUCAAGUACAUAAAAAUCAGCUGGAAACACCAAAUCAUUAACUUUUACCAACACAUCUUCAACCAACCCAUCAGGAUAUACAUUAGUUCGGUCAGCUAAUUGAAUGAUUAUUCCAGUUUCUUUUAAUGGACCUAAUUUUAGAGAAGCAUAGAUAGAUUUAGGCAUGACAUUUAUUGAUGCUCCCAGAUCCAACAUGGCCCUUCUGAUCACAGUAUUACCUAUCUUACAGGGAAUAGUAAACAUACCUGGGUCCCCGCACUUUGGUGGGAGCUUCCUCUGCAGGACCGCAGACACAUUUUCCCCAACUAUGACCCGUUCAUCUCCCCUCAAUCGCCUUCGGUUGACACACAAGUCCCUUAGGAACUUGGCAUAUUUUGGUACUUGUUUGAUGGCGUCUAAGAGGGGGAUAUUUAUCUCAACCUUGCGAAAAACCUCCAAAAUCUCCUUCUCCUUCUCCUUAUCCUGUUUCUUUGAUUUUUCCAACCUGCUAGGAAAAGGAGGCGGGUUAGUUUUAACUGUAAUUAUUGGGUCAGGAAGUACCUUUUGAUCUGCACCAUUGCUGUCCUCCCUUUCGAGCUCAUUUUCGAUCUUCUCUUCAUCCUUAUCCUUGGGAAUCACAGGUUCAGGCCCCUGAAUUUCUUUCCCACUCCUUAGGGUCAUUGCGCUCACGUUCUUCGGAUUCAACUCCGGUUGAGAUGGCAGCUUCCCUUGGUUCUGGGACUCCAAACGGUUGAUUCUGGUGGGCAUUUGACCUAUCUGAUUCUUUAUGUCCUGCAUUUAGGAGUCCGUCUUUUGCUGAUUUUGCAUAAUAGCUGCCUCCGUCCUUUGCUGAUUUUGCGCCAUGGUUGUCAUCAUUUGUUUCAGCAUCUCCUCCGUAGAUGAACCAGAUUGAGGGGGCGGAGGUGGUCGGGGUUGGUAUUGCUGCUGGUACCCUGGUGGCUUAUUUGGCACAAAGUUAGACUGCCUGUUCGGCGUGAAGUUGGGUUGCCUAUUCCCACCAUAACUGAGGUUGGGAUGAUCUCUCCACCCGGGGUUGUAGGUGCUUGAGUCAGGGUCGUACUGCUUCCUUGGCGCGGGCGCGUGGUCAGCCAUGUUCACCUGUUCUGCAGUUUCUUCCUGAAUCAUUGGGCACAUGUCUGCAGAGUGACCUAUACCAGUGCAAAUCCCGCAUACCCUGGCUUGUGAUGCAUUUCUCACAGCCUGUUGCCUAACAAACGCAGUCAACUCAUUUAACUGCUGCUGUAUAAAGGGUGUCUCUACCUCAUUCACCCUACGUAUUGGGACAUCCUCUCUUGUACUGAAUUGCUGUGAAUUCUCUGCCAUCCCUUCUAUUAACUCCCGUGCUUCCUGAGGGGUUUUGUUCACCAGUGCCCCUCCACUUGCAGCAUCAAUGAUGCUCCUGUCUCUAAAAUGAGCCCCUCAUAAAAAUAUUGUAUGAUCAACUGCUCACUUAUUUGGUGUUGGGGCCACCUGCGCAACAAGUUCUUAUAUCGUUCCCAAUACUCGUAAAGUGAUUCCCCUGGAUGCUGUUUGAUCCCACAAAUUUCCUACCUUAGACUUGCAGCCCUGGACGCAGGAAAAUAUUUAUCCAGAAAUUUUUUCUUCAAUUGGCCCCACGUGGUGAUGCUACCUGGUGACAGGUAGUACAGCCAGUCCUUCGCAGAAUCUUUCAAGGAGAAGGGGAAUGCCCUCAUUUUUAUCUGCUCUUCUGUGAUUCCCGGGGGUUUCAUACUAUUGCACACGACAUCAAACUCCUACAGAUGCUUAUACGGCUCUUCACCUGGUAAACCAUGAAAAGAAGGUAAAAGCUGAAUCAGACCAGAUUUUAGUUCAAAUGGAAUGUUGUCAUUUAAAGCGGGGAAAGUAAUGCACAAAGGCUGUUGAGUUAAAUCAGGAGCAGCCAACUCCCUUAUUGUUUGUGCAUUAGCCAUGGUGAACUCCUCCUGGUCAGAGUCACUCGAAGUGUUACCAAACGAAUCUGUUGGUUCAACUUCUGACUCGGGUUUUUGAGAUAUAGCACUACAGUGCUCUUCUCUGAGCUGUCUGGUUUCCUUUCUCGUUCUACGCGCGGUCUUCUCUACCUCAGGGUCAAAAACCAAAUCACCUGUGCGAGAAGAUCGAGGCAUACACUAGAAGAAAACCAGAAAAUUAGGACAAAAAUUGAAUCUAAAAAGAAACAAAUAAUAACGCCAGUCCCCGGCAACGGCGCCAAAAAUUGACAGGUCGUCAACCUGUGCAAUAAUAAUAAUAAAUAUAGAACCUAGCUACCACUAAGCAGUCAAUAAUUAAUCCCUAGGUGGGAGCAGGGACUGUGGGUUACUUUUUUCCCGAAGAGUUUGCUUAAUCCGAUAUACCAGAAUUAAAAAUAGUAGAAGUCUCCUCAGGGGGGAGAUAUUUUGUCUCUUUUGUUUGAUAAGGGGGGAUUUUACCGGAAUGAAACUAAAAAAAUCAGACAAUUUAAUUAAAAAUGAAUAAAUCACUAGCACAAAUAUAGCAGAAAUUUAAUUAGGAAUAAAUAAAUUCUAGCCAAGGAUACAACUACUCAAGCACAGUCCAUUUAUCUGAUCAUUGAUGCAGCAGAGGUUCACUUAAUUUAUUAAUAGGCUAGUUAUAGUCCGACGACCAAUUUUUCCUUAAAUUAUUGAUAACCAAGGUACGACCGUUCAUUACCCCUAAUCAGCAAAUACUCCUAGGUACGACCAUAGGAAUUAAUUUUCCAAUUGCAUUAAUAACUAGAAAAAUCUAGCCCUAAUCAAUAACACGCUACGAGGGUUAUUUAAAUUAGAUCGUACGUUCCCCUAACGUUUAAACACACCAGUUGCCACUAAUAUUAAUCAAUCAAACAAUUACGGAUUUAAUUGACUAAAUUGGCACGAGAUUAAUAUAUCACACUGAACAUCGGGCCCUGAACAUCCAAUUAAUAAAAUAAUCCCAUGAAAAUUAAAUCAGACAACAUGCAAAUAUUAAUAGAUAAAGGAACACGUGAAAACUAAUUAGAUCUCACAGAUUUUCGGGACUGCGCCGUCGAGUUGACCCUUGACUAGAUGGAAGACUUAGCCACGCCGCAUAAUUAAAUCACCACACGAGUUAAUAAAUUGCGAAGGCAUUGUUUUGUACUAAAAAGUAAGGAAUGAAGGAUGUUUUCCCCGUUGGGGAAUAUUGUCAAACACCUGGCGUGUGUCAGAGGCCAGUCCCAGGAAAAAGGAAGAAAAAAACUAAAAAUUGAACUAAAGCAAGGAAACUAAAAGCUGGCCGUCCGUCUUCUGUACGUUAGCUCCCUAUUUAAAGCCAAAGGAAAGAUAUCCAGUGGUCCCCACCAAUUGGCCGCAAGCUGCCCCAUUUCUUCUUAGUUUCCUUAGGCUUUGUACGUUGCUUUUUCUUUAAGAACCAAAGGACCAAAGCCCUUUUCCUUUCCUCGUGGUCCCCACCGAAGUCAAAGGCCCAAGCCUUCAAGUUCUCUCUGCCAAAGUCUCCGGUUGUAAUCCUCUUGGUCAACAAGAAUAAAGGGAUGGGAGUCCAGUUCUUUUCAGCACUGUGGCCCUGGCCUGUGACUCGCUUGAAGACUCAAUUUUCUCCAGGAAAUCCCUCAUGUUUGGUAGUUUUCCGUUCUAUCCCUGAAAUAAAGGCCACAAACAAAAUAUAAGUAGAUAUCUGCAAUUAACACAAUAUUUAUCAGGGAUGAAAGGGGAAAUUAAUAAUAAAAUAACUAACAAAUUAUACCCUAUCAAUUCCCCCCACACCUGAAUCAUGCUUGCCCUCAAGCAUGGGGAAAGUAUACAGACACCAAAAUUUGAUAAUGGUCAUUGCUCUAUCUACCAAAUUGCCAAGAUACCAAGAAAAAUAAUAAUCAAGCAUCAAUGGUCAAGAUCCAAGAAACAUCACUCCGGUUAGCUUCUAAACCACAAACUCCUCCAAUUUCAGGUUAACUAAUCUAAGAAAAAGGAAUGACGCAUAACAUUUAUCAGCAAAUGGUCCAACUAUUAACCAAAAUCUCAACAUUAAAUCCAUAAUUCGGCAAGCUGACUUUUAUUACACACUAACACAACCUUCACUUUUUUUUCACACAUUUUUUUUCUACUUUUCUCUCUUUCUUUUUUUUUCUUUUUUUUUUUUGAAUCUUCUUUCUUCAAUAGUAACAAAAGACUUAGUCGCUGGCCAUUUGAGCCUUUUGACGCGAACUCCAACAUUGGCCAGAUGAAGGAGCCCGGUUACUCAGCUUCUAUCGUCACGUGACCACGUACUCAUAGCAAUUACUACUUUUUGACGCGAGAAUCGACACUUUUAGGUGCAGAUCCCCGGUUACUCAGUAGUAACUAAUAGCGGAGUACAUUCAAGUUUAUUUAUAGUUAAAAAUCACAAAAACUCAAUAUAACACAAUAACCAAAAAGAAAACUAGUAUCAGCUAGCCUCAUUUUCAAACAUGGAGAACUAAAGUUAAUAACCGGACCAAUUCACAUGAAAAUGCCAAUAAUCAUUGCCUAUGCCUAGAAAUGUUAACCAAAAAUUAUAAGAGUAAAACAAUCAUCGAUAUUCACCAAAGAGAUAUUUUUGGAUUCAACCACAUUAACUUGAUAUCCUUUUAUUAUUAAAAUUGGCAAUAGUAGAAAUAGAGGCAAUUAUCCAACAUCAAACCUUGGCAUGCACUUACGAGCUAAUCACUAAAAAGAAGAAAAAAAAAUGAACGAAAACACCAAAAACCAUAACUGCUCCCCCCACACCUAAAUCCUACAUUGUCCUCAAUGGAGGUAAUAAAGUAAUGAAAGCGAAGAGAACAAUGAAAUUUCCCUGUUGAACAGCUAAGGGAUAGGAGGGAACAAUGGAGGGGAGCCGAGUUCUGAGACAUCCUUGCCACUUGACGGGUGAUGUUCGUCAUUCGCUCUUCUACGUUGUGAACCUGUGCUUGUAAGUGGCGCCACUCACCAUUGUCGCCAAUUAUCACCCCAAACAACAAAAGACAGAAUAUCCAACAAAGAUAGCAACCAACAAAUGCAAAUCCAUAGUCACUGGUGUUCCCCAACUCAAUAGUCAAAUGCAAAAGCAAACAUGGGCGCCCAAGCCCAAAUAUGGUCAACAAAGCAACAGUUUCACUCCAAAACCAACAAUCAGAAACUAUUAUCAACAACUGGAAACUAGCAAAGAUACGUCAAUAAGCACAGGGACUACCCAAUUCAGUCAGGCGGCUGGUGGAUGGCGGCUAGUCAGCAGCUGCCGCAGGCUGGAGAUGGCGAUGGAGCUGCUGGAGUGGAGGCGAGCUGGCGGUGCGCUGGUCUCGGUCGAAGAAGAAAAGAAAAGAAGAAGAAGAAGGAAGCGGGGAAGAAGAGGAAGAAAAGGGAAAGAAAGGAAAGAAAGAAAAGAAAAAGAAAGAAAGAAAAAACAAAGAAAGAAAGAAAGAAAAAGAAAAAGAAGAAAAAGAAAAGAGAAAAGGGGAAUUGUUUUUUUUUUUUUUUUGUAAAAACUUACGCUAAUGUAAAUCGUCCCAAUUGGAAAUUGCUGAAUUUUUUUUUUGUAAUAAUAAAAUUUUUAAAAUUUUUUUUUAGAGGGACUCCUGUCUUAGGCGUGGGCACGCUCAACUGCUAUAGAGUCCGCAGAUCCUGAACGAGAAUUUCUUUCCCUCAGGCGUGACCACCUGGUGUGGGCACGUCUAAUUGCUAUAGAGUCCGCAGAUCCUGAACGAGAAUUUCUUUCCCUCAGGCGUGACCACCUGGCGAGGGCACGUCUAACUGUCAGCUUCCUACCACAAAAGCAACAAAUCACUAAAUGCAACUAACACUUAACAAAAAUUCCAAAAAGCAUAAGAAAACUAAAAUAAAGAGCCUUGGGUUGCCUCCCAAGCAGCGCCUUUCUUUAAUGUUUUUGGCUAGACAUUGCCAUAUUUAUUCAUGGAGGAUAAAAUCGUGUAACUCGCUUCAGUGCUUCAUCUUCUAUGUAAUCCUGAUAGCCCUCGUAAAUAGAGUAAUUCUUGAGCACACGAGUUACGGUCUUCCAUGGGCUAGUAGAUGGCACCAAACAAACAAGUGAUGAUCUUAAAUCUUCACUCACUCCUCCAUCAAGAGCACUUAUUGGUUCGAGAUAUUUUGCCAUCAUAACUCUUAAUUUAUUCCUGGCAUGAAAUUCAAAAUCGUCUGGUAUAAUAAAAUCAAUCUCACUAACAGGAAUUAAAGAAUAAGAGUCAGGAAAAUAUUGAUCAAGGAAUGGAGAAGAUGUCACCGCAUUUGGAGAUUGUUCACUGGAUUCAUUCACUUGAACCAUUUGAUGUUGGGGUCUCAAUUCUUGCUCUUCAACUUUCUUUUCAACUACAUCUUUAGAUUCUUCUUCUUGAAACUCUUGCAGUACCAUGUUAUUUGUCAGAAUAAUUGCACUCUCAUCUUCCUCAUGGUCAAUAAUAGUCGGUGAAGGCAAUUCUUCAUAAACUGGAGAAAUCAAUUUGCUCAUUUUAGAUGCCCAUUCACGCCUUCCUUCUUUCAUCUCUUCACUCAUCUUUUGUGUCUCCUGCUGAAGUUGAUGUACCUCCUGUUGAAUUUGAUAUGUGUUAAUAGCUAUUAAUUCAACUAUUUCUUCAAGAGACAUACCUGACAUGGAUGACGGUUCUUGAGACUCAUAUUGCUGAAAAUUCAUUGGCUGCUGAAAAUUCAUUGGCCCUGUCGUAUAAUUAUAACUGGAGUUAUCCCACCAUCCUUGAUCAUACCCGUUUGGAUUAGGGUUAUGCCACGUUUGAGACCAUGGUGAAAAAUCUCCAUAAUUAUCGAGUAGGACACUCAGAUUAUCUCGAUAUUCGGGGCACAUACCGGUCGAAUGAUCCCUGGCAUAACAAAUUUUACAAGUUGCAGCAGCCAUUCUUUCUCUAAUAGAGUUUAGUGCCUCUAAAUAUGCAAAUUUAGCAAAACAACUAGUCUCAUCGCCUUCCCCGGAAACAAAAUCCAUUAUAUCACCAAAAUACGGAGUGUUAGAAGCCAUAAGUUAUAUAAAAAAAGAAAAUAAGAGAAAAAUAAAUUAAAAAUGAAAACAAGGUGAACUCAAAAAGAAACAAAUUAAUCUGACACCAGUCCCCGGCAACGGCGCCAAAAGUUGACAGGUGCCGAGCCUGUGCAAUAAUAAAUACCUACUCGAGAAAAAUACAGAUUUUGUAUAUAGCGGUGAGCAGGGUCGAAUCCACAGGGACUGGGGAUAAUUCGUUUCUUCUAGAGUCCAAGGUAUGGGGGGUUUUGGAUUAAAUGCUAACUAAAUAAAUUAACUGCAGAAAAUAAUUGAUUAAGAGAAAUAAUUAAGGGAAAACUCUAGCCAAGGGUACACUUCAGAAAUGGUUCAGGCACUGAACAUUGAUUCACAGAUAAUUCCACAUUUAUUAAUAGACCAGUUAUAGUUGUCAUGCACGCGAUAAACAGCCAACCUUUCCUUAAUUUCUCGAUAGUUAAGGUACGACCGUUAACUAUUUCUCUAACCCAAAAACAACCUUAGGUACGACCGUAGGAUUUAAUUUCUAGAUUGCAUUAAUAAUUAGAAAGACCCAAUCUUAACUAACAAACACGCUACGAGGGUUUGUUUAAAUUAGAUCGUAUGCUCCCCUGACAUAAACCCAAUUACGCCAGUUGCUACUGAGAUAAAGAUAACGAACAAUUACGGAUUCAAUUAUCCCUAUUUAGCAAAAUAGCCUAUGUGAAUAAUUAAAUAUUGCGUAUCUAUUCAAUCACUCACACGAGCUAUAGCAAUUAAAAGUAGGAAACAUAUAAAUACCAAUAAAUUAAGGAAGCAAUUAAAAUAAAUUAGAUCUCACAGUAAUUGUUGAACCAAAUCUUCAGUUGUCCCCUUGACUUGAAUUAAGAGGUUAGUUCUCCAUUAAUGGAGAACAAACAUGCGAAAGAGCUAAGAAAAGAAAACUAAAACUAUGCUAAAAGUCUAAACUAAAACUAUUGAUUGAUAAACCUCUCGUACGUUUCUCCAUUUUUAAAGCCAAAAGGAAGUCUAAUGCUAUCUCUAGUGGUCCCCACACCAAAUUCAAAGUCUUGUACGUUUCUUUUCCUAGAGUCCAAAUGACUCAUGCUUCUUAUCCGUGGUCCCCGCAUAUGUGGACAAAACCUCCAAAGUACUUGUUGUUCCAAGUCUCUCUACGUUGCUUUCUUUGAAAAGCCCAAAUGACUAAAUGCCUUGCACUAGCUUGUGGUCCCCACCAAUUCAAGGACCUAAAGGUUGAAGCCCUUAGAAGUCUGCAUUUUUCCAUACAAAUCCCUCUUUUUUGGUAAUUUUCUGCUUCACUCCUGAAAUUGAUUCCAAAUACCAAAUAUGAGUAAAUAUCAGCAAUUAACACAAUAUUUGUCAGGAAUAGAAGGGGAAAACAAUAAUAAAUUUACUAACAAAUUAUACCCUAUCAAUGUGAGACUUUCAAAAGUUUAGGGGAGGUAAGCGAACUUCUUAUUGUCCCCAGUGUUAUUGAAGUUAUUCAAAUUUGGAAGCAGGCAGGACUUUAAGAUUCAAAUAAUGAAGUGUCCAAAGUAAAAAGUCUACAUUUAAAGUGUCAUAUUACAAAAUGAGACAUGAUGGUGCAACAUUAAUUUCGUACUAAUGCUGAAUUUCUAAUGCAUAUCAAAUGUAAUUCCAAUUUCCAAACCUUUCUUUCUUGAUGGAACUGCUAGCCAUUUUUUAUAUCUUUGUUUUUUUUGAGGUAAUAGUUAACAGCCAAAAAGGGCACAAAAAUAUCAAAAAGGGCCUUGGGAGGAGGGGGAACAUAAAACGUGAAAUCCUUGGAAAACCACAGGUUUAGCAUCUUUACGGUAUAUCGCUUUGCAAUCACAGCUUUCCUCCUCUUAAAGCACUUUGAUCUUCACCCUGUUCUCAAGGUUUUCAAAUCCGGAUCAGAUCGAUCGGUUCAAUCGAUCGAAUCGCGAAUCGAUCAUGUGUUCGAUCCGGUUCAUAGCUUGUGUUGAUUUGAUUAAAAAAUCGGUCAAAUUCUAAAAAAAUCGUUCAAAUCGUUAAAUUUGGAUCGAACCGUGAACGGCAUUUUUUUUUCCGGAAAAAUUUGACUGAAUUUUGAGUCUUUGACCGAAAAGGACUAAACGCCUAAACCGAACGUCAUCUAAUUUCUAAACCUAAUCAGCUAAUCUUCAGUCUACUCUUCACAGUUCAGUGAGUUCACUCCACUACUCCAGUAUUUGGCUCUUCGCCUCCUCGCCGUCUUCAGUCUUCCUGCUUGGCUGCUGCCGCUGCUUUUGCCGACUGCUCGGCUUCCUGCUUUUGCCGACUCCUUGGCUUCUCAGUCAACUACUCCAGUCUUUGGCGUCUUCGGUCUUCCUGCUUGGCUGCUCUUGCGGACUUGCCGAUUUGCCGUCGGUGCUCAGCACGAAGUUUUAUCUUAACAAGUAAACUUGAUCCCUUCGGCCCUCUGUUUAUAUGUAUCAUCAAUUUCUUUUUCGGCCCUCUGUAUAUCUGUCUCAUCAAUUUCUUUUUUUUUUUAAUUUUGUUAGUAUAUUUCUGAUCUUGCUGUACUUAUUUUUUUGGGUUUUUUGAAAUUUUUAAAUACUACCCAAAAAAUAAGUUGCCAGAUUAUCUUGACGGGAAAAUGUUGGAAUUUAUGGAGGAAAAUAGCGGUGGAAUUUUUAUUAGUUGGGUAGUUUUGUUCUCUGUUUCAGUUUACUAGAAUAAUCUCGAGACUAGCUAUUCAGUUUUGUUCUUUGUUCUCUGUUUCAGUACACAGGUUAUGUCAUUGGAUGAUUGCACGCAUGAUUACUUAUUUGUUGACCAUGAUCAGGGUUUAUCUUGCAUGAUCAUGAGGAUGUGACAAAUUUUAUUCAAAUAAGAAGUCGAUCUUGAUGGGGGCCUAGUAAGGUUGCUGAUUUACUGAUCUUGUUGAGCUAAGUUAAUCAUCUAAAGCAAAUGAUUAGGUACAGAACAUUCUAAAAAAUAAGACUUGAUACCACCAAAGAUUAAUCUAGCCAUAAAUUACUUAGGCACUAUAGCGUGGAUAUGAUUAAUGUGCAUGAACCACAUUUAAUUGGCUGCCAUCUACUGCUGAUAAUAUGCUAAGACCUGGGAAUUUCCUUCGUAUACAUAUGUCUGUACGAGAGAAAUCAGUGGGAUAUCUUACAUAUUGUGAUGUAAUGGUGGAAUCUUAAACUCCAAACUUUGUAUAAUUUCCCUGAAAUUACCGCUCAACUUUCCCCCCACCUCCUUCCUCUAUCUCCACGACUAUCAAGGUGCUGGAAAGCAACGUUUUGAGAUUCUUGAUUCAUGCAAGUUAUCUUUGUUCUUUUUCUGACUCUUAUAUUUUUUUUCCCUCGUUUAUCUGAUCUUUAAUAUUGCCUCAUGGCAGAUGUUUUAGUAGCACAAUCUAAGGGGACUUUUAAAAAAAUGGUGGAUUAUGUAAUAUACGCAAUGAAUUAAGGGGACUCUUAUCAACGAAUUAAGGAUGUGAAUUUGAGCUGAGUAACCUUUUAUAUAGUCUCGUUCAUUUUUUUUUUGAUAUGCAGAUGGUUAGUUGAUUUUGUAGUAUGUUUUACAAUUUUUAGUUUCCCUCUAGUGAUCAUGGACUGGUUUUUGCACUAUGAAUUGGUUUACGGUAUUAGUAUGAAUUUUAUACUUUUAUCACUUGCCAGUGAUUCAUAUAAUGGUCUUGGAUGGUGGUAACGACUUGUCAAGGUGGCUUUUUUUAAAGCUUUGUUGUCCUAGAAUGACGAAGAAGAUUAUAGAAGCCUCAGAAAUUGAACUUGUUUGGACCUUUUGAGUGUUUUUUAGACUUAUAUUUUUUUUGUUAAUUCUAAUAUUUAGACAAUUGGACAUGUAAGUUGGAUAACUACAAUAUUGCUGUUAUGUUAAUUAUGAUAUAACAUUUAUAUUUUAUUCUGUGCACAGGUAUGUAUGUAUGUAUGAGUGUGUGUGUGUAUAUAUAUAUAUAUAGUUAUUUAUUUAUUUAUUUAUUGAACCACAGUUGAACCGGUCCGAUCGGUUGAACCUCGACCCUUUCACUUCACCGGUUCAAUUAACGGUCCGAGUUUUAAAACAUUUGCCUGUUCUCAGGGAUUUCCGAUACUAAUUCCAUUGAUGGCUUAAAAAAUCAUUCUAUAGAAUAUACAUCAAUAACGCUGUUAAAUAAGUGUUUGUAAUUAUCAUGCGUUAAAGUAAUACUUGUCAUAUAUCAUCUCAAUUCUGAAAUCUUCUCCAAUACUUGUCAUAUAUAAAACACUUGUUAUGCAGUAAAUACCAUGUAGAGACAGACUUAGGAAAAGAAUUUAAAAGCAUCAUACCGGUCCAAGUAAGUUGCACAAACGUCAAAUGUCAAACACAACAGUUUUAUAUGUUGCAUGAAGGUUGUUAUAUUGAGUCCCUGUUUCAUUUGAAAGAGACACCUUGAAAUAGCUGCCGAAAGAAACAAUCUGAAAACCUGUCAAAAUAUUUUUAUGUUCAUCUUUCUUGUUUCGCAGUAAGUACAAACAGGGGCGGACAGAAGGGGGGGGCCAGGGGGGGCAACCGCCCCCCCUCCAAUUGUUAAAAAAAAAUUUCUAAGUAAAAAUUUUUUUAUUAUUAUGUUUUACCCCUCAAAAAUUGAUCAAAAAAUUCACUUUGUCCCCCCAAGGGCCCAAACAAUAAUGUUUGAAAGUUAUUUGGACUUGGUCCAAAUAAUAGAGAAUUGCCAUUUUUCUUAACGGACUUCAUACAAGUGCAAAGAAAAGAUAGCCAGUUAACCUGGCAAUUGACUCUGCUACAGUUCUUCUUCCUAGAAAGUAGAAACAUCAAAAUCUUCUCACCUUGUUCCGCAGAGAUUUAUUAAAUCUGCUCAAACGAUACAUCAUUAAUUACUGGAAUUGAUCCUUGUGAGCUCACAAAGUCAUGGCUUCUCAUAAUCUCAUCGAGUAGAGACCAUUAAAGGCUUGAAGAACUUUCUCCUGUGAAGACCUUCCCCCGCACAUGGCUAAGGAUUGUACCAUUGCAUUUUGCAUGGUCUAGGUAAUUUUUCUUUUAGCAUUUGCUGAACGUGUCUUUUUUUUUUUUUCAGGAAGUAAAGGGGUUGUUUCAUAUUAUUGUAUCAUCAGAGCAGGCUAAUAAAUUAGACAUUGGUUGCUUAAAUUGACCUGUAAGUUGCAAUGCCAGAUAAACUAACACUGAUCAUCAAUACCAUUUCAGACUAUUGUAGCUAUUACCAUUUACCAGGUUAGUUUGACAUUGCAUUUAUUUAGUGAAAUGUGGGUGUAAAAAGUUCGCCCGCCAGUUAUUUGAUGAAUUGCUCGAGGGGGACUUCUAUAGUUUUUCGUACUUGACCUUUUGAAUUUGGGUGAUAAGCAUUUAUUUUAGUUGAUUCUGAGACUGGUUUCCUUUUCCAAUUUUCAUACUAAUUUUCAUACUCAAUUAGAGCUUUUCCAGAUUCAGUUUUCCUGUAAUUCUCAGGUUCAAAAUUUGUCAUCACUUCAGGAGUUGUGCCAAGUGUUAGCAAAGACAAGAAAGUGAAUGUGCUAUACUCUUGUUGAUAGAUUGAUUCGUCUUAUUUUGACUCUUCCUGUUUCAACAGCUACAACAGAGCAUGCAUUUUCUGCUAUGAAAAUCAUCAAGACUUGUUUGCGUUCUAGGAUGGAGGAAGACUUUCUUGCCAACUCUAUGAUAAUGUAUAUUGAGAAAGAAAUUGCUAGAACUUUUGAUAUAAAUUCAAUCAUUGAUGACUUUGAUAAAAUUAAAAGUCGUCGUGCACAAUUUCAUAUGUCCCACACAAUCAAAUGGAUUUGUAAAUAUGAUGAUAUUUUUGUAUAUGUGAAGUGUAUAAGUAAUUUUCAUUUUCUAUAAGGUUGUUUCUAAUCUUGUGAUAUAUAUGUUCACAUUAUUUUUUUUGUAAAUAUAUUUACUUUCAUUGCUAUGGACUGCCCCCCCCCCCAAAGUUAAUUCCUAGCUCUGCCACUGAGUACAAACUUUUCAUUCUUCAACUUAGCAAUAUUUUUGGAAGUCCAACAAAAGUAAUUUUCCCUAAACAUUUUUCUUUGCUGUUUACUCUUUUCUUCUCCAGCUUUAGUGAAUAACUGUCCCAAGCUAAUGAAAAUUACAAAUGAAAGAAACUGCAUGUAUAGUUUUGUUAAGCAAUCCAACUUUCCGUCCUCUAGAGAGAUUAAUUACAAACAAAUUAAAAAUCUCAGGAAAAAGACACAAAAUUCUUGAUUGAGUGCUUAUUCUCUGUCCACGGACACUUGCAGCUGCUAGACAAACUAGGGGACGAAAGAGUGGUAGAUGCUCCAAGUUAACUAAAAAGAAACCCAUGAGGGCCAAAAGCAGGGUCUGUUUCUUAAUCUAAUUACUAUGAGCUUGGUGAUUCACCACACUCUUUUACAAAUUGAAAUUAAAAUCAUGAAAAGCUUAAUAAAUAUCACAUUGAAUAUAUAUAUGUUUUUCAUUCUGAAUAAUUCCUAUUAAUGUUCAAACAUCAACUGAUAUUUUCUGAUGAAAUAUUUUUAACUAACACGAAUUCUUAUGAAAACUAAAACAUUUAUUUAAUAAAAGUAAUUUAUCUAAUUUCAAUUAUUACAACUAAAUUUAUGUCAUUAUCUUUUACACACUACAAUGCUCUUCAAUAGAAACUUCAGAGCAACUUGUGAGUUAGAAACUUAUUUCAUCAUAUAACUGAGGACAUGAAUGUCUUUUAGACCUUUCAUACAUAUAAAUGCCAACUCAUAUGUUUGACCAUUUUGUUUGUGGGGGGUAAUUUGUGAGUUUUCAAAUUAUAGAUAUAAUCUGCUACUCACUUCUUAUUAUAGGGGCAACUUGUAAUUAAGCCAAAUAUUGCACUUAAAUGUUGUUAGAAUGGAUAGCCCUCAGAGCGAUAAUCUUCUUGCCAGAGCAAUUAAAUUUGUAUUUACUCUCAAAUAUUUAAUUUUUGUUAAAUACAAAAUCUACCAGUUUCUCUUCCGUAAAAAUAUUAAUUAAUGUAACACUUUUUCAAUUUUAGUACAAAUAUUUAUGUAUUUAACAUAAAUUAAAUGAUUCAAAAUAAAAUGCCCAUAAAGAGCCAAUACUUUACUCAUAUAAUGGAUGAAAGCCAUAAAGAAUUAAUACUUUAUGGGUCAUUUCUUUUUUUAGAAAUGUUUAAUUUAUAUUAAAUAGAUAACCUAGCGAUUUCUUUUUUGUAAAAAUAUUACUGUAACACUUUUUGAAUUUUACUUACAAACAUUGAUAUAUUUAUCAUAAAUUAAAUGUUUGAGAGUAAAAUGCCCAUAAAGAACCGAUACUUUAAAUAGGUAAUGCGUAUUUGCCCAUAAACUACACCCCUUAAAGUUUAUUAAUUGUUAAUUGAUUUGUAGUACUGUGUCAUUCAUUUGCUAAUACUACUUGACAUGUAGCACAAAGAGCAAAUCUAGUACAAGCUUCUCAUUUCACUCCCUAAAACAAUAUUUUAAUCGUUUGAACUGAAUUUGCAAAGAAUUAGUAAGGUUAGGGGAGGUCAGUGCAAUUUUUCAAAUCACAGGGGAGGUCAGUGCAAGUGUCAGAAUCCUCAAGAGAGGUUUCUGCAAUUUUCCCUACAUUAAAAUGAUUGAAUUGAUGGUUCAGAUGUUUGAACUGAUAAAGUCAAAACCAAUCAGUCAUUUUGUUCAUCACUAGUCUGCGUUUCAAAAUAUUUUUAACUGUUAAAGUUGUUCAAAAUGUGGAAUACAUUAAAAAAAAAAAUCCUCCCUGAAUUUCUGGUAAUAUCAUUUAGCGUCCCUAUAGUUCUAAAAGUAUCACUUACCUUCCCCCCGCAAGUGAAAUGCAACAAAAAUUCACGAAUACAAUAAUCUUGUUUCAUCUUCUCCACAAAACCGUCAAUGGACUUUUUCUCAAUUCCCUGUAGCAUUAAAUUAACUCCAGCAAGGACUAAAAAUAGCCUCCAUCUUGAGUUGUCAUCUGGAAAAUUGAUGAAAGAGUUUUUGGCAACUUCAACAUACAAUAAUAAAGCGAAAAUAAAUAUAACAUACAAGAAUCUUGUUGUUUGGCCAAUUGACGUAUGCCACAAGUGAAAGAGCGGCAAGUUGACCGUAAAGAAGAGAGUACAAAAUUAUAAGUUUUAAAGUACUAAAUACUAAAAAUACAAAAAAAAAGUUUAGAUAUAGCAAAAGGCCCAACAACCUAAAAGAGGUCCAAAUAAGCUUCUCUAGCUCUUUCGGUUGGGAGUUCUCAAAAAUCUGUCUCUUAAAUUGGGGCCUCCCGAAUCUCUCUUGAUAUACUAACGGUCCAAGCUUGCUAUUAGUCUCUUUUCACAAGAAAGUCCAACAAAGAGUUUGGCACGACCUUUUCUAACCUUUUCUAUCUUAUCAGGUCUUCCAUUUGCAACGAGUUCUCUUUAUUACACCCCAUGACCAAAUGGGUGAGAAUCCUAUGUUUGACAAAUUUUUAUCAGAAGUGGUCAUGAAGUUAGCAACACCAGGAUGAUCUAUACUUUUCUUUGUUCCUUUGAUAAAGUAACAUCCAUUGUCUUGGUGGUAAGCGUAGAUAUCCUACAUUUAUAUCAACAGGAAAAAUAUAAAACUAAAAAAAAAAAGAAUUUAACCAAACCGAUUGACUAAUAAUUUUUUAUAUAUACAUAUAAAUUGUUUGCUCUAUAUUUUCUUAGCUUUCUUGUGUUUAUUAAUACUAUUCUCAGUUAGAUGCUAGAUGCUUAUAUAACCAUUAAGCAUACUCAGAGAUGUGGCAAAAGAAAAACUUCUAUCACGGUUGAAACUCCUUUAGAUUUUCACUUAGAAUGAGCCAAAUUAAAUGAACAUCCCAACACAGCAAAUUUGGCAAUUGAAAUACAUAUUUACUUCAAUUUACUCAUAAAACAAGUGACCAAAUUGGUACACGCAUGGCCACCAACAAAGCAGCUGUCUUUUCUUUAUUUUUUUUCUUUGCAGAAUCGAAUUUUCUGUCUCCUUCUUUCCUAUCUCUUUUUCUUUUCUUAGUAUUAAUAAGUGUGAAAAAAUUUGAGAAAAUCCUUUUAUUUUAUAUUUUUGAUCUCUUAAAGUGAAUAAUCAUUCUAACUUUUUUAUUUUUAAUUAUAUUUGCAAAAGGAUAAAUAUAUUUAAAUUUUUUUGACCAUAUAAGUUAGAUUAAUGAUGAAGUAAAAUGCCUAAAAAAUAAUGUUAGAAAUUAAAUCAAUUAUAUCACUAUAAUUUACAGGUAUAAAGUAAUAAUAACAAUGUAGUAAUACUAUCUAAUAAAAAGGUAUUUUUGUCCAAAAUUUCUUAACAUGUUGAGUUAAAUUACUUAUGGGGGUGAAGUGACUAAAAGAUAACGUUAAGGGGUAAACUGAUAGUGAUGAUAUAGUUUAAGGGGGUAAAGUGAUAAUAACCUUAUAUAUAUAUAUAUAUAUAUAUAUGAUUGAAACUCAUGAAAAUUGUCAAUCUUCUUUUUUUUUUUUUGGGCCUUGACGAAGUCCAAUCUAGACUUUCUGUAACACUUCAUCGUUGGGGUUGUCCAUUGCAUGGUUAGUAAAUGCACAUAUUAUAUCCAUAAAAUAUACGUUCCUACGUAUCAUUCAAAAAAAAUCAUAUUUCAUGUAUUUUAAAAAUAUUCUAAAAAAUACUCGUACUUUUCAAUUAAUCGCAUAAUAGUAUGUAAUAAACUUUUAACACUUUAUACUUCACAAAUUAUAGUUCAAUUUUUUAAAAAACUUGAGUAAGGAUAAUGACAUACUUUUUGAGUUAUAUGCAAAAUAAGAGCGAUGUAUAUGAUAACAACUAUAGAUUUAUACAUAUUAAAUAACAAAGUGAUAAAAUUUUAAUAGAUUUAACGUCUCAUACAUGAAAAUAAGUCUAAAAUUGGAAUAAGCAUAGCAUAGCCUGCAAAAAAUAUAGUAAUUUUAUCCAUACUUUUAGUUCCAUAACUUUCAAAGACGUUCAUAGUAUUCAAGUACAAAUUUAUGUGCGUAACACGUAUUUUCAUGCAGAACUUUUAAUCGUAUUUUUAAAAAAUUUCAUAUAAUAUGCAUACAUAUAAUGUCUUAUAUUAUACCGAUAACGUAUUUUACAAACUAUGGCCCAACGUAGACUUUGGGGCUGAAGUCGUCGUUCUUUGAACCAAAGUCAUUCCGGUUAUUUUGGUUUUUUUUUUAAACUAAAGUCGUUCCAGUUAUUUUGGUUUUUAUUUUGGUUAUUUAGUUCUUCUACCUACAUAGUAAAAGCGCGAAUGGAAUUGUUAAGAAUGGUGGUUGUUGUGCUGAUGUGGCUGUGUUUUAUUGGUUGAAGGGUGGUCGUCAUUCACGUGGGAGUCGCGUGCUUUCGGUGGGAGAAUAAGUGUGUGAUUUUUUGUUGUUGUUGUCCGAGAAUGAGGACCUUUGGUUUUGAUUGAAUUUGUUUCCAACAAGCACCGUUUCUCUGGUCAGCAAAUGACCAGCUGAGUAAGCUAAUGACGGUUGGUGAUGGUUUGAUUGAUGACAAAUGUUGGGUGGCUCUAGGGGUGCAGAGAAUUCGAGUAGCUUGAAUCGAGAUCGCGAGUAGCUUGGUUAGCUACUCGAAUCGAGCUCGAGCAAAUUCGAGCUCGAGUUGAUUUCAAGCUACUUGCUACAGUAAAACGAGUCGAGUUCGAGUAAUUCAUGGCAAGAAAUUUUAGCUCGUUGAGUAGCUCGAGCUUGGUGGCCUAUUUGUAUAUUUUAUAUAUCAAUUUACUCUUUUAGGUUUGUUAGUUAGAAUAUUUACGGGCUUAACCAGUUAUGUUGUAAUAAUAAUGAAGGGUGAAUAAGUAAUUUUGGCUUGUAAACUAAAAACGAUGAAAUGCAUUGCAAACUCUGUCCUUCAUUCGCCUUCUUCGUUCCUCUUCAGUCUUCAGUUCACUCUUCAGAGUUCAGCCUUCACUCUCAAAUCCCAAUCUCAGUCUUUGGCUCAUCUUCUCAAAUCUCAACUGUCACAACCCAUAAGGCAGUCGAGACAGCAGAAGUUUUAAAAACUUCCGCAGUUGAAGAAGGCUUGAAGCUACUCUUUCUUCUUCCUUCUCCGUAGCAGUAGGUCGCACCGUAGCAGUAGCAGCGUGAGCAGCCCACCAAUUUCAACAGCUGCAUUUGACAAAUUGAGGUACUUAUUGUGCAUUUGUGUAGUAAAUAUGUGCAUUAUGUGGUUAAAUUUUAUAACUCUAAUAUUAAUUUUUAAUCUCCAAACCCUAACCAAAAAAAUUGGGGGCUGCAGCCUGUGAUUCAAUAUAUUCCAUUUGCGUAUCCCAUUCCCUCUCCAUUGCUAUACUGGACCUUUGAGGAAAUAAAGGACAGCUCGAUUCCUUCAACAAGUGAUUCGGUAGUUGGUGCGACAGCUUCAAGAAUUGGUAAGUUUCUUGACAUUGGCUCUAAACAUCGAAAGGAGGAAAAAAAAAUUGUAUUGGAACGAAUUUCUGGGGUUAUAACAUGUUCUUGAAUCUUGAUUAAGAAUUCCAUCACUAUUAACGUGGGCCAAUUCGAUUAGUAUUUGACAGUCCCUUUUUUAUUUUUAUUUGUGUAUGUGCAAACUCAAUCAUGUUUAUACUUGAACUGCGCCAUUUUCUCAUUUUAAACUCAUUUUUUGGUUUCAUUGAACGUAAGCAUCGUAUCCAGUUUCUGUAUUUUCCCUUUUCUUUUGCUGCUGCUGUUGCCAUAAUUCACUGAGUUCCUUGAAUCUCAUUUGAUUGAGAAGUACCUAAUUAGCAGUUAGUUCAUGUGAAAAACUUAAGAUAUAAUUUGCAGUACCACAAUUCUAUGAAGGCUUCUGCUCUCCUUGCCCAUUCCUCUAUGGGCUAAGAUAUAAUUCACUGAAUUUUCUAUGAACUUUAGCCCUGAUAUGAAUGUUUUUUGGGAGCUGUUUUCAACUUUUGGGUACUUGUGUCAUUUUCAAUUUCUUGUAAUGUCUGUUUGGUUUGAAUUUAAUGUUCCGUGUGAAAUAUUUGAAGUGGAACUCAUUUUAUCAUUAAAAUGUUUGUUUUUCUAUUAAAGGCAUGUCUAUUAGUCCUCCCGAGGUUUCUUCAAUACCACAUGUGUCUGGGGCUGAUUCAUCCACACCAGUCAUGAUUGACAGCCCAGUAUUUCAUCAUCGUGAUAGCUGUGAUCCCACACAGGAGGAUGGUGACACACAACAAGAGGGAACUGAAGACACCAAUAGGCAGCAAGGAGACGCAACUGAAGAUGAUGGUAAAUUCCGAGUACCUAAAAGGAAUAAAACAUCUGAGGCAUGGGAAGAUUUCGACGAUUUGGAAGAAAAUGGCAUAUAUUAUGCCAUUUAUAAACAUUGUGGCAAGAAACUAAAUCGGGGAAAAACUAAACAAACCAGCAGCAUGUGGAGGCAUCGAGAAAACUGUUCUGUUAGAAAAACCAAGCUUAGAAAGGCUGAGCAACAAACAAAGAUAAACUUUCAGCUGGCAGAUGAGCGUUUUUCAACUGUACCACCAUUGCACACGGGCAAAUUCGAUAUGGAAGCAAUGAGAGAGGCUGCUGCACAUUGGAUCUUGAUGCACGAGCAUCCUUUCACAAUUUUGGAGGAAGAGGGUUUCAACAUAAUGAUGAAACGCGGCUGAUCGGAGUGGCAGAAGAUCUCACGCAUGACAAUAAAAAAGGAUUGUACACAGGUGUACGAGAUAGAGAAAAAGAAGUUGAAGAACUUGCUGAGGCAUGUACAGAAAGUCAGCUUGACCACCGAUAUGUGGAAAUCAAAGAAUAAAAAAUUUGAAUACAUGGUGGUGACGGGGCAUUGGAUUGAUGGAAAUUGGAAGCUUCAGAAGAGGGUGUUAAAUUUUGUUCAUAUUCGACCACCACGUCGAGGAGUUGAGAUUUCAGAUGCAGUUUUCAAGUGUGCAAAGGAAUGGGGAAUUGAGGGAAAAAUUCACACUAUUUCCGUAGACAAUGCCUCAAACAAUGAUGUGGCCGUGAGAUUAUUGAAAGAUGAUUUUGGCAGAUGCAAGAAGCUAUUAGGUGGGGGAAAGCUAUUUCAUGUUCGUUGUUGUGCCCAUGUCUUGAACCUUAUGGUUCAAGAUGGCUUGAAGGAGAUAGUGGAUAUUUGUGAAAAUAUCCGAGAUAGUGUGGAUUUUGUGAACAAGUCUGACGGUAGGGCAUUACUAUUUACAGAAAUUGCUCAACACCUGCAAAUUCCUGGAAAAAAAUUGCUCAAUGAUUGUAGGACGAGAUGGAAUUCAACAUAUGAAAUGUUGAGUUGUGCUAUAAAAUAUAAGGAGGUUUUUCCUCGUUUUCAAGUUCGAGAGCCCUUUUAUGAGUCUUGUCCAUCUUCAGAGGAUUGGGAGAAGGUUGAGAAAGUUUGCAGGAUUUUAGAGAAAUUCUACACAGCCACACACAUAAUUUCGGGGAGUGAGUAUCCAACUGGCAACCUAUUCCUCCCUGAGGUUCUAAAGGUGAAGAAACUCUUGGAUGCACGAGUGGAUGAUGAAGAUGACUUUGUUCGGAGUAUGAUCACAAGAAUGACGCUCAAGUUUGACAAAUACUGGAAAGAGUGCAAUUUAUUGAUGUCCAUUGCAACUAUCUUGGAUCCAAGACAAAAUGCGAGCAAUAGAAUUCGCCUUCCCUAAGAUGUAUUCCACAUAUGAAGCUCAAGAAAAUAUCACCUAUGUUCGAAAAGCCAUCUUUGAGCUUUAUGACGAGUAUGUUGCUAUGGGUACAAGUGGAAGUGCAGGAACGGAUAGUUCAUUAAAUGCUACAUCUGAAAUAGUGUGUGCACCUCGAGCAAGUGCUGACUAUUGGGAUGAUUUGGAUGAGUGUUGUGGUGAACUUGAAUCUGAUGAACCCCACAAGAGCGAGUUGGUGGAUUACCUAGACAAGCCUCGCCAGCCUACUGGACAAAAUCCAAAGGAUUUCAACUGUUUAGAUUGGUGAAAAAUCAACCGGUCAGCAUACCCGAUACUCUCGCAGCUAGCAACUGAUGUAUUGGCCAUUCCUAUCACUACCGUCGCAUUUGAGGCCACAUUUAGUGCUGGAACUAGGGUGAUUGAUUCUUAUCGUGCUUCACUUGCUCUAGAGACAGUCCAAACAUUAAUGUGUGCGGGCGAUUGGUGUAGAAAUUUACACGGGGUCAAAAAGAAAUUAAAAGUAAGUUAUACCUAUAUAAAUUUGUUAUUGCAGAGAUAAAUUAGUAUUUAUUAGUUUGUUUGUUGAUUUUAAAGUAUUAUGUUUAUUUGCAUUUCUACCACCUAAAUGUAGCCACAGAAAGCUCUCAAAGAAUUUGAGCUGCCCAAUGUUUGAAGUUGCACAAGGAGCAAAUAAUUUGCUGGAAAUCAGGUCCAUCUUUUAUGUGAAUUUUGAGUUUCUUGUUCUUAAUUUGCUUUAAGUUGUGUUCAAAUUUUAGAUUUAAAUUGCAUAUAAAUUGGUUGAUUUGUCAUUUGUGUAUGGCUAGGUGUUGUAGACUGUACACCAAAGUUUGAAGAUGCAUAAGGAGCAAACAAGCUAUUGGAUUUACCAGACGUUAAUGGCUGUACUUUUGUUUUUCCAGACGUUAAUGGUUACAUUCUUGUUUUCCCUAAAUUUUUCCUUUCAAUUGGCUUCACUCUUGUUUCUAUUUUUGUAAAAUUCUGUUGAGAAGACCUAAAAACUAGCUAGUUAUUGGUUGGAAUCUGUUGAGAAGGCCUAAACACUAGUUAUCGCUGUAUCGCAUGCCUUUGUUUCUGGUUAUUGAUCAUGGCCAUGAGGUGCUUGUCCUUCAAAGUUCAAAGAAGCAAUGGUAUGUUAAGAUGAAAUUGAAGUUUAGGCGUUUGAUUGAUUUCUUCAUCCACGGAAUGGUUUUCUUGCUUUCUGAUUCUUUGUCAGAUAUUAUGAUGUGGUAUUUCUCGUUGGAAAUUUGAUACAACUGAGGCAGGAUUUUAAGCUCCUGUCUUCGUGUUGGAGGGAUUUUCAUUGAUAAUUGAUUGUUCUUUCUUGAUUCUGUCUAUCGGUUUUGACUGAAUUUAGUUUUAAACUUUUAUUCUAAUGUGCAACUAGGUGGGUUGAAAUUCUCUUUUUCUAGAGAAGAUAUUACCUGUAUAAUUUUCAUGGAAUUUUGUUUAUUUAUGAGGGUGGUAUGCUUUCAGUUCAGACUCUAUCAUUCAUGUUUAUUGCACAAACCUUUGGGAGUUGCUUAUCUUUUGGUUUUUAUUGAAUGAAUAUACAUCUUCAGGUAUAUGAUUUUGUCCAUUCAGUGGCUUUCAGUUUUUAUUUUUGGAAAUCUGCAUAGAAGUACAUGUUUUCCAAUGCAUUCAAGAAUUUGCUUAUGUGACUGAGAGUCCUAUGUAAAGGUUUUAAUUGGUUCUUGGCUGAGGGACGGAAAUGUGUUGCCUUUCCCAAAUAUUGUUCAAUAAGACAUAGUUAUCCCAAUGGCCAUUUCUGUGAUGCUUGACUGCAUGAAUUGCUUUUAUGUUGGCAUCUUAAUAUAAGUGGGCAAAUGCACCCAAAUUCAAGGUCCAAGACUUUAAUUGGCUACUAAGUUUUCUUUCUUUGCAUUGCAAUUAAUCUUGUUCAAUUGAUAUUAAUGUACUUUAAUUCGAUUGAGUGCAUGCUCUUGCAUGGACACAGGCAUGUCUGAGGUUCUUAAUCACACGUUUAGGACGUUUUGACUGAUUGCUAUGGCUGCUAGCUUUAGUUUUUGUUCUGAUUCUGAUAAGAGUUUGUUCUUGUUUUGCUUGUUGUUGUUGUUGCUUUGAUCAGAAACAACAACAAGCAUUUGUUGUUGCUGUUGUUGUUGCUUUAAUCAGAAACAAUAGCCAGCUACUGUUGCUGCUGCAAUACUUGUAAUGGUUUCUGAGCUCUUGAGUCUUGACUUAGAGGAAGCUGAUGUUGUUGUUGUUGCUGUUCUUGUUCUGAUUCUGCCCGAGAGUUUGUUCUUGUUCUGCUUGCUGUUGUUGUUGCUUUGAUCAGAAACAAUAGCAAGCAUUUGUUGUUGCUGUUGUUGUUGCUUUGAUCACAAAUUGCAUGCCUUUCAAUAAUUGCAUGCUGUUGCUACUGAUGAUAAUUGCAUGCCUUUCGAAGGACUGCUGGUGGGAUUCAGGAGGCCUAUUUUUGGACUUGCAUUGAGUUGUUUCUUUCAUGAAAGGGGGCGAACAAACAGGCUGACAAAUUACAGGAUCAUUGAGCUCGAGUACUCGAGCACAGUACUGUGCUCAAGCUCAAUCGGAUGCAUGUCAAGUUUGAGUACUCGACUUGAGCUCGAUAUGCAUUUGUGACGGCCCCACCUCUCCCUAGGUCACACCCCAGGGUUCGGCAGGUCGCCUGCCCAACUCUCGCUGGGACUCAGUCGUUCACUACAGUUCUCAAUUAAAAAUCGGAAUAAAUCACAGGAAUAAAUAGGGCAACGAUCCAAAACUUAAAGCGAAACUUAUAUACAUUUCUAUCUCAAAAGAAAGUACAAACAUCAAAUGUACAAAGGUUCUCACUUUACCAUACAACCAGCCCGUGCCAAGCACUAGGGCGAAAACCCUUACAAAAACAAAGAGCUAGACCAAACUAGUCUAUACCAAGCUCUCAUCCUGCUCGUCGUCCCCUGUUAAGGAAAACAAAACUAAAGGGGUGAGUUAAAAGCUCAGUAAGGUCCUGAACACAUAAUCAAACAAUCAAUUCAAUACAUUAAACAUGAAGUAUCAAUAAUUCAAGAAACAUUUACAAUGGAAAGCGAUAGUAACACAUUCAUUAAAAGGAUACGGGCUCACAUAGAGCUAUUCGUUCGUUCGUUCGUUCUCCUGAUAUUUUCCCUUAUUCCUCCAAUCGUUUGAAAAUGUAUUUUUGUAAAUAAAAUCCCUCGUUCGUUCUUUCGUUCGUUCAUUCACCCCCUUCCUGGACAAUAGUCAGGCUCCACCAACCUACAAGGUAAUACUCGAGUAUACCAAACGUUCACACCCAGGAUCACCAUAUCGCCCGACCGAGUCCGCUUCUGGCUCGAGUCGAUCGAUAACGAAGGGCAGGGCCCAGUUCAGCCAAAAGGCUUACAUCAUGCGCAACUAACGUUUCCAUCAUUAAAUCAUUGAAAAGUUCAUACGUAUUUAGGUCGAGUGCGAUAAAGCACACACUCGCCCAGAAAACUCGUUUUGAAAAUCAUUGAAAGCACUUAACACGUUAUCAAACAAUAACACAAGUCAUGGAGUCAAGAAUAAUAUAGCAAACAAGGAACACUCACCUAUGUACGCAAAAUAACGUCCAAAAUUUCCUUCCGGAUACACCCUCAAUCACCAAGGUAUCCUAAUAUAAUCAAAUGAACAUAUUAUGCUUCAACCAUCAAAGAUUUAAGUGAGUCAAGUACAAGUCGAAUACGUACUAGUACAAAGUAUAAAUAUGAUUUUGGUAGUGAAAAGAGUACAUUGAAACCAAAGGACAUGAGUAAAAUAUUUGUAAACUUAGACUCACUUGUAAAACUUUAAAAUCGCUAGUUGAGUCAAAGUGGCAAAGAAAACAUAAACAACCUAGAUGGUUCGCGUGGUAUUCGCUCUCAAGUCUUACUCAAGUCGCAAGUAUAUCAACCUAGUUCUCGAGCGUAAAUUUGGGCAGCAUGCCCUUUGUAUUUACCUAUUUUCUAGCCAUUUAUGGCUUCAUUCUUCUCCUCAAUAAAUCCCAAAGUCAUACACAAAAUAAUUUCUGUGGCGGCCCCACCUCCCCCUAAGGCGAACCAGAGGGUUCGGCGAGUCGCCUACCCAAUUCUCGCCGGGACUCACUCACUCAAUCAUCUAACAUCAUCAAAUAUAAUUCGUAAAUAAACUUUACUUCUCGCAUAAGCCAAGUACUUAAACAAACCGUUCCAUUCAACUUUCUGUGUCCAAAAGUACAAUUUCAAGCAUCAAAGAAAAUGUCGAACUUAAAAUACUUAAAUUCAACUUAAUUUACAAUUUAAAAUUCCUAAUUCAGGGUACAGAAGCACCACAGGAUUCACAUUUUUCCCAAAGACACAAAGUCAUCCAAAAGAUACUAAAGUUUUCCCAAAGUACAAAUACAAAAGUGGGCAUUCAAAAUAUAACAUUUCUUUUCUAGUUCUCCAAGACUUCAUGCAAUUCAGAACCUGUCAAGGAAAACAAAUUGGAAGGGAUGAGCCAAUAGCUCAGUGGUGCCUCGAAACAUGCAAUUCACAUAGAGCAAUUUAACAAGUACAAAUGGACAAGUAAACAAUUAACAAUUUAGGAAAACGAAAUAACAUGACAAGAAAAGGAUACGGGGCUCUCAGGAGCCAAAGUCCUCGCGUCUGAUCAGGUAAUUUAUAGUAGUUGAUACUCCGUCAACUUUCACUACCUAAUCUCCAUGUAGACAUUUUCCCUAAUCUACACGUCUCCUAGCAACGACUUCCCCCUUAUUUUCGGGCCCAACUCCAACACGAAUUUUGCAAGCACUUUUACAAAGACGGCAGAGAGGUACCUCCCACUCUAAUAGAGCGUGGUACGUGCAUCCGUUUGGUUUAUUUAGUCGACGAGACCACGCUCCAAUCGACAUUGCAACACUUGUACUUGUGGCAUUUCACGCAAUCACAUAGCAUAUAAUAUUUCAUGAUAUCUCUAGCAAGUACUUUUAACAAGUAGUUCAACUAGCAGUUAAACACGAUUCAUGCAAGAGACACUCACCUCAAGUGAAGUGUCUAGAAUUCCAAACUUUGAUCGAGAUUGUGCUCUUCACCAACUCCUAAAAUCAUACAAAUAAUUCACAUAAAUUUCCACUUUUGAGUUGGCGAAUUUAACUCGAGUCAACUAGCAUUUAAUUUCACUCAAAAAAAAAAUUCCAAACUAGCAUUAAUCGUUCUCUCAAAGUGAAAUUCACAAAUUUCGAGUGAAAUUAAAUUUUGAGGUUUCUUUAAAACCAAAAACUUGAUAAAUUCGUCAAAUAUUCCAAUAACCAAGUUCUAGAGUCAUAUAAGCAAUUAACACCACUUUGGUAUCACAAGUUGAGAAAAAUCACAUUUAACCAUUUAGAGGAAUUUUCCCUUCUAAUUUUUCCCAAAAAUAUCUUGGGAAAUUCCUUUAAGAGGAAAUCAUCUAAACCAAGUAAAACUAGUCGUUGGAAUUUCUAUAAAAUAGAAACUCCUUAAGUUUGCCAAAUUCCAUUGACCAACUUGGUUCAAGGAUUUUCAUGAAGGCAAAAACUUGAGUUUUCAAGAAAAUUUCCAAAUUUGGCAUAUUUCUCGAAAUAGGGCAUUUGGUCUAAUAAAAUUCAAGGUUAUUGACUCAAAGUGGAUCUAGUAACAAAGGUUAAUGCUAGAAAACAUUUUUGGAACAAAUUUAGUCCACAUUUAACCAAAACGAAAUCCAAACGUCAAAAUCAUUUCCAAUUUCAAACAAAAUUUCUGUUUUGGGUAGCCUCGUGAAGAAUAAAAUUUUGGUCCACUUUUUGGAAGUAAACUCUACUAGAUUUUUGUCCCAAAUAGAGCUAUACACACCCCUUAACUAAACACAAGUCAAAUUGGGUUCAUGUUAACGUGAAAAUCAUUCAACAUGUCUCAUGCAAAGCAGGAAAAAUUUUCAAGUGCAUUCGGUACAAGCAGUCCAUUUUCUCUUCAAUUUGUCCAAAAAUUUUCACCUACUCAAAGGCUACAUUUUUACCCAAACAAUACUUCACAUAUAGGUUAACAUGUUUACAGCUCAAAUGGUUCAAAAACGUGUCAAAACCAAACCCCAUAUUCGCCCAAAAAUCUGGGAAUUUCCAGAAUUUUUCGGACAGCUCAAGGGCAUUUUUCUCUUUGAUUUUUCAAUGAAAUAUCCCAUUGUACCAAAGCUGCAUUUUCACCAAAACUGCUCUACACAUAUAGGUGAACAUAUACACGAUUUAAAUAGCUCAAUAACUUCACAAAAUCCAGCUCAAAAUUUCGGGUAAAAAUGGAAGAAAAACAGGCCUGCUGGUUCGGUUUAGCAGAGCAGAAUUUUCUCCUCUUUUUGCUCAACCAUCUUCAACUUAUAACUCAUAAUUUAAGUCCAUAACAAUCACAACUAAUUAGUCUAACCUCCCAACAAGCAAUCCAGUUCAUUACCUAAGCAAAAAUUGCAAAACAACAACCGGUAACAAAGUUGGAAAAUUGCUCCCUCAUCCGGCCAGCACCCCAUUUUCAUUCUUAAAAUUUUCCCAACAUUUAACCACCACAAAACACAUAUAUAAUCACAUAAAAUACCUCUAGCUUCAUCAAUCAUUAGCUUAGAGGAUCACCAACCCAACAAGUUUCACCAACGCAAGCUAACAUUUCAAGAACCAAAAGCUGCAAAAAUCUGAAAUUUUUGGCUAAGGUGCUAAGCUGGAGUUUGUUACCUUCAAGUGGGUUGUUUAGUAGCUAAAGGUAUUGUUUAGUUCCUCAAGUUGCUCCUAGAACCACAGAGGGUCAGCUGGCUCCCUUGCUCUCUGUUUCUCUCUCGGUCUGACCACCCACAGCAGCAACACAGUAGCAAACGUUAAGGUGAAGAGAAGCUUGGGUCUGGGGUUUUUGAGUCAGCUUGGAAGGUUCUGUGGUUGGAGGAAAGAAAAAUGGCAACUGGUUUCUCCUUCUCCCCUGGUCCGACGCAACGCCGGCAGUAGCAGCAGCGAUCUUCCUCCUCCUUGCUCGGUCGAGACAGCAGCCAAGAAUGGAGGUGGAAGCUGGAAAUGGAAGCUUGAAGAUUGGGGUGUGAAUGGCUGAGGAUGGAAGGCUGUUAGAAGCUUGGAAUGGCAGCGGCUUCUGCUUCUUCUUGCACCAGAGGAUCGAGAGCUUGGAGGGAAAGAGAAGGGUUGAUAGCUGGUGACAAGAUGGGAAGAAAAUUGGGGUAAUCUAGUGAGUAGGCUAGUUGACUUUUUGGGCAUGCCAUUAAUGGUGGGAAAAUUUUGAAUUGAAUCGCGUUUACGCGCGAGAAUUUUAUCUAUUGGUAGGAAUUCCCCAUUUAACAUUUCCUCAACUUAGUUGUACAUUUUUAUAAUCUCUACAUACCCUACAUUUCAACUUAGGGUUACAUUGCGCGUCAGUGCACAAAAAUUCACCCUAAAGCUUAGUCGAACGCGAACCGUCAGAUAAAUUUAUAAAAAUUCAUGUAAAUUAAAAUAGGAUAUUUAUACAAGUGAAAACAUCAUUAAUAAUAAAAAUACACAUUAUUAAAUAUAAAUACAUAUUAUUUAAUAAUUUCAACAUUUAAAUAAUAUUUUGAUUUUAAUUUUCAGAAAUUAAUGCAUCCUCACAAUUUCAUCAUAAUAGCCGUGCAAUAGGCUCCAUCAGAACGUAUAAGUACUAAAGUAAGCUAGGGAAAGUCCAGAAAUGAAAGUUAAGCCCUAAAACCCAAAGAUACGUUUGACAUCAUUUAGCGUAUUGGACACAACUAGUGCUACGAUUAUCGCAUUGGGGUGUAAUCUAUACCGUUGCGAAGCUAAGAUAGAGGGCUACAACUUUGAUGAAGGGUACUCAGUCCAGUUUACAAUGUUUCUAGGUCAAAUGUACUAAAACAACCCCAGAUUUUCCAAUUCGAAGUUUACUGUGGCAGUCCUGAUUCAUUCAGCCAUAUCUCAGCAUAUACAACUCCAAUUCAAGUGAUUCCAAAGCCAUUUGAAAGCUAAGAUACAAGGCUAUAAGUCUUUAGAAGACAUCGAAAACCAAAUCAGUAGUAUUCCUAGUCAAAACAACCAAUUAUAGAAGCUGAUUAGCAUGUUCGGAUAGAAAAAGGGCAGUAGGGGUAUUUCAGUCUUUUCACAGGCCACAUUGCUCCAAUUGAGCUGAAAUUUUUCAGGCUACUAUAAAACAUCAUUCUCUACAAUGUUCAUGUUUUAACCCAAGACUAAUUCAGCGUCUUACUAGGGGAAACAAUACCGGGCAGAAGGGGGAAAAAUGGAAACCCUAAUCUGGAAAUUUUUGCUUCAAACCAGAAAUUUUCCACUAAUCCUUACAAUUAUCAUACCAAAGCUUCAUUCUAACCCAUACUAGACCAUCAUACAUGGCCAAACAAUAUUAAUCAUAUUAAAACAGAAAAAUCAUGAAUAAAUAUAAAACUUCACCAAGUUCAACCAAAAAUCAUGAAGCAACACCUAAAAUCAUCACUUCAUCUCACAUAAGCCACUAAUUAAGCAUUAUUGAGAAGAAAGAGAGGUCCCUUAGCUACUCACCUUAACAAACCAAGAAAAGAAGCAACUUGGCACCUUAAUCUUCCAAACCACUUGACAACCAACCUUAAUACCACUAAACUAAGAGGUUUUAGGGAAUAAUUUGAAGUUUUAUCGGUUAAAUUGUGAGAUUGAGCAAGAUUGAGUAGAAGAAAUUUGAUAGCUUUCUUUCGUUUGCUCUCCAAGAAAUUCGGCCAAGAGAGGGCAAGAAUGAAGAAGAUUUGGGUCAAUUUUGAUUUUGGUAAAGUUAAAUAAGAGUUGGUCAAGUCCAACUUCCAAUGGAUUCGCGACACGUGGCACCUUAGAUGUCUCAAGCUUAUUUUCUUUCUCCCAAUGGUUAAUAUAUCUAGUUAACCUCUAAUAAUCUCUUAGCACCUUGUAAAAUAAUAGUCCUUAACACAAACUUCAACUAGGGGUCAAAAUGUUAUCACACUAACCGCACUAGCGGGUCCCACAUCCAAGACACACUACUAAUGUCACAUAAACUAACUUACACUAGAAAAAUUAUUUUAAAACUAUACUUACUUAUAAAAUCUCUGGAAAAAUUAAUAUAAUAGGUAUAAUGAAGAAAAUGCAUGUGAAAGAAUAAAAUAAAAUAAUAUAAAAUAUGAAAAAUUUACGGGUCCUCACACUCUCUCCCCCUUAAGAAAUUUCGUCCUCGAAAUUUUACCUUCAGUUGCCUCAGACGAGUCCGGAAAUUGUCGGUUGUCUAAAGCAUAAACCUUUGCCGGUACACUGGUUCGUUUCCCUCUUUCAUUCGCUUGUGAUUUAGCUCCAUCCAGUUGCAGAGUAUUGCUUUCACGUGACUGUCUCCUCGGACAGUUGCUAACUUGAUGAUCGCCACUUCCGCAGAUUAAACAUUUCCGCCCUUUUCUCCAACAAUCGCUUUCGGCAUGAUUUGCCUUUCCAUAGUAUCCACAGACCACGUGAGAAGCCAUCUUUUGGCUUUCUUGAAAACUUUUUCCAGGUCUGAUUUGGCUUCCUUUUGUAGAUCGUUCAUCUACCGCCCCUAAUGUCCAUGGUGGGCGGAGUAACGGGUUCACUUUCUGCACUUUAGGAGCUGCUAUCGUUUCACUUAAUUCCUCCACUACACUACCCGAUGCACUCCUUUUCCGGUUCUGGGAGGCUUUUACCUGUGCCUUUGCAGUCUCGAUUCUUUGAGCUUUCUCAAAGGCCUCCGUAAACGAAUUGACUUAUACCGCCGCUAAUGCUUCUUGGAUUUCCAAAUUUAAUCCCUGUAUGAACCGUCUUACUCUUCGCCGCUCUGUGGCCACCAAUUCAGAAGUAAACGUGGAUAGUUUCGUAAAUUUCGUUUCAUAUUCGGCCACACUUAGCGUUCCCUGGCGUAGCCCAAUAAACUCCUCCUCUCUCCUCUCUUGAACUAAAGGAGGGAGGUAUUUCUCGUUAAAUUUUCUUAUGAAAUUCGCUCAUAUCCGUACGGUCUGUUCUCUUUUCCAUUUUGCUUUAAUAACGUUCCACCACGCUCAGGCUGGUCCUUCAAAUUGGAACACCGCAAAGUUUCCUUGUCUUUGCUCGGUGUAGUUCAAGACUGUGAAAAUAUUAACCAUGGCGUCUAACCAUUGUUCGGCUAUAUUCGGAUCAGAUCCUCCAAGGAAUUUUGGAGGAGUAAACUUCUGAAACCUCUCAAGAGCCUUAUCUUCUCCGAUUUCAGGGUUCUGGGGUUGAGUCAUGGCCAUUUGGCCUUGUUGAUCCACCAGUCUUGCCAAGAUGUCUGUCAUUUGUUGCAUUACCGUCGCCAUUUGGUCUCCAGUCACAACUCUCGGUCCCUGCUCUUAUUCAGCUCUUAUUUCCCUCUCUUCUCUUGGCUCCUGGUCUCGUUUAUUCCCACGGCCACGUCCACGUCCACGAAUACGUCUCCCGUCCAUAUAUAUGUUUUCCCUCUCUCUUUUCUUUUCUUUUCUCCCAAAAAGGUAAUUUAGUGAAUAAACACAAUAAGGUGACUAAAGUAACUAAAAUUGAGGGCACCAAAUACCCAAAUAAACAUAUACCCACAUAACACACCACAUAAACAUAUCAAGGAAACAAAUAAUCUAAUACACAAAUACGUCUCAAGUCAGGCAGAUAUUCAUAUACACAAAUACACAACUGACGGCAUGUAGUCACAAUAUACGGGUGAAUCAAAAGAAAAGGGAUAUAUCGUCCCACACCCAACUAGAAUAACCCCGUCCGGUCUCUCACGUCACUUUCUAUCCGACUCGAUGGCCAUUGACCUCUUGUACUCAUUCUAACCGGACAAAGCCUGUUCAUGUUUCCAAAAUGAAAUUUUCAAGUACUUAAAGCCGCCUCAACUUUAGAGUACUCGGGCACGAAAAUUCGAAAUAAGAUAAUUCACAUCUCGAGCGGGCCAGUCCCAAGAGUAAACUAUCUACAAUCGAAAUUCCUAUCCGACGUACCUAUCUAUGAUCCUUAGAUACCACAGAAAAGAUUUAAGGCCUAUAACAUUUGCAAUUCAUAACUUACGCUCGAACGAGCACUUAAUCCUUCAUACCUAUUCACCACUCAAUCCAGGCUCACUCCGCGCCGAGACCACGUGAAGAGACCACGCGAAGCAACUAUAGGUUAUAUCUCUCAAUUGCUUAACUUUCAAAUCAAAUCGAAUCCCAUAGUCCGGUAUCCUAAAAUUUAUCUUAGGAUACACUACAAAGAUCUGAAACCUUAGCUCUGAUACCACCUGUGACGGCCCCACCUCCCCCUAGGUCGCACCCCAGUGUUCGGCGGGUCGCCUGCCCAACUUUCGCCGGGACUCAGUCGUUCACUACAGUCCUCAAUUAAAAAUUGGAAUAAAUCACAGGUACAAUGAAGAAAAACGAUCCAAAACUUAAAGUGAAACUUAUAUACAUUUCUAUCUCAAAAGGAAGUACAAACAUCAAAUGUACAAAGAUUCUCAAUUCACCAUACAACUAGCCCGUGCCAAGCACUAGGGCGAGAACCCUUAUAAAAACAAAGAGUUAGACCAAGCUAGUCUAUACCAAGCUCUCAUCCUGCACGCCGUCCCCUGUUAAGGAAAACAAAACUAAAGGGGUGAGCUAAAAGCUCAGUGAGGUCCCGAACACGUAAUCAAACAAUCAAUUCAAUACAUUAAACAUGAAGUAUCAAUAAUUCAAGAAACAUUUACGAUGGAAAGCGAUAGUAACACAUUCAUUAAAAGGAUACGGGCUCACAUGGAUCUAUUCGUUCAUUCGUUCGUUCUCCUGACAUUUCCCCUUAUUCCUCCAAUCGUUUGAAAAUGCAUUUUUGUAAGUAAAAUCCCUCGUUCGUUCUUUCGUUCGUCCAUUCACCCCCUUCUUGGACGUUGGUCAGGCUCCACCAACUUACAAGAUAAUAUUCGAGUAUACCAAACGUUCACACCCAAUGUCACCAUAUCGCCCGACAGAGUCCUCUUCUGGUUCGAGUCGAUCGGUAACGAAGGGCAGGGCCCAGUUCAGCCAAAAGGCUUACAUCAUGCGCACCUAAUGUUUCCAUCAUUAAGUCAUUGAAAAGUUCAUACGUAUUUAGGUCGAGUGCAAUAAAGUACACACUCGCCCAGAAAACUCAUUUUGAAAAUCAUUGAAAGCACUUAACACGUUAUCAAACAAUAACACAAGUCAUGGAGUCAAGAAUAAUAUAGCAAACAAGGAACACUCACCUAUGUACGCAAAAUAACGUCCAAAGUUUCCUUCCGGAUACACCCUCAAUUACCAAGGUAUCCUAAUAUAAUCAAAUGAACACAUUAUGCUUCAACCAUCAAAGAUGUAAGUGAAUCAAGUACAAGUCGAUUACGUACUAGUACAAAGUAUAAAUAUGAUUUUGGUAGUGAAAAGAGUACAUUGAAACCAAAUGACAUAAGUAAAAUAUUUGUAAACUUAGACUCACUUGUAAAACUUUAAAAUCGCUAUUUGAGUCGAAGUGGCAAAGAAAACAUAAACAACCUAGAUGGUUCGCGUGGUAUUCGCUCUCAAGCCUUACUCAAGUCGCAAGUAUAUCGACCUAGUUCUCGAGCGUAAAUUUGGGCAGCAUGCCCUUUGUAUUUACCUAUUUUUCAGCCAUUUAUGGCUUCAUUCUUCUCCUCAAUCAAUCCCAAAAUCAUACACAAAAUAAUCUCAUCAUAAUAGCCGUUCAAUAGGCUCCAUCAAAACGUAUAAGUACUAAAGUAAGCAAGGGAAAGUCCGGAAAUGAAAAUUAAGCCCUAAAACCCAAAGACAGAUUUGACAUCAUUUAGCGUAUUGGACACAACCAGUACUACGAUUAUCGGAUUGGGGUGUAAUCUAUACCAUUGCGAAGCUAAGAUAGAGGGCUACAACUUUGACGAAGGGUACUCAGUCCAGUUUACAAUGUUUCUAGGUCAAAUGUACUAAAACAACCCCAAAUUUUCCAAUUCGAAGUUUACUGUGGCAGUCCUGAUUCAUUCAGCCAUAUCUCAGCAUAUACAACUCCAAUUCAAGUGAUUCUAAAGCCAUUUGAAAGCUAAGAUACAAGUCUAUAUGUCUUCAGAAGAUAUUGACAACUAAGUCAGUAGUAUUCCUAGUCAAAACAACCAAUUACAGAAGCUGAUUAGCAUGUUCAGAUAGAAACAGGGCAGCAGGGGUAUUUCAGUCUUUUCACAGGACACAUUGCUCUGAUUGAACUGAAAUUUUGCAGGCUAUUAUAAAAUAUCAUUCUCUACAGCUUUCAUGUUUUAAUCCAAGGCUAAUUCUGUCUCUAACUAGGGGAAACAGUACCGGACAGAAGGGGGAAAAAUGGAAACCCUAAUCUGGAAAUUUUUGCUUCAAACCAGAAAUUUUCCACUAAUCCUUACAAUUAUCAUACCAAAGCUUCAUUCUAACCCAUACUAGACCAUCAUACAUGGCAAACAAUAUUAAUCAUAUUAAAACAGAAAAAUCAUGAAUAAAUAUAAAACUUCACCAAGUUCAACGAAAAAUCAUGAAACAACACCUAAAAUCAUCACUUCAUCUCACAUAAGUCACUAAUUAAACAUUAUUGAGAAGAAAGAGAGGUGCCUUAGCUACUCACCUUAACAAACCAAGAAAAGAAGCAACUUGGCACUUUAAUCUUCCAAACCACUUGACAACAAACCUUAAUACCACUAAACUGAGAGGUUUUAGGGAAUAAUUUGAAGUUUUAUCGGUUAAGUUGUGAGAUUGAGCAAGAUUGAGUAGAAGAAAUUUGAUAGCUUUCUUUCUUUUGCUCUCCAAGAAAUUCGGCCAAGAGAGGGCAAGAAUGAAGAAGAUUUGGGUCAAUUUUGAUUUUGGUAAAGUUAAAUAAGAGUUGGUCAAGUCCAACUUCCAAUGGAUUCGCGACACGUGGCACCUUAGAUGUCUCAAGCUUAUCUUCUUUCUCCCAAUGGUUAAUAUAUCUAGUUAACCUCUAAUAAUCUCUUAGCACAUUCUAAAAUAAUAUCCCUUAACACAAACUUCAACUAGGGGUCAAAAUUUUAUCGCACUAACCGCACUAGCGGGUCCCACGUCCAAGAUACACUACUAAUGUCACAUAAACUAACUUACACUAGAAAAAUUAUUUUAAAACUAUACUUACUUAUAAAAUCUCUGGAAAAAUUAAUAUAAUAGGUAUAAUGAAGAAAAUGCAUGUGAAAGAAUAAAAUAAAAUAAUAUAAAAUACGAAAAAUUUACGGGUCCUCACACUCUCUCCCCCUUAAGAAAUUUCGUCCUCGAUAUUUUACCUUCAGUUGCCUCAGACGAGUCCGGAACUUGUCGGUUGUCUAAAGCAUAAACCUUUGCCAGUACACUGGUUCGUUUCCCUCUUUCAUUCGCUUGUGAUUUAGCUCCAUCCAGUUGCAGAGUAUUGCUUUCACGUGACUGUCUCCUCGGACAGUUGCUAACUUGAUGAUCGCCACUUCCACAGAUUAAACAUUUCCGCCCUUUUUUCCAACAAUCGCUUUCGGCAUGAUUUGCCUUUCCACAGUAUCCACAGACCACGUGAGAAGCCAUCUUUUGGCUUUCUUGAAAACUUUUCCCAGGUCUGAUUUGGCUUCCUUUUGUAGAUCGUUCAUCUACCGCCCCUAAUGUCCAUGGUGGGCGGAGUAACGGGUUCACUUUCUGCACUUUAGGAACUGCUAUCGUUUCACUUAAUUCCUCCACUACACUACCCGAUGCAUUCCUUUUCCGGUUCUGGGAGGCUUUUAUUUGUGCCUUUGCAGUCUCGAUUCUUUGAGCUUUCUCAAGGGUCAACGUAAACGUAUUCACUUGUACCGCCGUUAAUGCUUCUUGGAUUUUCAAAUUUAAUCCCUGUAUGAACCGUCUUACUCUUCGCCGCUCUGUGGCCACCAAUUCAGAAGCAAAUUUGGAUAGUUUCAUAAAUUUCAUUUUUUAUUCGGCCACACUUAGCGUUCCCUGGCGUAGCCCAAUAAACUCCUCCUCUCUCCUCUCUUGGACUAAAGGAGAGAGGUAUUUUUCGUUAAAUUCCCUGAUGAAAUUCGCCCAUGUCCAUACGAUCUGUUCUCUUUCCCAUUUUGCUUUAAUAACGUUCCACCACGCUCGGGCUGGUCCUUCAAAUUGGAACACCGCAAAGUUUACUUGUCUUUGCUCGGUGUAGUUCAAGACUGUGAAAAUAUUAACCAUGGCCUCUAACCAUUGUUCGAUUAUAUCCGGAUCAGAUCCUCCAAGGAAUUUCGGAGGAGUAAACUUCUGAAACCUCUCAAGAGCCUUAUCUUCUCCGAUUUCAGGGUUCUGGGGUUGAUUUACGGCCAUUUUGCCUUGUUGAUCCACUAGUCUUGACAAGAUAUCCGUCAUUUGUUGCAUUACCGUCGCCAUUUGGUCUCCAGUCACAACUCUCGGUCCCUGCUCUUGUUCAGCUCUUAUUUCCCUCUCUUCUCUUGGCUCCUGGCCUCGUUUAUUCCCACGGCCACGGCUACGUCUCCCAUCCAUAUAUAUGUUUUCCCUCUCUCUUUUCUUUUCUUUUCCCCCAUAAAGGUAAUUUAGUGAAUAAAUACAAUAAGGUGACUAAAGUAAUUAAAAUUGAGGGCACCAAAUACCCAAAUAAACAUAUACCCACAUAACACACCACAUAAACAUAUCAAGGAAACAAAUAAUCUAAUACACAAAUACGUCUCAAGUCAGGCAGAUAUUCAUAUACACAAAUACACAACUGACGGCAUGUAGUGACAAUAUACGGGUGAAUCAAAAGAAAAGGGAUAUAUCGUCCCACACCCAGCUAGAAUAACCCCGUCCGGUCUCUCACGUCACUUUCUAUCCGACUCGAUAUCCAUUGACUUUUUGUACUCAUUCUAGCCAGACAAAGCCUGUUCAUGUUUCCAAAAUGAAAUUUCCAAGUACUUAACGCCGCCUCAACUUUAGAGUACUCGGGUACGAGAAUCCAAAAUAAGAUAAUUCAUAUCUCGAGCUGGCCAGUCCCAAGAGAAAACUAUCUACAAUCGAAAUUCCUACCCGACGUACCUAUCUAUGAUCCUCAGAUACCACGGAAAAGAUUUAAGGCCUAUAACAUUUGCAAUUCAUAACUUACGCUCGAACGAGCACUUAAUCCUUCAUACCUAUUCACCACUCAAUCCAGACUCACUCCGCACAGAGACUACGGGAAAAGACCACACGAAUCAACUAUAGGUUAUAUCUCUCAAUUGCUUAACUUUCAAAUCAAAUCGAAUCCCACAGUCCAGUAUCCUAAACUUUAGCCUAGAAUACACUACAAAGAUCUGAAACCUAAGCUCUGAUACCACUUGUGACGGCCCCACCUCCCCCUAGGUCGCACCUCAGGGUUCGGCGGGUCGCCUGCCCAACUCUCGCCGGGACUCAGUCGUUCACUACAGUCCUUAAUUAAAAUUCGAAAUAAAUCACAGGAAUAAAUAGGGCAACGAUCCAAAACUUAAAGCGAAACUUAUAUACAUUUUUAUCUCAAAAGGAAGUAGAAACAUCAAAUGUACAAAGGUCAUCAAUUCACCAUACAACUAGCCCGUGCCAAGCACUAGGGCGAGAACCCUUACAAAAACAAAGAGCUAGACCAAACUAGCCUAUACCAAGUUCUCAUCCUGCUCGCCGUCCCCUGUUAAGGAUAACAAAACUAAAGGGGUGAGUUAAAAGCUCAGUGAGGUCCCGAACAUGUAAUCAAACAAUCAAUUCAAUACAUUAAACAUGAAGUAUCAAUAAUUCAAGAAACAUUUACAAUGGAAAGCGAUAGUAACACAUUCAUUAAAAGGAUACGGGCUCACAUGGAUCUAUUCGUUCAUUCGUUCGUUCUCCUGACAUUUCCCCUUAUUCCUCCAAUCGUUUGAAAAUGCAUUUUUGUAAGUAAAAUCCCUCGUUCGUUCUUUCGUUCGUCCAUUCACCCCCUUCUUGGACGUUGGUCAGGCUCCACCAACCUACAAGGUAAUACUCGAGUAUACCAAACGUUCACACCCAGGGUCACUAUAUCGCCCGACCAAGUUCGCUUCUGAUUCGAGUCGAUCGGUAACGAAGGGCAGGGCCCAAUUCAGUCAAGAGGUUAACAUCAUGCGCAACUAACGUUUCCAUCAUUAAAUCAUUGAAAAGUUCAUACGUAUUUAGGUCGAGUGCGAUAAAGUACACACUCGCCCAGAAAACUCGUUUUGAAAAUCAUUGAAAGCACUUAACACGUUAUCAAACAAUAACACAAGUCAUGGAGUCAAGAAUAAUAUAGCAAACAAGGAACACUCACCUAUGUACGCAAAAUAACGUCCAAAGUUUCCUUCCGGAUAAACCCUCAAUUACCAAGGUAUCCUAAUAUAAUCAAAUGAACACAUUAUGCUUCAACCAUCAAAGAUGUAAGUGAGUCAAGUACAAGUCGAAUACGUACUAGUACAAAGUAUAAAUAUGGUUUUGGUAGUGAAAAUAGUACAUUGAAACCAGAGGACAUAAGUAAAAUAUUUGUAAAUUUAGACUCACUUGUAAAACUUUAAAAUCGCUAUUUGAGUCGAAGUGGCAAAGAAAACAUAAACAACCUAGAUGGUUCGCGUGGUAUUCGCUCUCAAGCCUUACUCAAGUCGCAAGUAUAUUGACCUAGUUCUCGAGCGUAAAUUUGGGCAGCAUGCCCUUUGUAUUUACCUAUUUUUCAGCCAUUUAUGGCUUCAUUCUUCUCCUCAAUCAAUCCCAAAGUCAUACACAAAAUAAUCUCAUCAUAAUAGCCGUUCAAUAGACUCCAUCAAAACGUAUAAGUACUAAAGUAAGCUAGGGAAAGUCCGAAAAUGAAAGUUAAGCCCUAAAACCCAAAGACAGAUUUGGCAUCAUUUAGUGUAUUGGACACAACCAGUACUACGAUUAUCGGAUUGGGGUGUAAUCUAUACCGUUGCGAAGCUAAGAUAGAGGGCUACAACUUUGAAGAAGGGUACUCAGUCUAGUUUACAAUGUUUCUAGGUCAAAUGUACUAAAACAACCCCAGAUUUUCCAAUUCGAAGUUUACUGUGGCAGUCCUGAUUCAUUCAGCCAUAUCUCAGCAUAUACAACUCCAAUUCAAGUGAUUCUAAAGCCAUUUGAAAGCUAAGAUACAAGUCUAUAUGUCUUCAGAAGAUAUCGACAACUAAAUCAGUUGUAUUCCUAGUCAAAACAACCAAUUACAGAAGCUGAUUAGCAUGUUCAGAUAGAAACAGGGCAGCAGGGGUAUUUCAGUCUUUUCACAGGACACAUUGCUCUGAUUGAACUGAAAUUUUGCAGGCUAUUAUAAAAUAUCAUUCUCUACAGCUUUCAUGUUUUAAUCCAAGGCUAAUUCUAUCUCUAACUAGGGGAAACAGUACCGGGCAGAAGGGGGAAAAAUGGAAACCCUAAUCUGGAAAUUUUUGCUUCAAACCAGAAAUUUUCCACUAAUCCUUACAAUUAUCAUACCAAAGCUUCAUUCUAACCCAUACUAGACCAUCAUACAUGGCCAAACAAUAUUAAUCAUAUUAAAACAGAAAAAUCAUGAAUAAAUAUAAAACUUCACCAAGUUCAACCAAAAAUCAUGAAACAACACCUAAAAUCAUCACUUCAUCUCACAUAAGUCACUAAUUAAACAUUAUUGAGAAGAAAGAGAGGUUCCUUAGCUACUCACCUUAACAACCCAAGAAAAGAAGCAACUUGGCACUUUAAUCUUCCAAACCACUUGACAACAAACCUUAAUACCACUAAACUGAGAGGUUUUAGGGAAUAAUUUGAAGUUUUAUCGGUUAAGUUGUGAGAUUGAGCAAGAUUGAGUAGAAGAAAUUUGAUAGCUUUCUUUCUUUUAAAACUAUACUUACUUAUAAAAUCUCUGGAAAAAUUAAUAUAAUAGGUAUAAUGAAGAAAAUGCAUGUGAAAGAAUAAAAUAAAAUAAUAUAAAAUACGAAAAAUUUACGGGUUCUCAUAGCAUUCGAGCUCGAUCGAGUCGAGUACGAUCUUACUCGUGCUUGUCUCGAGUCAAUCCCAAUCUUCAUUGCUCGAGCUUGAUCGAGCUCCUGAUAGAUGUUGUCGUGUUCGAACUCGAGUAGGCUACUACUCAAGCUCGACUCGGCUCGAUUUCACCCCUAGGUGGCUCAAUAUGGGUUGGCCUUAUUUUACGAUAUUGCCCUUCUUUAACAAAUAUGUGCUAAGCGGUGGUGUGCCAAAACAUUGGCCAUUUUGCUGAUGUGUCACUCUUCUAUUGGAUGAAUGGUAGUCUGGUCAUGAGCAUUGCACGUGCUUUUGCUUAAAAAACAUGGCUGUUAUCUUUGUGUUCAGUAGCCCUUAGGUCCUUCCUCAAUCUGUAGCUUUCUUUGUACGUGUGGGUCCAGAUCUUUUUCUUCUCAGAAGGUGAUGGGAUUUGAUAAGAAGGUGAUGGGAUUUGGUGAGGGGCUAAAGGCGAAAGGUGCUCGUAAUCUUCUCCUUUCUUGGUUUCUCCUCUCAUUUUUCUCUUUUUCCUCGAUCUCUAUUUUCCCUCUUUCCUCUCUUGAGUGAUAAUAUGGUUAAUUUCUUCUGUUUUUCAGCCUGUUUUUCCUGUUCUUUUUUUUCCUUGCUAAAAGCAACAAAUCAUUUUCUCCUCUCCUCUGCGUCUCUAUUUGUUAUGCUAUCAGAUUUUUUGCUAUUAAGAAAACUUCAUUUUUUUUGGCUUUGUAAUCACUGAAUCUCCAUUAUAGUUAAUUUUCUGAUAUGAUUUAUUUUUUUAUUCUUUAAGGAUUCACCUUGCAUGUUUCAUCAAUAAAUAUUUUCAUCAUUUUAAUCUGGACUCGGAGUGAUGGCUACUUCUUUUUGGUCCAUUUUUUUCCUUUUGUUAGGUGGGAAAGGAUGAUGGAGAUUGAAGAUGAACUGAUGAUGAUUUUGAUGGAGGUUUCGACAUUCUUCCAUGGUUCCAGAUGUUUUACUGGAAACAUUAACCUUUACCCACCAUGUAUGUGUGUGUUUUAUUUUUUUUAUGGUUUCCUUUUUCUUUUCUAAAACUCACUUUCUUCUUGGUGUGAUUGCAGGUGUAAAGAGUUGGCAUUUUUGCCAAUUGGCAUAUUUUUCAAAGGUAAGGCUUUAAUAUUUUGCCAAUUAAUUAUGCAAGGAAAUUUGUGUUAGGUUGACCAGAGUAGUUGUCGGAUCCGUAGAUUAAAAAAAUUGUAGGGACUUUAUGUUAUGGUAGUUGGAAUUCUAUUUCUCUUUCAUAGUUUUUUGUACUAGAAUUUAUUCUUGACUUUUUGGUGAAAGAAUUGCUUUUGAUGGUUUACUCUGAAGAAGGUAGGAGUAAUUGAAAUUGAUAUUGUAAAUCUGAGGAGUGGAUGAAGCCAUAGAGUUGGCACUGCAACCAGAGAAACUUAUAACAUGCUAUUGUGGCUUCCACUUGAAAUCUAGAAGUGGAAGAACUAAAAUUGGACUGCAAAUAACAAAAUUCAAGGUUGGACGGCCACACCUUGUGUAAGUAUGGAACAUAAAAUUGGAGGUACAUAAGUGACACCAAAUUUUGAUGGUUUACACAAUGACUUGGUUAUUACUUUACUUGAUAAUUAGGAUAUUUUGUUACAGUAUGUUGCGAUCCAACAAGUUGUGCUGACAUAUUUCUUGCUCAAUUAGACUUCAUCCUCUAUUUAAGGUUUUCUUACCUUAAAUCAUUAAAGAUAGGGCAUAUUUUGUUCAUAAAUAACUCUGGUAUACUUUACUUUUGUUGUUGUUGCAAGAGGAACCAUGGAAAUGACUGAGAGUUUCUCUUUGGCAGCCUGAUAUCUCUGAUUUUUUAUAGGUCUUUUUUUAGGAAUUUCAGUAUUUUUUAGAUCCUUUUUUCAUACUAAUAUGCGGAGAAUACCUCUAUUCAGUAAAAAUUUUCUUUUUAAAGUAUUUGUCAUGUAAUUAAGUAUAUGGUCUAGCUUCCUUUUUGUUUGUCAUGUUUGAGUUUGUGGCCUAAAGAAACAGAUAAAACAGAAAGUAAAAUGGUGCUUGCAUGGUAAUUUAUUGCAUAGAUUAUAUAGAAGUGGUAAUUGAAAAAAGUAAAUUUUUGGUGUUUUGGUUGAAUAGACAUUUAUGAUUGUUUCUUGUAGAGUUCUUAUCUAUGGGAUAAUGCACAAAUUCUUUGCAUGUUAAGGCUUGUCAUUGUGCUUAGUAAUUUAGCCAAUUUCUUUUCCGUUUAGAUCUUCAUAUCCCUAUCUUCUUCAUGUGAUCAAGGUAAAAUAGUCACCUACAAAAAGAUUGUAGAAAAUCUGUAAAUUUGAUUUUUCAUCUAAUUUAAACACUUUUUUUUCCGCUUUGAACACUCUUCAAAACUGAUCUGAUUUUUCCUCCUCCUGUUGGUAUCUUCAUGCAAGUGUAUGGUCAACUCAACUUGUAAAAAGGCAAUUUGUAUUGUAAAACUUGAAAUUGCCAUUUAUUAAGAUUCAUUCCUUGAUCCUUGUAUAAUUGUUGGGUUGGGGUUUAUAUAAUAAGUGGCUCAAAUCAUUAAUUUGAUAUAAUCGGAGGUUGGAUAGCCACUUUUGGUGCAGCAAUGGCUCAAGUGCAAUUAAUAUCUUUGAAGUAUCGCUAAGUUCCUUGCUAUUAUUUGCUUUUCUUCCCAAGCUAAUGAUCAAAUUCAUUGCAUCCUUUCUGACACCUGUUUUGCUUUUAGGUGACUGUAGAAAUUACUGCUAAUUAGGAAUGGUGGGUUUUAUUUAGCAUGCCAUUGUAUUGCAAAGCAGACUAUAACUUUGGUAUAUGUUAGAGCUUUUUGAUGCUUUUGUUUUUUGUAUUUUAUAACUCUUUUGUCACCUCUCAAAUAGCGAGUAUGGUUUGAAACCUUUUGUUUUUUCGAACUUAGUAAUGGGUCCUCAGAACUUUGACAAAUUGACGUGCUUACAUGUAUAAUUUUAUUGUUGCAGCAUUUCAGGCUAUGAUCAAUGGAAGAUUUGUGAGACCUACGCACAUUGUAACAGCUAUGAUCCUAUGGAUGAAAGACAUUUAUGUUUUUCGUUGGUUGCUCAUUACCCGCUAUGAUUUGUGUAAGGAUCCUUGCAUCGUAAUUGAUUUAUGCAAUAGCCCAUUGAACUACAAUAAGAAGGUUUAUUCACUAAAUAAGGUUGAAUACUCGGUGGCUGAUCAGUAAAUUACAUAGUUAAUGACCAUGAUUUUUAUUUACCUCUUUGGGAAAGAAGGAAUGAUGUAGCUAAUAGUACCUAGGGAUAAAAACCCAGAGAAGACUUUAAAUUCCUUUUUUUCUUAUUCUUUGUAAAUGCUUCUUUUUCCCCCUGUCUGCAUUAUACUUCUACAUUUGUUGAUGGGAUUAUAAGAGUCCGUGUUGUAGUUAUAAGAUGGUUGGUUUCUAUCCUAUUUGGGCUAACAAGCAUGAUUACAAUUUGGCAAAUGGUGUGCUUCUAGAAAUUGACAAACAUGGAUGCUAUUCAAGUUAUUAGCUCUGGCUUUGCAGUAUGGUGUAAACUAGACACAGUUCUUCAACUGGAUAUACUAACGAAAAGCACUGUAGACUUUUAUUCUCCUUUCUUUUUCUUCUUAGUGUCUUUUUGUUCCUGCAUAUACAUGAUUUAAGCCGAUUGUAAAUUGUUAAAUGGUGGUUAAGUUUUUGAAUUCUUGUUGUAUUUAAGAUCUGAUCUUUUGUCUAAGAUACUCUACAAUCUCCUUCAAAAUUUAGCUUUGAAGAGAGAGUUUUUGGGAAAAAAUUGUAGAGUGGAUUCUAAGAAAUUACUUUUCCUUUUUGGUUAUUUCUUUUCCUUUUACUUGACCUUUAAUUUUUUUUAUACUUCUUUUAUAUGUUUAUCCCUACUUUUAUUGAUUUAUUUGUUCUAUUUUGAUAAUCUAGAAAUAUAUUUUUGUCAGACUUUCUUAAGACAAUCUAUCAAAGAAAGAGGGGAUUACCUUCAAAAAGUCUGUUUAGAAAACUUUGUAAGUGGAGUUGGCUUUGUUUAUAUUUUGUAUUCUUUUCUUUGAGUAUUAGAUUAAUGCUUUUCGUGGGUGUUUUAUUAAUUGUUAUUAAUGUUGGUAUUUUGGUUGUGGAUUAUCUCAAAAAAAGAAUUUGAUAUUGUCACUAGGCUUCUGCACUAGAGGAAAUGUUGGAUACGCCACUGUACCAGAGCAUUGCUCAAUGAAUAAUGGUGUGCUGCCUAUGAUGUUAACAAGAUUGUCAUACUGACACUUUGUUCUGGAAAAGAUAUGUACACAAGGCUAUUAAUUUCUAACAUACUCAAAGAUUUGAGUGAUCGAGAAUGCAAAUAUUAGAGUCUUAGAAGCUGAUUUAGUUCCGAUCUGGACAUUUAAUUUUUUUUCUUCUUUUUAUGUGUUUAGCAAAUCGGAUUGUGUACUUAUGAAUGUAAUUUAUAUUCUAUAAUAUGUUUCUUAAUUCAUGACAUGUGAUAAGCAUUUAGGAAGAUCAUCUUAAUUGUUGUACUAACUACUAUUACCCCUUACUUCCAAGUUCUCGAACUAGAAAAUACACAAUAUCUUACUCAAACAUUGUACAAUUUAUUUUCGCGUACAACUGACAUCGUUACUAAACAAUGCUGGGCACAAAGAAAUCUCAGGCAUUAACUCCACACCGCGCCUCCUAGUUGAACUAAAGUCGUCUUUCUAUGAAGUCGUCGUUCCCUAGUACUUUUUGUUGGGUAUGAAGUCGUCGCUCUUUUGCUUUUUUUUUUAUGAAAUAUUUUAUUAAUAAGGAAUCAUGAGUACACCAGGUGCCCUAUCAUACAUAGCCCACCAUCCGUCUACGGAUCGAGGGAAUUCCCAACUGAUCCAACCUAAUCGCCCCCCGAAUCCAUUGAGGUAAAUCUAGCAUCGACUGAAACAGUUGUGUGCCAUUUAGAUCUGCCCCUAAAUUCGUCAACCGAUCCGUAGGAACAUUCGCCUCUCUGUAGCAGUGAGCUACUAUCUGAAAGUGCUGCUUGAACUGAAGCAAGCCAUCCAAUUCCCCCUGCAUCUCCCAAGGGAAAUCACUCUUCCCUCUAACCAUCCGAAUCAGUGAAAGUGAGUCUGAUUCCAAGUGUAUCGCCAGGAAUCCCCGGGCAAUACAAUGCUUAAUCCCCACUAGUAGAGCACGCAAUUCAGCCCGAAGGUUGGUUAGAUAACCAAAACACUCUGAGAAACCGAAAACAAAGUCCCCAUGGUAGUCCCUCACCAAUCCAACCCCUCCACUCAAACCCGGAUUCCCCCGAGAACAUCCAUCCGCAUUCAACUUCUACCCACCCUGCGGCAUUACCCAAUGCACCGUCCGGAUAAUCCAUCUUUCUUGCCGACAAGUCAUCUCCCGCACUAAUCCUUCCCACGAAGCAUCCGCACACCUCAGCAUUGGGAAGCGUGCCUGACAGAUCUCUACUAGCACCUGGACGACUCGGUUCACCAUAUUCCGACCUCGAAUCCGCUGUCCUUCAAACAUCCCCUGAUUCCUCGCCUUCCAUAACUCCCAGCAAAUUACCGACGGUAUUAUGCGAAACACGAACCGCAAAAACUCAUUGCUCCCUCUCCUUAGCCACCAUAGUCCAGCCAUGUGUCGGAGUGUAUGCACCCCUGCCAUUUCUCCCGAGUGGAUCUCAAAGUACCGCCAAAGUGUCCGCGCCCCUUCUCCAGAACAAAACACAUGUUCCAGACUCUCCUCCUGUGGCUCCUGACAACACCAGCAUCGGGACGGUCCACAGAGGCCGAACCUCGCCAGCUUAUCCAUGGUAGGAACCCUGCCCUGCAUUAGCCUCAGCAUGAAGAAAGAAAUUUUAACCGGGAGACCUUGCUGCCAGACCGAGGCAUAGAUCCAAGAACGAUUAUCAACAUGGCGGACGAGGGAAUAGGCUGAGGAUGUGGAAAAAACACCAGCCGUUGUGGGUCUCCAAAUCAUACGAUCCGGUCCCCGGAAGGAAGGCGGGCCACCUGCAGAACCUGGCCCACUAGCCCAGCAUCUAAGUACUGACGAAGCAUAUUGACAUUCCAUGCCCCCCCGUCCACAAAAUUCGCAACCGAAUGAGCGAAGAAAACCUCAAACUUACCACAAAGCGCUCCAGUCCCCAGCCAAUUGUCAUGCCAAAAGUCUAUUGAACCCUGGCGUACUACCCAGCCGAUGUUAUCCUCCGCGACCUGCUGAACUGACACCAUCCGUUUCCAUGUAGAAGAACACAGCGGGCCAUCAUCCGCUAGACACAGGUGCAGACCCACGCAAUACUUCCUAGUCAUGAACUCCGCCCAGAGCGAUUGCUGCUGCCUGAAGAGUUUAACCGAUAGCGAAUCAUGCACACCCUUCAGGGUUCGCAACCCAACCCCUCCCUCCUCCCAAGGGCGACAAAUGUCUUUCCACCCAAUCCAAUGGAGCUUUGAACCACCAUCGGAUGGCCCCCACAAGAAAUCAGCGAACAAUCUCUCCACGGCUCCCAUCACCCCUUGAGGAGGGGACGCAGCCACAAGUAAAUGUAUCGGCAUUGAUGCUAAAACACUUUGAACCAACACAAUACGGCCUCCUACAGAUAAUAGCUGGUUCUUCCACGAUAGAAUACGAGCUGCCACCGCAUUGUACAUAUCCGCAAAAUAGAUCUUUUUCCUCCUGCCCACAUAUAACGGGCAACCAAGAUACCGUAUCGGAAAUGCUCGUCUCUGGAAACCCAGAAUCUGACCUGCCGCUGCUGCCUGCCUUGGCGGAAAACCCGAGUGGGUCAAAAAAUAGCUUUUCUGGUAGUUGAUCCGCUGCCCCGAAGCCCUGCUAUACUCAUCUAACACCUGCUUAAGCCGAGCUAGCGAGGCUCUCCCUCCACUGGAGAAGAUGAUCACGUCGUCGGCAUAUGCCAAGUGCGUGAUAGCCGGGCACCUGGGGGGGAACUUUGAACGGAAUGAAUUGUUCUUGAGUAACCAGCGCAUUUAGGGCACGCGAUAAUACUUCAGCACCAAUAACAAAGAGAGCCGGAGAAAUGGGAUCCCUCUGCCGAAGACCCCUAGUCGACUUAAAAAACCCGUACGGAGCCCCAUUUACAAGAAUGGAGAACCAUACAUUAGAGAUUAACCGCCACAUCAUGUCUAUCCAAGUUUCGGAGAAACCAAAGCGACGGAGCACCUGCAACAGGAAAGGCCACGAAACCCUAUCAUAGGCCUUCAUCAUGUCUAACUUGAUAACUACGUUCCCACCUCGAUUCGGUUUCCUGAUACCAGUCAAUAGCUCCUGGGCUAGCAAAAAGUUAUCCGCAAUCUGUCUGCCCUUCACAAACCCGCUCUGCUGCGGGGAAAUGAGUCGUGGUAGGACCUGCACCAAUCGCUCUGCUAAUAACUUCGAAAUGAUCUUCUUGGCAAAGUUACAUAGGCUGAUGGGCCGAAACUGCGUAAAAUCCUGAGGGCUAUCCACCUUCGGUAGCAAAACAACCGAGGUAGCCGUGAUACUCCUUGGCAUGUCCGCCCCACAGAAAAAACUCACCACUGCCCGAUACACAUCCUCCGUAAUCACUUCCCAGGCGACCAUGAAAAACUUCCCUGUGAAAUCAUCCGGGCCCGCCGCACUCUCCGCAUCCAUGCUAAACACUAUACCCUUCACUUCCUCCAAAGUAGGUAUCCCAGAGAGUAUUUCGUUGUCUUGGGCAGUGACUAACCCCGGAAUGAGGUCCUUGAUCUGGUGGGGCGACUGACUACCGUCUGCUGAGAAUAAACCCUGGAAAAAAUUCACAGCCACCUCUCCUAUUUGUGCCUCCUCCUCAACCCACUCCCCAUCUAUCCCUCUCACCCGAUGGAUCACAGCCCGCUGUCUUCUCUCAGUGACCACCGAGUGGAAAAACUUGGUAUUCUUGUCUCCCUCCCGAAGCCACUUCACCCGUGCCUUCUGCCGCCAAAAACCUUCCUCUACAUUCAGAGCGUACCUCAACCGUGUCUGUGCAUGAUGUAACUCACUCCUUAGCAAACCCGUCGGAUCCAGGUCAUACCUCCUCUCCGCCUCCAUUACCUCCCGCUCGGCGCCCCGUACCGCUACAAAGAUGUCCCCGAAAGUUUGCCUCGACCACUGCCUCAGAGCCUGUUUAGCUCCCCAUAACUUCAGUGCCAAUAUCUGCAUGGGAGGCCCACUAACCGGCAGCGUCCAGCAAUCUCUAAUUACCUCCAAGAAACCCUUGUGCAUGGUCCAGAAAUUCUGGAAUCGAAAAGGCCUAGGUUUGUCAUCCAGUCGCGUAACCACCGACAAUAGCAAUGGCGAGUGAUCCGACGGAUCACAUCCCAAAUGUUGGACAGUGACCUGGUGCCGCAGAUGCAGAGCUGCCCCAUUCACCAACAACCUAUCCAGCCGUUUCCAAAUUCGUGCUGUGUCCGGGCGAUUGUUACACCAAGUAAAUCGCGAGCCCGAGAAACUAACAUCGCUUACCCCCGCCUCUGCCAUGAACUGCAAGAAAUCCAAGCCCUCUCGAGUUCUGAAAGGUAAACCGCCCCUUUUCUCCCUCUCACUAAUAAUCACAUUGAAAUCCCCCACCAGAAACUAUGGUGCCGAGGCCGGCUUAUCUCUUAAUAGGUCAGCCCAUAGAACUUGCCUUUCCUGCUCUGUGCACUUGGCAUGAAUACCAGAGAAAGUCACAGGAGAAGGAAACAACUGGGACUGAAUCUGAACCGUUAAAUGCUGGGGGGACUCCCCUAUGCAAGCACAAUUAAACACAAAGCGAUAAAACAACCAAACAGUCCCCCAUUGAUUAGCCAUGCCCCAAUCCAUCCCCAAUUUCAUUCUUAUGGUCGUGAUGUUUUGGAUACUUGUCUUAGGUUCAACAACAACAACCAGCUGUAUGGAAUGCAUCUUAAUAAUCUUUGUCAAACGUUUUAAAUUAGGAGGACGAGCCAUCCCAUGAAUAUUCCAAAAUAAAAAUUUAAUCAUGGGAUAAAGCAGAGAAAGCAUUUUUGGAAACAUUUACCCUAGGGCGCAAGGUUCUGUCAGAGGGAAUUCCAGCCCGGAGGCCGCGAGUACGUACCUUCGAAGGACUACCGUGUCUUGCACCCACCUGAGUUCUGUCAUGAGUAAGCCCCACUGGGUCCAAAUUCAAUGCCUCCAUCUGCGACACCUCCUCCUGCGCUCGUAAUCUGGGACUACCACUCCUGGGAGACAGGUUUCCUACCCUCCGCUGGACCUCCAGGAGCUCUACCUCCGCCCGCGAGGGCCAUUCCUACCACGGCUCAGAGGGCACCACUCCAUCCCGUUCGUGUUGCUCAUCAACCAACCCGCCACUACCCAAGGCAUCGCAUCCCUUCUCGCAUGGAACUUCCGCCAUGACCCCUGCGCCUUGCUUCCCUGUCACCUCAGCUUGCAGCGUAGCAGCCCGACAGUACACUUGAGUGUUGGACUGCCCUCCCAAAUCUGUGAUCGUGCAACCUGUCACCUGCUCCUGCUUUUGCUGUGCCAAAGCUGCCCCUUGCGGCUGGAGUAACCCAGCGUCCUCCACCACGCGGUCCAUUCGGCGGCCCUUCUCCUCCGAGUGACCCUCCUGUCUCACCAAUGGGCCCUCAGGCUGCGCGACCAGUGGAGGCACUUGCUCAACCACCCCCAUAGUUUCUUCUCCCCCAGCACUCCCAGCUGCCACAGACGGAACCAACACCCCUUGCCCAGCCUCUAUCGUGCCCGCACAAUCACCACUUGUAUCUUCUCCUCCCACAUCUGUAGCCAACACCUUCACCCGCUGCUGAAACGUCUGCUUCACCUUAAGCCUAGGUGGGUCUACUUUCAAACCAGGGUUCUUAACUCUACACUCCACCUCCCCAUGGCCCUGAUGAAAGCAAUGCCCGCAAUAUCUGGGGAGAUGUUCAGCUACCAACGGCUGCCAGAAGCCAACUCUAUCACCGAACACUAUCCACACCCGAGUGGGGAGUUCUCUCAGAAGAUCAACUUCCACGCAUACCCGUGCAGCAUUAGGCCUUGUUCCCUGCGCCGUCGCAGCAUCCACGCAUAGAGGCUGUCCCAAGCAAGACACUAUGGGGAACAAGCACUCCUUUUGGAACAGAUGCACCGGCAAUUUCGGCAACGAAAACCAGACUGGAACGAUCGACGUCUCUCGAUCCACAUGGAAAUCGAUGGACCAUUUAAACACUCUCAUGGGCAAUGCCCUGAUAUACCAGAUUCCCCUUCCCCAAACUCUGUAGUAAUCUGCUUCAUCCGAUAAACGAAUUAAAACAUGUCUCCUCUCCAGCAACCCAAUAGAAAAUUGAGCCGUCAAAUCCAUCGCCUGGAAGAAUCUGCGCAACUCCUCUAGCAGUGGUCGCCCUCUGGAAAAUUUUCCCACUAGAGCAUAUUGGAAGGGAAGGGCAACGCGCUCUAUGUCCACCAUGUCAAAAGACACUGCCGGUUCCCCGCGGUGAGUAGCCACCACCGGGUUCACCUUCGGACCUCCUGAAUUGGAAGAAAUAGACGAGAAAGAUUUGGCAUUGAAGCCCACCGCUUUGGACGCCACAACCUCAGCAAACGACCGCCCUACACCAGUCGGAGCCGUGGUCAGGCGGCCCCCUCCCCCGAAGAGGAGGAGAUGGCGGCCAUGGCGGCCAAGUCUGACAAAAACCCUAAUAUACUAAAAAUAGAAACCUCGCCUCAUGCACGGAACAUGGUAGCUUACCGAAUGUGAUAUUUAUGUUAUUCUAACUCCAGAAAAAGCAAAUGAUCGUUCUUUUGCUUUUGUUUGGUAAGAAGUCGUUGUUCUUUUGUGCGUGUCAAUGCCUUUUCCUUUAAGAAAUGAAACGCUUAAUAACAAAAACGCGUGCACUUGCACGUGCUGUUUAUGUUUGCUUUUUUUUAAAAAAAAUAUAAUUGAAGCUCAUGAAAAUUGUCUAAUAGCUAUGGAAUGGGGAUUGUAUGUUAAAUUUUCUUAACUGAUAUGUCUAUUUGUAUCUCUUGUAUCUAGUAUAGGUUUUCUUAUGUACUUGAGAGCUUUUUUUGUUCCGUUUGGAUUGGGGAUUUUUUGAAAAAACAAAAUUUUCAACUACAAUGUUACAUUAAUAUACAAAUAAAAAUAACUUCAAAAAUACCAAAAAUAAUUUCAAAAAUACCAAAAAACAAAAAAAAUCUCAAAAAUAUAAAAAAACAACUUCAAAAACACAUAAAAAACAACAUUAAAAAACACAAAAAAUACAAUGAAAACCUAAAAAAUAACCUUAUCUACAGUAAAAGUUUUUAAACUAUAUUGCUAUAGUAAAAUAUUUCACAAAUACCGCCCAAAAACAGCUAAUCCAAACGGAGUGCAUAAACAAGAAAAAAAAAACUUAUAAUAGCAAAUUUAAUAUUUGUAAAUUGAGGAUUAUCAUAUUUUCCUUUCUUAAUCUGUUUAGCAACCAUUUGUCUCCAAAUCUUUUUCUUUAUAAUUCUUGAGAUUUUUUCAUGAAUAUUUUGUUUCUUCUAGCUGUUGAUUUCUUAUUCUGAUGGUUGGCUAUUAUUUUAUUUGUUCUGCCAGAGUGAUUUUCUCAAAAUGCCCAAGUUAGCCUUCGCUAAUCAAUCCCUUUUAACAUUUCAACUAACUUUUUGUUCUGCCAGAGUCAAACUUGCAAGGCUGUUUCGGCUAACCAUAGUCGGACAAUCGAGUGGUCACGUAGAAAUUCAGAAUGCUAAAUUUAAUGAACACGAAUACAAGUAGAACUUUUUAGAUGUAAAGUUUGAAACAAAAGCUACAAAAAGGAUUUCUUUUUUUGAAUUAGACCAAGUUAUGAUUUUUAUAGAUAAAUUUCUGCGCUGCUAUGGAUUCUGUGAUCACCGACACUACCAUCAAAUAAACCGCAAACAAGGUAACUUUCAUAUUCUUCCUGCAGUUUAAUAAGUGAAUAAGGAAGAAAAGAAUUUGUCAAAAAAACAAAGAAUUAAUUUUUACCAUUUUUAUUUAGAUAUUCAAUAACCUCAAGAAAUCUGUGAAUACAUGAAUACCAAAGGUGAGAUAUAUCAUAUAAGAGGAACUUGCGACAUGGAGGAUGGAGGAAAAGUAAAACGAUGGAGGUGACAGAGUACUAAUAAGUAAAUUCACCGUCAAUAUUUUUCAAUACUAAAUAACAUGCAUUCUUUUUGGGUUAAUAUUUAUUUUUAGGGAAAUUCUAUAGUACCUUUUAGAUCCUAUAUUGAUGAAAUUAAAUUUAUUAUUGAAUGAGAGUUAGGAAUUGUUAGAUUAUUUCAAUAAUUUGAAUCAUCUGAUGAUGUGGCAAAAAUGUAAUUGGAUUAAAAUCAUGAUACAAUGUUCAAUAUUUUUAGCAUUUUCAAGGAUCCGCCGUCAAUAGCUUUUUUUUUUCAAUCCUAUAGUAGUACGAAUUCUUACUUAGGUUUCAAGGAAACAUGGUAAGUUUUCUUUGGUUUCUCCUUUUUUUUAUCUUUGUUCCUCUAAAUUCCCUCUAUUGUCUACAUCUUACUAACCUUAUAAAUAAUCGUAUGCACUUUAUCUCAGAGAAAAUAUUCUUUGCAAUUACACUCUGUGUUGGUAAUUUUCACAAGAGAAAUCCAACAAGGCACUUAUAUGUUAUCAAAGAAUAUUCUCGAGCAGAAAAAAAAUUUUUUAUUCCAACUUACAACUUACAUGUGUGAUGCACAGUUUGUUGAGACUUCUAAAAUAGCAUGGAAAAUAAUAGAAUAUCCAAGAACAUUAGAGCACGGAAAAUUAGAAAUUAUUUUCUCAAGAAAAUAAUUGCAAACAUAUGUUUCAAAAAGAAGCUAAAACAUACUUUCUUUUCGACGAAAACAUUCCAUUUGGUUUUUCCACAGUUUUGUACAUGUUUAAGGGUCUUAAUUGGUCAGGGACUUUAGUGGAAUAAUUGAUGUUUGUGAAGGCAUUUUUGUACACGGAAUUCGUAAGCAAAAGUCAAUUAUCUAUAGAGAUUUUCGAGUGACAUGUAGUUUGUCGAAUUAUAGCAAUGGUGACGUACCUGACCACUCCAAUUAAACAACUAUGGAUUUCUUUAAAUAAUUGUAUUAAAUAGGAUUUGAUUAAACUAUUAAUUCUUUGAAUCUAAGAUUAGAUUGAAACCAUAGUUAUUAAACCCGAUCCGAAAAGGAACUCGGCGAGCAUGAUGGGUCAACGGGUCACUGAUUCAACUAAUGGAUCAUUAAAUAUAUUUAAAUAUUGUGUUUCAUAAUUUUUGAUAAAGAGUAUAUGAUAUAAAGUAUAAUAAACAAUGUCAUAGCAAAUGCUCAUUUAAUUUAAUUCGCUACAAAAUAAUUAAUUCAUAUAAGAAUCAACAAAACAUAAAUUUAAUUAGUAAUCCAUGAAACUUCAAGUAUAAAAUUUUAUCUAUAUUUAGUGUAAUUAGCAAGGUUAUUUUAUGAAUUUUUAAGUGCAAAAAAUUUUUAAAAAUAAUAUUUGUCUUUAAAAUAAAUUAUGUAAUAUGUUAUUUUUGAAAUCCAAUUUAUAACUUAUAGAAUUUGGGGGGUCAUAAGUUUUUAUUAAAAGAUUCCAAAUAAAUUUGUUUUAGAGAAAUAAAAAAAAUAAAGAUAAAAUUUACAAAAUAUUCAUAUAGCAUAAGAAGGCCAAUUAACUAGCAUAUGACAAAGUGGUCUAGUGGUAAGCAUAUCGUAGAUACAUGCUUAAAGUCUCGCAUUCGAAUCUUAGCAAGAGUUUGGUUAAAUAUUUCCCAUAAAAUCGGGUGGGUUCUUAGUUUAAUCCGAUUGAACCGUUGAGUCCUGUUACUCUUGAUUUUGAUGAUCACAAAAGCACUUUGAAAUGUUUAUCUAAUUUUCUUCAAAUAUAAAAAUUUUGCUUUUUAGAGAAUCAGGUACAAAGGAAUCAAGGAAAGAAAAUCAACCAAAAGAAGAAGUAAAAACAGGGUACUCAUACCGAACGUCCAAAAGGAAUCUGUCGGACGUCCGAAAGGAUGAAGAACAUCAAGAAAGAAACUCCAUCGGACGCUCGUGAGGAAGCAUCGGAAUCGGACGCAUGUUUCGGACGCACAUCGAUCGCAUCGGACGUCCGAAAAAUUUAGCAAAACCUUGAUAACUCUCUGACGACGUUCGGACGCAGAAGCAGACGGGCGAUGAUAUCCCAUCGGACGUCCGAACGAUAACCUGGCUGAUUUUCGGACGAUGGGAUCAGACGAUGAUUAUGCUGUCGGACGUCCGACAGUCCCAACGGCUAGUUGACUCUUCAUCUACCUUCUAUCCGUUGGAUGUAUUGAUGAAACCCAUUUUUGGUCCCCUUUAAAUACAAAUGAUUCUGAACCUGAGAGGGACUUUUGCACACUUUGUUUACAAGAUUUCAAGAGAUAUUUUAGUUAGAAAAUAGUCUCCUAAGCAAGAUUUGUUCUCCAAGUGGUGUUAAUUUCUUGUUAGUUCUUCUCUUGUGUUUGAAAUUGUCAAUAGUGUAGCUUUGUUGAGGGUUAUCUGAGUGAUAGUAAAACUUCCUAACUUGACUAAGUGAGACUUGGGGCAAGGAGGAAGUGAUCCCUCCAUUGUACAUUGAGUUGAUUUUGUUCAUCAAAGAGAAGGUGCUCAUCAUUGUGAUUGGUCUUCAAGUUUGAGGAAAACUUGGUAGACAAUCGGUUUGAUACUCUAUCUUAGUCUUUUUGUUUAAUAAAAUUCCCAUUGCUUAUAUACUCUCUUAUUUCUGAUCAACAUUGUUAUUUUCUUUAAAUUUACUUGGUUGAUCAUUACUUGAAAAGAAGGUAAAUUUUUAUUAAAGAAAAAGUGCAUAAACUCAAUUAAGUUUUUAAUCAACCUAAUUCACCCCCCUCUUAGGUUGUCUUUGGGCCUUACAAUUGGUAUCAGAACUUGGUCUCCUUGAGGCUAAGCUCAAUCGGUUUGGAGUAAAGAUGACAACCAAUCAUGCCAUGUUUGUUGAGGAGCAAUCUGUCACUAGGCCUCCCAUGUUUAAUGGUUCCAAUUAUGUUAGUUGGAAAGAAAGAAUGAUUAUUUUUUUGUAAUCCAUUGAUAUUGAGCUAUGGUUUAUUGUGAAUGAAGGACCGCAUGAUGCUAACAUUCUUGAUGCAGAUGCAGGUUUGUUUCGGCCAAAAACAAGAGUUGAAUUGAAUGCUUAAGAUAGAACAAAUCUCACAUUGAAUGCCAAAGUCAUGAAUGUUCUUUAUAGUGCCUUAGACUCAAAUGAAUCAAUUAGAGUAAAAGGAUGUAAAUCUACCAAGAAAAUGUGGGAUACGCUAAGAGAAAUUCAUGAGCAUAAUGACAACGUGAGAGAACAGAAAAAGUCUAUCUUGGUCACAAAGUAUGAAUCAUUUAGAAUAGAACCUCUUGAGGACAUUGACAAAAUGUAUUGCAGGUUCAAUGACUUGAUCAAAGAUCUCGAGGUGUUGGGCAAAGAGUACACCUUGGGUGGGAAAAACAGGAAAAUUCUCAAUACGUUGGGCAAAGAAUGGGAAAGUAAAGUGACUGCAAUAGAGGAGGCUAAGGAUUUGAAUUCUGUACCUAUUGAAUUCCUCAUUAAUUCUCUAACAUCCUAUGAGUUGAAAUUGAAAACUAAAGUGCAGGAGAAAGAGGACGCGAGGGCAAAGAGAAACAUAGCUCUAAAGAUAGUUCAAGGUGAAGAUGAUCCAACUCUGUUGGAUGAUGAAGACUCGGAUGGUGAUGACAACGAUCUUUCUCUCAUCACAAAAAGUUUCAAGAGAAUCUUGAAUAAAAGAAAGUUUAGAAAGGGAGGACCUAGCAAUCAAUUCCAGAAUCUGCCUUCAAAUGCAAGGAACAAAGGAAAAUAAAAAUUCAACAAGAAACUACUGGACAAAUGCUACGAAUGUGGACAGCCUGAACACUACACAAAUGAAUGCUCCCUGAAGAAAAAGAAAGAUGGAAAAGCUGAUCGAAAACCAAGGUUCAACAACUUCCAGAUUACAUGGAAUGAAUGUAACUCUGAAGGCGAAGUUGAAGAAGAGGAAGAAUCAGCUCAAAUGGCCUUUAUGGCUAUUGGUGAUAAUGAGGUAAGUUCCAUGCACUCUCAAUCUGAAAGUGAUGAUAAUCUUGAAUCCUUUGUUGAAAAACUGUAUAAUGCCUUGAAGGAAUCUUAUGAUAAAAACAAGCAGCUAAAACAGAAAAUUAUUUUUCUCAUUCAAGAAAAUGCAAGUCUUUUUCAGCAAAAUAAAUAACUAAAGGCUGACAAUGAGUGCCUUAUGAGAGCCGGAUUUGAUGUUCAAAAUGAACUUGACAGAAAGACUAGUCUUUGUAAAAUGCUAAAGGAAAGGCAUGGUGAUUUGAAGAAAAGAAUGGACAAUUUGGAUGAGACCUUAAAGGCUAGAAAACAAGAUUAUCUCAAUAAGAACAUGUCAACCACCUUUCUUACUGCUCAUGAAAGAACAUUGGCACACAACAAAUAUGCAUAUGGUUUCACAACAUAUAGAAGGAGUGGAGUGAGAUAUAUCAAACCAUUACUUGUUAAAAACUCUUUCACUAUAUGUAGUUUUUGUUGUCAAAAAGGACAUUUGAAAGGAGAUUGUUAUGUGAAAAGAAAUCUGAACAAAGGAAUGAGAUGCAUGUGGUUAGUUAGACACAAUGCUAACUAUUGUGGACCCAAAAGUUAAAGGGUACCAAACACUCUCUCUUUUCAGGAAAAAAGCUCAAACAAGUCCAAAUGGUUCAUUGACAGUGGCUGUUCAAGGCAUAUGACCGGUAAUCCCUCUUUGUUCAUAAAGCUAAAAUCAAAAUCAAGUGGAAAGGUGACAUUUGGUGAUGACGUGAAAGCUAAGACAAUUGGAAUAGGUGAUGUUGGUAAGGAUGGUGAAACUUUUGUUCAUAAUGUGCUCUUAGUUGAUAACUUAGGUUAUAAUUUGCUUAGUGUUAAUCAAUUAUGUGAUAAAAACUUGAAUGUGCUGUUCAAAAAGCAUGAAUGCAUUGUGUUUGAUUCUAAAUAUAAUGUUGUGUUCAAAGGUAAGAGGUUUAACGAUAUUUAUAUUGUUGUUUUUGAUAAACUUGAUUCAUCUAACUUCCAAUGUGUUAAAGCUUCAAAUGAAAUUCCUUGGUUGUGGCAUAGGAGACUUUGUCAUUUUAACAUAGAAUUACUAAAGGAAAUUUCGAAAAAGGAGUUGGUUAGAGGCUUGCCAAAAAUCAGUUUUGAAAAGGACAAAAUUUGUGAUGCAUGUCAAUUUGGGAAGCAAACAAAAGUUUCUUUUAAACCAAAGAAGUGUGUAUCAACUUCUAAACUUUUGGAACUCUUGCAUCUUGAUUUAUUUGGUCCUACUCAAAUUACUAGCUUGGGAGGUAAGAGAUAUUGUUUUGUGAUUGUUGAUGAUUAUUCUAGAUAUACUUGGGUAAUAUUUCUUGCUCAUAAAGAUGAUGCCUUCAAGAAUUUUACUUCAUUGUUUGCUAAAGUGCAAAAUCUGCUUGGUUUAAAAAUUAUUAGGAUUAGAAGUGAUAAUGGGACGGAAUUCAAGUUUUGUGAUUUUCCAGAAUUUUGUGAUUAUAAUGGCAUAAUACAUGAGUUUUCUAUUGCAAGGACUCCACAGCAAAAUGGUGUUGUAGAAAGGAAAAACAGGACACUCCAAGAGACUGCUAGAACUAUGUUGAGUGAAUGUAGUUUGCCAAAAUAUCUUUGGGCUGAAGCGGUAAACACCGCAUGUUAUGUGAUGAAUAGAAUCCUUUUGAAACCUAUUUUGAAUAAAACAUCUUAUGAACUAAUUUUUGAUAAGAAAUGUUGGAUAUUUCAAAGUUUUUUGUUGUAAAUGUUUUAUUUUGAAUUUAAAGGAUCAUCUUGGUAAGUUUAAGAAAAAAUCUGAUGAAGGAAUAUUUUUGGGGUAUUGUGAGAACAAAAGAGGAUAUAGAGUCUUUAAUAGAAGAACUCUUGUGAUUGAAGAAGCUAUACACAUAACAUUUGAUGAAACCAAUGAUGAUAAUUCCAAAAAUUCGUGUGAGGAUGAUGAUGUAGGUGUUCGUGAAAGAAUGAAAAAGCUUACAAUUGGAAAUGAAGGAAACUCAACAUUGGAAGCAAAGGAAAUGGAGGAUGAAGCUUAUGAAGAUCAAGAAAAGGAAGAUGAAGACAAGAAUGAUGAUUCAUUCAAAGACCUUCCCAUAGCUUGGAAAUUUAGCCAAAAUCAUCCAAAAGAGCUUAUAAUUGGUGAUCCAUCCGACAAGGUAAAGACUCGUUCCUCAUCUAGGAAAUUGAUAGACAAUUUUGCUUUAGUUUCUCUCUUUGAACCUAAAAAUAUCAAUGAUACUUUAAAGGAUGAAAACUGGAUUUUGGCAAUGCAAGAGGAACUUAAUCAAUUUGAGAGAAAUAUGGUUUGGACAUUAGUUGAUAGACCUCAAAAUCAACCUAUCAUUGGCACAAAGUGGAUAUUUAGAAAUAAAUUGGAUGAUAAAGGUGUAGUUGUAAGAAAUAAGCUAGAUUAGUUGCUAAAGGAUAUACACAAGAAGAAGGAAUUGAUUUUGAUGAAACAUUUGCUCCUGUAGCUAGAUUAGAAUCAAUUAGAAUGUUUCUUGCUUUUGCUUGCUUCAAAGGUUUCAAAUUGUUUCAAAUGGAUGUUAAAAGUGUUUUCUUAAAUGGUUUUAUUGAUCAAGAAGUACAUGUGGAUCAACCCCCCGAUUUUGAAAAUGCAAAAUUUUCAAAUCAUGUUUUUAAACUCUCAAAAGCUUUAUAUGAAUUAAAACAAGCUCCAAGAGCUUGGUAUGAAAGAUUGAGUGGUUUCUUGAUUGAAAAUGGUUUCAAAAAAGGUGUUGUGGACACCACUCUUUUUACUAAACAAGUGUUAAAUGAUCUUCUUAUUGUGCAAAUAUAUGUUGAUGAUAUUAUUUUUGGUGCUACUAAUGAGUAUCUAUGCAAGGAUUUUUCCACCAUUAUGCAAAGUGAAUUUGAAAUGAGCAUGAUGGGAGAGUUAAAUUUCUUCCUUGGACUUCAAAUACAUCAAGGCCUAGAGGGAAUUUUUAUAAAUCAAGCAAAAUAUACCAAAGAGUUGCUAAAAAAAAUUUGGCAUGGAGGACUCAAAGCAAGUUGGAACUCCAAUGUGCACUUCUACAAAAUUUGACAAAGAUGAAGAAGGUAAACAUGUGGAUGAAAAGCACUAUAGAGGUAUGAUUGGAAGCCUACUCUAUUUAACCGCAAGUAGACCCAAUAUUAUGUUUGCUGUUUGCUUGUGUGCUAGAUUUCAAUUUUGUCCAAAAGAAUCACAUUUGAACGCAGUUAAAAGGAUUUUUAGGUAUUUGAAAGGUUCAUUAGACUAUGGUCUUUGGUAUGCUAGAUCUUGUGAAUUUUCUCUAUAUGGUUAUUUGGAUGCUGAUUUUGGUGGUUGUCGUGUGGACAGAAAAAGUACUAGUGGAACUUGUCACUUUCUUGGUAAUUGCUUAGUUUCUUGGUUCAGCAAAAAAUAAAAUGCAAUCUCUUUAUCUGCAACCGAAGCGGAAUAUAUUACCGCUAGUGCAUGAUGUGCUCAACUUUUAUGGAUGAAGCAUAGUUUGAAUGAUUUUGGAUUGUUACAUGACUGCAUGCCUAUAUUCUGUGAUAAUACUAGUGCUAUCAAUUUGACCAAAAAUCCAAUUCAGCAUUCUAGGACAAAACAUAUUGAUAUAAAACACCAUUUUAUUCGCGAUCUUGUUCAAAAAGGUGAAGUUUGUGUGAAUUAUGUUUGCUCUAAAGAUCAAAUUGCUGAUAUUUUUACAAAAGCUUUGCCAUUGGAUUAAUUCAUUCAUCUAAGAUCAAAAUUAGGGAUAAUCGAAAAAUCAUCUUAAAAAUUUUCUGUUCAAAGCUCUCGGACGUCCUAAAGCAGAUGAACGGACGUCCGAUGAUGUUCUUCAGAUAUUUUCCAGAAAACAUCUGUUCGGACGAAACCGUCGGACGUAUGACUACGUUCGGCCGUCCGACAGUGCAACGGUACACUUUUUAAAGUGACUUUCAUCCUCAUUUGCUUCAGAACUCUUCUCUUCUCUUCUCACUCGGACGGAAACCUCUUUUCUUCUCACACUCAAUUCGUGCUUUUCUGAAACACUCAUUCCAAAAUUGACUAAACCAAAAACUUCUCCUGAUCAUUGCGAGUUCGAUUUUCGGAUCUUUUCACCAAAUCUCAUCACAUUUCGAAAGUUUCCAAAUUUCCCUCAAAACCUUACUUUCACAUAACUGCUCUACUCAAUCAUUUUCAAGGCUUCUUUAACCCAAAAUUCUUGUGUGAUUCACUCCCAUACCACUGUGUGUAUCAUUCGCAUCAUACAUUUCACACUUUUCAUACAAUGGUGAAUCUAAGAGAAGGAAAAGUCCCUGUCGGACGCAAGCACACACUCAGGGAUGAAAAUGUGGAUUCUCUUAGGGUCAUAAGAUCAUCCAAACGCUUCAAAAGGGGAGCAGUAAAGACUCAAACUUCCCGGCCUUCCGCUCAGCCUGAAUCCAGACAAGGAACUCCAUCUCAACAGCCUUCCCAAUCAACCACCGUCUCCCCAUUCUUUGAUGCUGCUGCUAAUGAAAAACAUUCCUAGAUAAUCCAGAAAGGUUUCAUUCCUCAACGAACCAUAAAUCUUUCUGAAUUUCGCAAGAUUGGUUUAGAGUCAAUUCUUAAUCUCUUUGAAUUCCAGAAAUGGUCACAUAUCAUUUCCAUGCCUAAUGUUUAUUACCCUGAAAUGCUGUAUCAAUUCUUUGCCAAUCUUAGGAAAGGCACCGACCACACUGAAAUUAUGUCCAGAGUGAAUGGGGUAGACAUAUUGUUUGAUCCUGAUAUUGUGAAUGCUGUUUUAAAUACUGCUAUUGAACGUGGAUGCAAAAGUAAAAUUACAAAUUUCUUUUCUUAUGAAGAGCAUCCCACUGCUGAUAAUCAUUUUGAUGGUGCUAAGAUGUUGUUUUAUUUUAAAAGAAAGUUUUCUGCGCCUUCUGAUGCUAAACUAAAUGACCUUACUCCUGUGAAUCUUAUUGCUUUCACAAUCAUUUCAAACUUGCUUGUGCCUACCGAUGGUCAUAGGACUGAUGCCAAUAAGAUGGAGCUGUAUCUGUUUUACUGUUUUCGAGAAAAAAUUCGCGCUGACUUUGACUUUAUCAUGUGUAAGUUUUUACUUCGCUAUGCUACUGAUUCUCGUAGAAAACUGUCCUAUGACAAAUUUCUUCAGAAAAUUUUUGAGUUUUACAAAGUACCAAUUCUUGGUGUUUGUCCCAAAGAAACAUCUUCUUCUGCCUUUACUAAGGCUUACUUUGAGCGCAAAAAUCUUGUUUUUGUGGAUAAUAUGUGGGCUUAUAAGGGGGACACAUCUAAUGAACCUAGAUCUAAGGCUGUACAUGAUCCACUUCACACUCCAUCCUCUGUUGCACUGACCUCUAUUCAUCCUAGGAAGACUGCCACUAAGACAUCUUCUUCUUCAAAUUCUGAGGUGGUUAAACUCCUUCGAGACCUUAAGCAACAUGUUCUGCUUCUUGAACAUGGUCUCAUGCUCACCAUGUCAUCCAAGCAACAAGCUGACUUCCUAGAUAAAAAGAGUUUUCUUUUUCCCCUACCUGUGGUUGAGGAAAUCCCUCCUGGCAAGGAGCCACGCUCUAAUGAUCCAAGUUCUUCAGCCUCUGUUCGCUCUAUGAGUCCUGCUGCUAUCGACCUCACCUCUAUUUCCGUGGCACCACAUGAUCCUUCCACAUCUGAUAAAGGCAAGAAACCAGUUGGUGAAAAUGCUGAAGAUGAUGAAGACACUGAGGAGGAGGAUCUCUCUCAGUAUCAGCUUACUCGAAGGACGCCUGGAUCCUCUUAACUUAUUAUUUAGGAUCAUUAGUCCUAUUAGGAUCAUUUGCAUUUGACUGUUUUUAUUUGCUGAAUGUUGAUAGUUGCCUUGAACUCUUUUUAUCUAUUGAAUUCUAGUGCUUGGUGUCAUUUGGUGUUUUGUAAUGUCCAAAACUGGACAUAUGUUUAUAUUGUUUGUGAAUGGUUGAAUCUUUACAUUUUGCUUGGUUGAAUGGUUGGAAAUAAGAAUGUAAUGCUCGUAAGAUCAUUUUGCUCUGAAUAGUUGGAUAUAUGGUCGAAUCUUUGUUACUAGUUCUCCAAAUGUAUCUUUACAUUUUGAAUUUUGUGAUGACAAAAAAGGGGAGAGAUGGUGUAGAUAUGAAUACGCUUAAUAUGGAUAAUAAGUAGCUAAGUGGAGGGGAGUUCUACGAUUGAGGGGGAGCUAUUUUUUGUUGUUCUACAAUUGAGUGAGAAAGGGGGAGCCUAUUUGAAGUCAUUAAAUUUCAUUUCAAACUUUUGUUUUGUCAUCAUCAAAAAGGGGGAAAAUGUUAUUCUUGAUUUUGAUGAUCACAAAAGCACUUUGAAAUGUUUAUCUAAUUCUCUCCAAAUAUAAAAGUUUUGCUUUUUAGAGAAUCAAGUACAAAGGAAUCAAGGAAAGAAAAUCAACCAAAAGAAAAAGCAAAAACAGGGUACUCAUACCGGACGUCCAAAAGGAAUCUGUCGGACGUCCGAAAGGAUGAAGAACAUCAAGAAGGAAACUCCGUCGGACGCUCGUGAGGAAGCAUCGGACGUCCGGAAGGAUCGGACGCAUGUUUCGGACGCACAUCGAUCGCAUCGGACGUCCGAAAAAUUUCGCAAAAUCUUGAUAACUCUCUGACGACGUUCGGACGCAGAAGCAGACGGACGAUGAUAUCCCAUCGGACGUCCGAACGACAACCUGACUGAUUUUCGGACGAUGGGAUCGGACGAUGAUUAUGCUGUCGGACGUCCGACAGUCCCAACGGCUAAUUGACUCUUCAUCAACCUUCUAUCUGUUGGAUGCAUUGAUGAAACCCAUUUUUGGUCCCCUUUAAAUACAAAUGAUUCUGAACCUGAGAGGGACUUUUGCACACUUUGUUUACAAGAUCUCAAGAGAUAUUUUAGUUAGAAAAUAGUCUCCUAAGCAAGAUUUGUUCUCCAAGUGGUGUGAAUUUCUUGUUAGCUCUUCUCUUGUGUUUGAAAUUGUCAAUAGUGUAGCUUUGUUGAGGGUUAUCUGAGUGAUAGUAAAACUUCCUAACUUGACUAAGUGAGGCUUGGGGCAAGGAGGAAGUGAUCCCUCCAUUAUACAUUGAAUUGAUUUUGUUCAUCAAAGAGAAGGUGCUCAUCAUUGUGAUUGGUCUUCAAGUUUGAGGAAAGCUUGGUAGACAAUCGGUUUGAUACUCUAUCUUAGUCUUUUUGUUUAAUAAAAUUCUCAUUGCUUAUAUACUCUCUUAUUUCUGAUCAACAUUGUUAUCUUCUUUAAAUUUACUUGGUUGAUCACUACUAGAAAAGAAGAUAAAUUUUUAUUAAAGAAAAAGUGCAUAAACUCAAUUAAGUUUUUAAUCAAUCUAAUUCACCCCCCCUCUUAGAUUGUCUUUGGGCCUUACAAGUCCAUUAACCAAUCAACAGGUUUUGUGUUUAAAAGGUGUAAUUAGAGACCUAAUCUGACCAAUGGUAGGUUCACUGGUUGAUCAAUUCAACCCACUAAAUCGGGCCGGAUUUAAUAAAUAUGAUUGAAACAUAGUUGAUAGACUUUCUUUGUGUUGUCCAAUUAUACAGACACCAUUAAUCGGUAAUAACUUAUUUUUAACAGAUUUUUGAAACAUAUAGCGGAUAGUUUUUUUUAUAAAGAAAAUAAUAAUAAUAUCUCUAAAUUUAGUAUAAUCAAAUUUUGGAUGUUAGAAUUGGGUGUGUUUAUUUAUUAAAACAAGCAUCAAUAAAAUCUGUACAGACUUAACUUAAUUAUCAUGAAAUAUGUCAUAGGACAAAAUAUGUUUUUAAUUUUGUUUUAUUUGUUUGUAUUGUGUAUUUGUUUACCUUGUGGGAACUUUGAGUUUGUUUCCUUUACUUUAAGAAUAAGUUAUACAUUUAUUAAAAAAAAGGGUUAUUAUCACUUUACCCCUUUCAACUAUAUUACCAUUAUCAGUUUACCUCCUAACGUUAUCUUUUAGUCAUUUCACCCUCAUAAGUAAUUCAACUCAAUAUGUUAAGAAAUUUUGGACAAAAAUACCCUUUUAUUCUAUAGCAUUACUAUAUUGUUAUUAUUACUUUAUUCUUUUAAAUUAUAGUGAUAUAAUCACUUUAAUUUCUAAUAUUAUUUUCUAGGCAUUUUACUUCAUUGUUAGUCUAAUUAGAAUGGUAAAAUUUUUUUAAAUAUAUUGACCCUUUCAUAUAUAUAAUUAAAAAUAAAAAAGUUGGAAUGAUUAUUCUUCUUUUUUUCACUUUAAGAGAUCCAAAAAUAUAAAAUUAAAAGGGUUUUCUUAUUAAUACUAGGAAAAGAAAAAGAUAUAGGAAAGAAGGAGAUAAAAAAUUAGAUUUUGUAAAGAAAAUAAGAAAGAAAAAUAUAACAUUAUUGUAUUAAUUUAAGGUUGUUGGGAUAGAAUUGAAAUUUGAUGGUAAACAAUAAAGUAAAAUAAUUUUAAAAUAAUAAAAUUAUUUAAUUUUUUCUUAUUUGUAUUUAAAAUAAAAGAAUUGAGCUCUCUCUUUCUCUAUCUCUCUCUCCCCCUCUCCCUCCCCUCCCAAUCUUUCUAUUUGUUUUAAGGGUUAAUCACAUUUAAUCCCUUUAAGAUAUACCCUAUUUCUCAGUUUACCCUCUAAUUUUUAAUUUUGCUCACUUAACCCCUAUAGGACAAAAUUGCCCUUGCAUUAGUUUUACUUUUUAUUACCUUGUUUUCCUUUCUUUUAUUUCUUUUUCUCUUUUUUCUUUAUUUAAUUCUUCCUUUUUCCCACAAAAAUCUUCACCUUAAUGAUUGAAAUUUAAAAAAAGAGGAAUUGCAGAGAUUUAUCUUCUCCUUAAAUGAUUAAAAAAAUAUUUAAAUCACUUUCCUAAAAUACAUUCUUUUUAGCCUUUCAAUUCUUUUAAUUUUGGUUUUUCCUCUUUCCUUUCUAGUUUCCUAAAACUAAUUUUGAUUUUUUGUAUGAUGCCACAUGUCAACAGUUUACGACGACAAACCAUUCAUGUCUCUUUUUCAUUUGUUUACAUGUUGAAUCAGUCCAAUGAUAUGUUAAUUCAUGUGUAUUUUGAAGCAAUUUCUGGAGGCUUCUAAAUUCUUUAUCUGUUAAUACCUGAUGCUGCUACAUAACAUUCUGAUAAAUUUCUGAUUGCAGUAGGAAACACAUUCUUUAUCUUCUUCUUGUCAUUUUCUGGUUCAGUGUUGAGUAAUUUUCAUCCUUUAUAAUCCCAAUUUGCGAAAUCUUCUUCCAUGUUGCUACAUAUUGAUAUGAUACUCAGAACCAGCAGAGCAAUAGCAUAACUUGAUACGAUACUCAAAACCAGAUACACUUUUCUGUUCCCAAUUUGUGUAUGUAAAUAAGAGUAAUACAGAAAAGUGUAACUCAAUUGAUUGAUAUGUUUAAACAUACAAUCACAGUUUUGCAACAAAUAUUAAGUGGAGACAAAAACCCAAAAAAAAAAAACUAUGGUUGUGUUAUUUUUCAACAGAGGAAGGGCAUAGGACUUAAUAUGUGUUUUUCUUCACUACAAUAUGCUGAAAUACAAACAUUUUCGUUCUUUAAUAGGCAAUAUUUUCAGAAAUAAAAAAGGAAGCAAUUUUUUCUUAAAACUUUUUUUUGUGUGUGGUUUCAUGUUUUAUUUUGCUAUUUUAAGUGGUUAAUUGCUCAAACUGAUCAAAAUGACAAAUCAAAGAAACCAGAUGACCUAUUUUGUUGGGUAAUCUGUAUACCUCUUCAUUCAACUGAUGUAGUACUGCAAUUAUUCCUUCUUCCAGAGUAGAUUUCCUCGGAAGGAGAGUCCGUUUCUUCUCAUCAUCACAUUAGACAAACGGUGAAGACUGAAGCAUUUAUGUCUCUCCUUGAUUUGGUGCGAUCAUUCCACUCAUCAGGUUAGAUAUAAUUGUAUGUGCAUGUUAAUUCAGUUCAAUGAUAUAUAAUUGCUCCUGUAUGUGUAUUCCUUCUUCAUCUGUACCAAAUUAUUUGGUUUGAACUUUGAUGCAGUUGUAUUACUUUGUCAUUGCAGGGGCAAGCACAGUCAUGCAUUCUAUCAAGCCAACAUUAUCCAUCAUAAUCUGUUUGUAAAAUGUUCUCCAUGUUCCUUUCUGGUUUGAUGUUUAAUAAUGUACACUUUAUGAUCCAUCAUAAUCUGUUUGUAAAAUGUUCUCCAAGUUCUUUCCUGAUUUUGAUGUUUAAUACAGUGUUCAUGAUCCCAAUUUUUCAAAUAUUCUUCAAUCCCGCUACAGAUUGAUAUGAUCCUUAAAACUAGCUUUUGUAGAAUGUUCUCCAUGUUCUUUUCUGAUUUGAUGUUUAACAGUGUUUAUGAUUUUUUGAGUGGAUAAUGAAACAAAACUGCGGCUUUGGAACUACGAAACGAAAAGAUGAGGCAUUCAGGCACUUGUUCUUUGCAUGCUCUUUUUUUGUUUUUUUUUUUUUUGAGAUAGAAGUAGACCUGUCAAUUGACUUGGGCUAACCCAAGUUCAACCCGAUCAACCUCAAAUGUAGUAGGUUGUGCCUUAUGCAAUGCGGGCUGAGUUGAUGUGGACUAAACUAUUUUGCCUGAUUUAAAUGUGAACUGAAUUUUAGUUGUACUGAAUUUAUUCCACUUAAUUCUCAGUCCGAAUAAUAUGUAUUCUAGAGCUCAUAGUGGGAAUUAAGAAGAUUUAUUUCUCUAAAUCUAGACAAAUAUUAAUUUUCUGAUAAAUUGUUCUUUUUCAAUUUCUAGUUGAUAGAUUUAUGGAUGUUAUAGUAAACUAUAUUAUUUUUUGUUAUAAAAUUUAAACUUUUAGAACAUCUAUGGAUUAGUUGGCUGUUUGGUUCAAUUAGAUUUUGUGAACGUUACAAGUACAUGACAUGAAUUUGCACCUAUCCGAAUUAGGCCAAGUGCCCUACUUUUAUUUUGAGUCGAGCAUGAGUUACAAAAAUGUGAUUCUAGUUGAGUAGAAUUUGGAUUCAGAAAAAUGAUAUUUUAUGUCAACUGAGUUUAAGCAUGUUAACACCCAACUCACAUAGUCCAAUUGAUAGGAUAAGAAGGCAAAUAAUUGAAAUAGAUUCAGCCAACGAAGGAAUACUUUGUGACUAAUGAAUGGAAAUUGCGUGAAAGUUUGUUUUUUUUUUUUUUUUUUUACAAUAACUCUUUUUUUUUUUAUGUUUUAUUCGUAUUGGACUCCCACCAAAAGGCGAGUGAAAUUACAAUAGCUAGCCUAAUCUCGGAGCCUAACCAAAGCAUAAAUGAGGAGUACUACUCCCUUACAUUGGAGAUCCUAAGUGAUGGUACUUGCGUGAAAGUUUGUUGUUGUUUGAUUAAGCAACGUUGUACAUUAAAAUAUUUAGCUCUAAGUUCCGUCAUUAUGUCUUUAAUGUCAUGCAUUCUAUCAAAUUCUUUAGUUUUCAAUAUAGUUGGGUACACAUGAAAAAAAAAUUAAAGAGGGAUAUUUAAUAACUAUUGUACUAACAUUUAUGCAUAUCCACCAAAUUUUAGAUCCAUCUUAAAGAACACAAAUCCCAAUGUGGUAAUAGUUAAGAUUCCAAGAACGUAGGUGAGAAAAAAUUGAGCAAUAAAUAUCCUAUAGCUUCAAUUGUAUUUAUAAUAUCUAUACAAGAUCAAUUUCUUUAAAAUGACAGAAAUUCUAUUAGUAACAGUGAAAGAUUUUGGCUUUUGAUGAUCAGCUAUUGGGAACCAUAUGUCAUUUAAAUCUUGAGAAUAACUUUUUCUAAUGUUUUGAUAGAAUAUACUCUAUUAAUUAAGUAAUGGAAGCAAAUAUGAGUUAGAUUACUCUAUUAGUGUAAAAGAGUAUGGAUAUAAGCAUCAAAUAGUGAUUAUUUCGGUGAAACUUAGGAAAUAUUGCUUUUUAUUUUAUUAUUGGAUGUAUCGCUAAUUACUGAACUUUUGAUUGAUAUAACUUCCAAAGCUACUCUUUUUAAUGAUGUUUUCACUGUUUUGUUGGAAGUAUUAAAUUUUUUGGAUGAUUUUCUUUAUCUGGGGAGGUUUUUGCUGUCUUUUUCAAAUUCCUAUAUAAUUUCUUGUUCAAGUGAUACCAAUAAGACAGUUCAAAUUUCUGGAUUGUGAAUCACGUACUUUGCACGAAUAUUCUGGAUGACAAUGUUUCAUGCACAUUUUAAGAGUAAUUAAACAUGGUUUCAAGAAAGAUUAAAGUCCAAAAUGCAUAGCACUUCUGGUCUUCAACACUAAUGAUCUAGCUCAUUCAGUCCGACACAACAUCUCAAGAUCUUGGAAUCAAGAAUGUGUUCUUUUGAUUCUGUAGUUUUCUGAAUAGAAACGUAAACAAAUCAAGAAAUAUCUUCAAAGUUGUUGUACCCACGAAAUCAACCGCGGUAAAUCUUCUCAUAUUGGGCAGCAAUAAGAGAAAAAGAUCAUGAAUGAUUGUCGUUUUAGUGGUGAUAUGGAAGAUAUGAAUAAACGUAGUUUGUGAUUUUUCAAAAUUGGCAAUGGAUAGUGGACGAGGAAAUUCUUAUGGAAACCAAAUGGGUAGGUUUGGAGCAGAGAGAGUCAUUAUUUCUGAUAACCAACCUAGAAGUUUAAGGGAAUUAUCAGAGUCAGAAAUUCGAGAUAUGCUGAUGGGAAAGGCUAGGAUUAAAAUCCACAAGAAGUUACCGGGAUAGAAUAUGGCUGCUGUACAGAAGUCUUCAGGUAAAGAGGCAAGGGAGAAGCCAACUUCAUCACUGCUCCGACAGAAUCAGUUGGAAGUCAAUUUCUUCUAUUAUAACUUUCUCAGACACAACUGUCACCAUUAGUACCCUGAGCUAGAUCAUGCACUAGGGAGCUUGCCUUCUGCUUCAACCAAUGGUCGAAACACAGAAGCUACUGAUAUUGUCACGCCUCUAACCCGCACGUGCCAGUCACGUGACAUCCGCCGUACCCUCAAGUCUCGCUCAAGAAUACAAGACAACAUCAUAUUAUACUAAACUUUAAAAGUACUAAAUAAUAUAACUAGAUAAAGUGCGGUACAAAUCUCAUAUGAAGGAUAGUCUACGAAUAUCCAAUAAGUUCGUACAUUUAUUUUCUGAUUGAAACAGCGGAAAUAAAAGUAAAUAAAACUAACAACUAGAAGUAGCUAGCCUGCUAACUUCUGUUCACUUAAAAACUAAUAAAAGUCAUCCUCAGGGUCCUCUACGUAAAUCAAUUCAUACUCUUUAGAAUCUGCAAAGAUGGUAAAAAAUGGAAUGAGCGACAAAUUGCUCAGUAGGUAAUAUUUACCUCUUUGUUAGACCAUACACUCGUAACUUUAUAGAUACAUAUAUAGAUAUAAAUUAAAUCAUUUGCACAUAAAUCAUUUGCACAUCGUUUACAUCCAUAAUCUUGAAAGUAACGUUGUUUAUAAAACAAUCAGUAGUAACGGAUGACGAGCAAUUUAAAAGCAUUUUAUUGACAACUAUACAUGAAAAAUGACAAAGUCAUAUAUCAUUUCAUAUCCAUUCAUAAGUCUCUUCAUAUCAGUUCAUAAAUUAUUUCAUAUCAAUUCAUAAGUCUCUUCAUAUCAGUUCAUAAAUCAAUUCAUAUCAGCUCAUAACAAGUACAUGUAAUGAUCUGCUACUGAAUAUUCAGCCUAGAGAUUAAACCCCUUCUAGGUGGGCGACCAAUAGAUUUCAUGACUACCAAUUGGUCUCAUUACAUACAUGGGACAAUCGUUCGGAUUUUAUAUCAAACUACCAUGAUUUUGUCAAUCGGUCGGACUCUAUACCAAGUUACCAUGACCAUUAGACAGGACUAUAGCCCCUACCAUCUAUUCCAUGACCGUUUUGAGUUUUAGUUGUCACAAAAUCAUUUCAUAUGUCACAUACAUAGUUCAUUGAUUUCAUAAAAGAUACAGCUCGUUUGGCAUAUAAUAAUAUAUCAAAAUAUUUCAAAUAAGUCACAUGGUCCAUUUUCGUAUAGUGAAAAUAUAACGUUUAUAUAUAUCCAAGUAAAGCAUUUAAUCAAAUACAUUUCGAGUCAACACAACAAAAUAUGAUUGACACAAAAAUUGCAUUUUGCACCUUUGAAAUCUCAGAAGGGUAAGUACCACCUACCUUUGUCUGGCUGUUCGAGUGAGGCUACCUUAGGUCUUUUACACUUGUGUCGUACCUAUCAAAUACAUAAGUUUCCUAAUUAGUUGAUAUUUUCUAUAGAUGCAUAAAUAUACAAACUCUGAGCGAGUCGAAAAUUCAUGUCUAAACCAUUAUAAGACCCUAACAGCAUUUUCCUUGAUUGGACGAUUUCUAUUUUUGGAAAGUUUCCUAAAUUGAAAAGUUUCUAUUUUUUAGAAAGUUUCUUAAUUUGGAAUAUUCUCCUUUUUGUAAAGUUUCUGAAUUUAAAAGAAAAUAAUUAUUCAUAUAUUUAUUAUCUUGCCUAUUAUAUUACCAUACAUAUUUAUAAUUUAUAAUUUAUAAUUAUUCAUUAUUAUUAUUAUCGUCCUCGUCGUCGCUACUUUAUUUUAUUACCAUUUUAUAUAUUUGUUAAUUAGUUACUAUUAUCUUUCGCUUUAUUUCCACUUUGUGCAUGUGUAGGUGUUAUUAUUAUUUAUGUAUAUAUGUAUAUAUAUAUAUAUAUAUAUUGACUUAUUAUUAUAAUUAUUGUCUUAGUUUAUUCUACUUGUGUUUAUAUUUUUAUUUUCAUUUAUAUCUUUAAUUUACUUCAUCUAUAUCUAUAUUGUCAUUAUUAUUACUAUUAUUGUUAUUAUUAUUAUUACCAUUAGUGUUAUCGUUAGUAUUAUUAUUAUUAUUAUUAUUAUUAUUAUUACGAUUUUAUGCGUUCCGUUUAACAACUAGGACUUAUCUUACAUUGUAUAAAUUACUCUAAUAAAGCUAGAUUAAGACGUUUUAAAUUUCUAUUUAAGUAUCUUAGACUUAAUCAAUAAAGUAUAAACUUAAAUGACUAAAUCUUUAAACUCCAAAAAUUAUUAUUUAGAUUGGGUUUUGAAAUUUAAUUCCUAUGUUAGUCCAUAAAAUGUGGACUAAUUAUACCUAAAAUUUAACUAUUGGAGAUUCACUAAACUCAUACUAUAUUUUUGUUCCCAAAUAUAUAUACUUGUCUUUUUUUUUCAAAUUCUAUUAUUAUUUUUAUUAUUCUACUUGUGCUGGAGACCUCCUUUUUUUUUUGUUUCCCUUUGGUUGGCCGACCACUUGGUUGCUAGCGACCUUUGCUUUGCCCUUUUUUUUUUUUCCGCUUAAGCUUCAGCAAUUCACAACUACAACACCCUCUUUCUUCUUCUUCUUUUUUUUUUAAAUAACUUUCCAACAAUUUGGUAAACCCUAUUCAUCCCAUAAUUAAAAUUCAAUACCCUAAUCCUACUAAUCCAAACCUAAAUCUUCCUAAAUUUCUCAUACAGGCAUAUACAUAUAUAUAUAUAUAUAACAUAAUACAUAUAUGUAAAAUCUUUAAAAUGAUUAACGCGACUAAUAGAACUUAAAAGAGGAGUUUUCACACGAAUUUAGGACUUACGAGUUUAGGUGCCUAACUGCCUGAUUGAUCAACAGUGACGCCUUCUUCUCCCCCUCUACUUUCUGACGGCUCUUACUCUAAAGGGAGGCAGACAAUGAAAGGUAGGAAUAAUGUUAUUUUUUGCUUUAUUGUUUUGAUAAGUGUGCUAAACCCUAGUAACCACCCACCAUUUGGUGGUUUAGACAAGAGUUCUAACUGUUGUGAACUUUUACCCUAUCUUAUCUCAUUCCUAUCCCCCAAUUAACCCUUUAACCUAUCUUAUAAUUAUUUUUUUACUUUGACUCAUGGUAAAUUGCCAUUUAAUUAAUUGGACAAGGAUAAAAAAAUGAUCCCAAAAUCGUGGGUUUUACAGAUAUGUUCAUGACGAUGGAUGUGGCUGAUCCGGAUUUGACAAAGAUAGUGUGGAAGAAUCAUUUGCUGAAAACCCGGUUUGGGCUGCAUAUGACAAUGAGGUGGUGUGCCUUGCUUUUAUGCUAUUAUUCAUGAAGCCUUGCCCAGAAAGCCCUUUAAAGUUAGGAUUAGCUGGUUGAACUCCAAAAGCAACAGCGAAUUGAACUUGGUCCAUUAAAUUGGUGUGAGUUGUGGUUUUGCUAAACUUGCAAAACUAAUUGCCAUAAUGGUUGGUUCUGAUUUUACAAAAUUGAGAAUUUUGAUACCAAUUGUGAUAUAGGGAAGUUCUUUUUUUAAAAAAAAAAUUGAAGAUAAAGUCGAUGAUAAUAAUUGAAUUAUCCAAUUAAGUAUGGAAUUUUGUGGUUAAAUUCUAAUUCAGUUUGGAGUCUGGAACAGAUGAAUUUGAAACUAAAAAGUGAGAUAUCGAGCUUUCAGUUAUCCAAGGAAGCCGACUUGAAAUUUACCAAUCAUUGUUUGAUCAAUUGUCUACGGCUGUGAAAUAUUCAGGAAUAGUGAGAGCCAAAAAGAAACUGUGAUUGUUUGAGUUGGUGUUCGGUUUUGCCGAAUUUGGAAGGAAUGCAUGAGCGCUCACCCUACCAACUGCAUAGGUUGUUUUCUUAAAACUCAAUACUCCUCUCUUAGAUUUUCCGUUUUUUAUUUGAACCAAUUCAAAUCCACUUUUCUUUCUUUAUUUUUAUCCCAUAGAAGAAGGGUUCUUCUGGAAUUUAAUUGCAAAGAAGGGAUUUUAACACUGCUACCCAUUAUUCCAAUUCUUUAAGCAUCCGAGAAAACCCCUCAAGAAAAAAAUAUUUUUGGAGUGGUUGAUGAAACAAAGUUGCAGCUUUGAGGUCUACGGGUAGUAUCUACCUUGUAUAUAAGAAGGAAAGGAGGUUUAGUUCUUUGCCUCCCUUGUUGCCAUUUGAUUUUUCAAUAAUUUGACAAGUGGCAUAAGUCUAAUAUUUUUCUUGCACAUGAUUUUCUUGCCUCUUGCAUAUCCCUUUUUUCUUUUUUGCUUUUUUUUCAUGCCAAACUGAGCAAGUUUGGCUCCUUUAUUCUCCUUUUGAGCCCAACGAAUUUUUUUAACCUUAAUUAUUUGACUAAGUGAGUCUAUUGUUUAAUUCAUCACCGUUAGAUUAGUUUUAAUAAAAUAACACUACAUUACAACUCUUGGAUCAAUUUUCAUUCGUUCUUAUUGUCUACCUAUUAUAUAAGAGACAUGGGAAUUUAAUGUAGCACUUUCAUUUAUAGGGAUGGCAACGGGGCGGGGUUGGGGCGGGGGACCCCUCCCCCAUCCCCCGUCCCGCUGCCUACAAACUCCCCCCACCCCCGCCCCGUCUCCGCCCCGCCCCACUUCCCCCGCUGGGACACCCGCGGGGCUAAUAAAAAUUUGUUAUAUAAUUUUAUUAUGGUUAAAUUUUAGCAAAUAAUCAAGUACUAAAAUAUCAACACAUCAUCAAAUUAUUAUUCAUUGUAAUUUUACAAUUGCAACUUAUAAAAAUAAUCAAACAAAAAUUAUUUGAAUAUAAUCUAACAUGAUGAAAUAAAUAUAACUAAAGUAGUCAAGUUUUCACUUUUGACACAAAUAUAAUCACUAAUUCAUUAUUGUGCUUGUGCUUUUUUAAGAAAAAAAUGUUAUUGUAUUAAGUAUAAUUAGGAAUUUAUUAUAAAUGUAUUAGUAAAUUUAGUAUAACCAAUUAAUAAUUUGUAUUAGUACACAUAUAUAAUUAUUAGUAUAAUUAAUAAUAUCAAUUAUAUUAUAUAUACUAAUAGACAUUAUAUAAUACAUAUAAUUAAUAAUAUCAUUAUCAUAAGUUUGUAACUAAUUAAAUUAUAUAUUAUAUAUAUAAUUAUAUACAUAUAUAUUUUAUAUAUUUAUUUUUUUAAAGCGGGUGGCAGGGCAUGGGAUGGGGCGGGGGUACACUCCCCUGCCCCCCGCCCCGUUUCUAAGCGGGGGAAAAAAAUUCCCCCCUCCCCCUCCCCAUUAGCCCCCCGCGGGGCGGGUGCUGGCGGUCUCCCGCCCCCAUUGCCAUCCCUAUUCAUUUAUUGACAUGUGAUGUAACUCUCCUUUGAGGAAUUUAUGAUUUUUCUCCCAUUUUUUUAUUUCCCCUACUUCUAUCUUGAUGGAGCAAGACAAAAGAUGUACCAUACAGGAUAAGACAAAAGAUUUCAAUUGCAAGUCAUGUUGCAUAACUACAAGAACUUCUACUGUUUUUAUAUAUUGUCUAAUUUAUGACUAUAAGAUCAACUUUUAUAGAUUAAUGAAAAAUUUUUAAUCCUUGGAUAUUGAUUAAUUAUGUUUGAUUAGUAGCUAACCAACUAUUACAUUUAAACAACUCUUUUAUGUAAUCGAUUAAAGUCUCUUUUUCUAUUUCUUUAUAAAUAGUUUCUCAAUGUUGCAUAGAAAAAAUCAGAUUUCUUCCUUCCCAAUUGUAUUGAACUAUGCACUUGUUCAUUAAUCUCAAGAUUAGUGAUGGAUUUAAUAGAUGCUAUGUUUAUUGUCUCCUUGAUUUAGAAGAGUUAACUUUAUAGAUGGAAUUUCUUCUGAUGCUCAAAUUUUCUCGUGUUUUUGUCUAUUAUGUACCAACAAGUUUUACUGUUAUAUGUUCAAUCAAGUUAUUAGGGGGCCUAAGCUGUGCCUUGCACGGCCGAGGUACCUCUAGUAGUAAUAGACUUUUCGGUACUUCUUGUUGGGCUUUACUUGGUUAAGAAGGGAAACUAUACGGUGGAUUCAGCCGAGGAAUGAAAACCUUUUGCAAAAACCGGUUGUUGAAUGAUUGAGCAACAUUAAACCUUUAAAUAUGAACUCCGGAUGUAGCCAUUAUGUCGUUAAUUUCAUGACAAUCUAUGUUGAAUUUUUGUACAAAAGUUCUUUCGUGUGGCAAUAUCCUAAAUAAGAAUAAGGGUAAGUAACCUUUUACCCAUUGUGUUAGGUUCUUAAUCAUAUCAUUCUUCUCCCUCGUUCCGCCUCUCCCCCACUCUUAUGGUUUUAAAAUUUAUACAUAACCUCCUCAUAAUUUAGGUUAAACUGUCACCAUUAAUUUUCUAUUAAAAUUCGCUGUCAAUAUUAAAAAAGUCAAAAUCAAACCAAUAAAUUAAUAAAUUCACCAUUUCUUAAUUUUUUCCAAGUACAAAAGAGAAGAAAGAAAAUUAAAGAAAAAGACAUAUAAGAAUUAGAAAAUACAAAAUCUUUAAUAAUUGCAAAUAUUUUAAACCAAAUCUUUAAUGAUUGCAAAUCUUUGAUGGUAUUUUCUAUUUCUUAUUUAUAUAUAUUUACUUCCCUUUAUUUUUUUGUAUUUGGAAAAAUUAAGAUUUAGUAUGCCAAUGUACAAUUAUUUCUAAAUCAUAUCUUCUUUUCCCAAAGGGAAAAAAGAAAAGACAAAAAAGGGGAAAAAAAGAAAAAAGUUAGUGAAAAGCUAUAUUUGUCAAUCCAUUAGUUUUGGAUUUGACUUUUUGAUAUUAAUUGUUAGUUUUAACCAAAAAACUAACAGUUAUGUUUUAACAAAAACUACAGAGGUUUUAUGUGGUAAAACAACAAACUACAUAAGGGGUAAAGGAUAAUUUACCCUUAAAAUAAUUAUUUUCAAUUGGUUCAAUAAUUUACUAUACGAAACAGUGGUAGAGCCACAUUCUGUUGAAGGGGAUGUGCAAUUGCACCCACCCAAUUUUUUAGAAACUAUAAAAUAGCCCAUAAUUUUUUUUUUACAAAAAAUUAUAGUAUUGCCCCAUUUUUGCUGUUCUGAAUUUUGGUAGCAUUCCCUUUAACCUCAUAAUUGUCCCCCAAAAUUGUUCAAAUCUUCAAUAAUUGUCUUCUCCAUUUCCACAAUGGUAAAUCUUGAACUAUAAUAUAUUACAUGAUACUAUUUUUUCCCUUUUUAUUAAAUGUAUUUUUUGUAAGCAAAUGCUAUCUCUUUAAUAUUUAGCUUUUCUUACAUGUAUAUUUCGUACAAAUUACAAGCCAACCAAAUAUUCAUUUUACAGUUCGAUUGUGUGUAAAUUAUUUGCCAAUUGUACAUCUUAAUUAUAAUACAUAUCUUGUAUUCUUAUGCAUGAUUUUAUACCAUUGGAUGAGUUGAAAAAUAAUGAAUCCCAAGUUGCAUGUUUGCUAUAAUAAAUAUUUAGUCAUUUCAAAAAUCUACAAACCAACACGUUAUAAGUCUAAAUUAAUAUUAUUACACCCCUUGAAUAAAAUGUUUUGGCUACGCCACUGCUACAAAGCCAUGUAGCCAAACACAAGUUAUAUUAUCUCUAUUAGUAUAUAGAAAUAUGUAAAUAAAUACUAUUUUGGUGAAACUUGGAAAUCAUUAGAAUUGUGAAUAACACAAAUUAGAAAAUAAACGCAUCCAAUCUUUCAAGUAUUACGAUUAAAAUAGUUCAAGGAUACAUUUGAAAAAAGGUAAGGCUAUUAGAAGAGAUUGUGAGGUUGUUUUGUGAUUCUAUUUGAUAAGUUUAGGUACAGGAAAACUAGAGACUUGACUGUGUUGGAUGCAUAUAGUGUUUGUUACAAAGCUAGUAAAAUUUUCAGGCCCUUGUCGAUAGUAAAUUGGGCGUCGUCAUUGUAAAUCACUCUUUCGCACGAUUCGUACCUAUGGUUUUUCACAAGUUCCAGGUUUUGGAGACUUGUAGAUUUCGUUUUUUUACCUUGUUUUUUAUGGAAAACUUGUUGAACUUUUAUUAAUAAGUGCGUCAACAAUCUUUUGUUAGGACUGGUCCCAUUUUCAAGAAAUUAAUCAACUAGAAUAAUAGGACUCUUGACAAUUCAAUAAAAACAAUAACAAACAAAUAAAUCAAACAAAGAAACACCAAAAUUUAUAUAAUUUAAUCAAAUGACUUGCAUUCACGGGCGAAAGGGUGACAAAUUUAUUAUAACAGAAAGGAUACAAAACCCUAGAAAAGAGUUUGUACACCUAAAAGCACCCAAUAUCAAAAGCACAAGAAGAGAAUUCAAAAUCACAUAUAAGGUUUAACAGUCUAAAGGCCCAAAUAACUCACUAACUGGCUCUGUUAAUUCGGCGUUUAACUUAAAAACCUCUCUUAAAUUAGGCAUCACAGCUGCCACCAUUUGUACCCUUGAGCCAGAUCAUGCACUGGGGAGCUUGCCUAGUUGUCUUCUGCUUCAACCAAUGGUUCAAACAUAGAAGCAACUGAUAUUAUGAAAAUGGAUGUGCCUGAUCCGGAGUUUGACAGAGACACAGAGGAAGAAUCAUUUGCUGGCUUUCAUGACAAUGAGGAUGGCAUGCCUGGCUUUCAUGCUAUUAUUCAUGAAGCCUUGUCCAGAAAUCCCUUCAAAGUUUGGAUUAGCUGGUUGAACUCCAAAAGCAACAGCGACUUUGGUCCAUUAAAUUGGGUGGGUUGGGCUCUUGCUAAAAAAGUUUCUUUUAGGCCUCUUGGUGAUGAAAUGGUUGUUUGCUUCCAGAGGAAACUUUCAAUAUUGUCUUUCAUAAAAUCACAGUGAAUCACGUACAAUGCACGAGUCUUCGUGAUCACAAUUUUAAUGCAAUUAUUUAUUUUAAUGGAAAAAUGAAUUCCUUAAUUUAACGGAGACGGUCUUUGCAAAUUGCAAAAUUUAUACAAGUUUUAAUGCAAAUUCUACCGUUUCUUUUGGAUGUCAUACUGAUACUGAUGAUUAUAAUUCAAUAAACUCCUAUCACAUCAUUCAAUAAUUUAAACUACUAAAACUAUCUAAGGACUGAUAUCUGUCUUUAUACAUUCAAUGGUAAAUUGAUACGUGAUAUCCAAAAGUUACAAUAGAGCUCUCCGAAGAAAGUAAGGUUAUUAGAAACAUGAUGACAAAUCUCCUCUUGCUUAUGGGAGUUGGCAUUUUCAGUUCUCAUAAUCACAGUACUGCUAAAGUUUGAUGUUUCUAGAUUUUUGCAUCAUAGCAUAUUAUCUUAUAUGCAUUCUGUUCAUUGGGAUAAUUUUAAAAGUCCUUUGGGUUUCUGAUUGACGGAAUGUAUAGCAGGGAGCAUUACCUGCAGGUUGCUUCUAUCUCAAAAAAAAAAAAAACUCCUGACAAUUAAAAGUGUCAGCAUUGAAUUCGAUAUUCUAAUGUUGUACUAUACCUAUCCUGACACUUUCAAUUAUCAAGAAAAGGGAUUUUUGUUGGCAGAUGGGAUGUUAUAACAGCAUAGUUUUCCUGACAUGUUGAAUAGUAUGAGUCUAUCCCCACAUUGGAAGGGACAAUACUCGCCCUAGGUGUGAGGAUAGAUAAAGUGUCAGGUUAGAUAAUCUAUACUGACACUUUUAAAUGCCGUUAAAGGCCAUUUUUGUUGUAGUGAAAGGAUCACGAGGUUUGUUUUGUGAUUCCAUUUGAUAAGUUUAGGUACAGGACAACUAGAGACUUAACUAUGUAGAAUGCACAUGAUUAUUUUGUCACAAAACUAGUAAAAUUUUCAGGCCCUUUUCGGUAGAAUAUUGGUCUUAGUAACUGUAAAUCACGUCUUUCGCACGAUUCGUACCAAUGGAUUUUCACAAGUUCCAGGAUUUGGAGACAUUUCGAUGUCAUUUUUCUUUUUUUUUUUCAAGGAAAUCUUGUUGAACUUGUUUUAACAUGUAUGUGAACAAUCUUUUACUCUCCAAGGCAACACCAGAGUCCAGAAUCUACCACCUUCUGCAUGAAAUCUAACUUAAUAAAACCAAACAAAAAACAGAACUGCUGACUGCUAACUAUUCUUUUAGUCUAUCACAGAACACCAACUAAAGAAAGAGAUGUGGAUCAAAACAUAAACCAAAACAAAGUUCCUAUUCUCAAAAAAGAAUAAAUUUUUGGUGUUUUCUUAUAAUGCGUGUUCCAGUAAUUCUUAAUCUCGUUGUCUGUCCUCUUUGGCAGGGAUGGACACGGAUGGAAAUAGGGUGCAACCAAGGGCAGUUAGGCCACCAAAAACUUUCCGAAUAGUUAUUUAAAGGAUGAGGCUUGCUACCAAAAAUUGGUUAAUUUUAUUUUACACCUCUCCAUAAAAGUAGUAUGAUAUAGCAAAAUAAGGAAAUUAUACAAAGGGAAACAAAAGAUAAACCAAAGCAAAUUUAACUUCUACUACAACUUGUAUACACUGUCAGUAUAUAUAAGAGUUACUUAUAAAAUUUUGUCAAAUUCUAAUUUAGUUUGGAGUUUUGACCGGAUGAAUUUGUAGAUAAAAAGUGAGAUAGAGAGUUUUUAGUUAUCCAAGGAAACCGAUUUGAAAUUCAUAAAGGGAUAAUUCAGAGACCUCCUCUGAUAAAAAGUCAAAAUCAAACUAAUAAAUUGACAAAUUCACUAUUUCAUUACUUAAUUUUUCUGGAAAAGAGAAGAAGUGAAAAUUGAAAAAAAAAAGAUAAAUGAGAAAUACAAAAUGUAAAGUCUUUAAUAACUACAAAUAUCAUUAGAGGAUUAUAAACCAAAUCUUUAAUGGUAUCCUCUAUUUCUUGUUUAUCUAUUUUUAUUUUCCUUUCCUUUUUUUUGUACUUGGUAAAGAUUAAGAUUUAGCAGGCCAAAAUACAAUUUUUUUAAAAUCAUCUAAUCUCUUCCCAAGGGAAACAAGAAAAAGAGAAAGAAAAGAAAAAAGGUAAAAGAUAGUGAAAGGAUAAUUUGUUAAUUUAUUAGUUUGCUUUGACUUUUAAUAUUGAUCAUUAGUUUCAACGAUCAUGUAACUUUAACCUAAACCAUAAGAAGAUUACGUAUAGGAUUUUAAACUAUAGGGGUGUUACGUGGAAAUUCUUAUAGAAACCAAAUGGGUAGGUUUGGAGCAGAGAAAGUCUGAAAUUUAAGGGAAUUAUCAGGCUAGAAGUUUAAGGGAAUUAUCACAGUCAGAAAUUCGAGAUAUGCUGAUGGGAAAGGCUAGGAUUGAAAUGCACAAGAAGUUGCAGGAAUGGAAUAUGGCUGCUGUACAGAAGUCUUUAGGUAAAGAAGCAAGGGAAAAGCCAACUUCAAUAAUGCUCUGACAGAAUCUGUUGGAAGUCAAUUUCUUGAUGACAACUUUCUUAGACAAAACUGCCACCAUUAGUACCCCUGAGCCAGGUGCACUAGGGAGCUUGCCUUCUGCUUCAACCAAUGGCUCAAACACAGAAGUUGCUGAUCCGGAGUGGCUGAUCCGGAGUUUGACAAACACAGAGUGGAAGAAUCAUUUACUGAAAACCGGGUUUGGGAUGCAUAUGACAACGAGAAUGGUAUGCCUCGCUUUUAUGCUAUCAUUCAUGAAGUCUUGUCUAAGAAGCCCUUUAAAGAUAGGAUUAGCUGGUUGAACUCCAAAAGCAACAGCGAAUUUGGUCCAUUAAAUUGGGUGGGUUGUAGCUUUGCUAAAAAAAAUUUUCUUUUAGUCCUCUAGGUGAUGAAAUGGGUGUUUGCUUCGGGAAGAAACUUUCAAUGAUCUUCUCUUCAUAAACUAGCAGUGAAUCACGCACUACGCACGACUCUUCAUGAUCACAAGUUCUAUGCAAUUGGUUUUUUAAGAAAACUGAAUUUCCUUAAUCCAAUUCAAUGGAGUCAUAUCUCUGCAAAUUGCAGAAUUUAUACAAGUUUUAAUGCAAAUUAUACAACUAUUAGUAUUACUAAUUUGUACAUUUACUAUAUUAUUGUAAUUAUCUUUUACUUAUAAUUUCAUUUUGUAUUAUUUAUAUACACUAUUAGAAAGUUCAAAAUACACUGUGUUGCAUAAAAACUAAUAUAUGCUUGUCAUAAUAAAAAAAAAGUAUAUAUUGCUAGUAAUUUGACUAUUUGAAAAAAUAUUAGCAAACUAGAACUUUAAAUAACUUAAUAUUUAAAGCUAUAUCCCAAAAAAUAAAAUAACUAUUGUUUUAUUUACUUUUUUAUGUAAAAUUGAUUAACCACUAUGUUAUUAUGGUUUUUCAACUCAUUACUGUUGUUAUUAAAAAGUAAUUCCGUCUAAAUUCUAGACUUAUUAAUUUAAAUAAUAUGUGACAUAGUUUAUGUAUAUAGAUAACAUAUAUUUUGUUGUAGCAUAGAUUUUAUGAUAGUAUUACUUUCAGUAAAAAAGAUAGAAACAAAUGAAGAUGAUGUUUAAGAAAAUUAAAAUUAAUACAUGGAUAAUAAUAGUAAAGAGAAGAAAGUAGUUGAUCACAUGAGAAAAUGGAGAAAAGUUUAAAAAAUAUAUAAAGAAAAUGGACAGGUAGAAAAAAGGAAAAAGAAAAAGAAAAAGAAAAUAAAAUAAUAAUUAGUACAGAAGAGGCACUUGUGUCCUAAAGCAUAAAAUUGGAGGGCAAAGUGCCAAUUUAUUGAGUUGAGAGGGGUAAGGUGCAAUUGAGAAUAAAGUUCAGGGAAUUUAAUGCUUUUAACCCUAAAAUAAAACAUGGCUUCAACUUUCAACUUCCAACAAAAUUCUGAAUUUAAUUGCCAAAAUGAAACUUCUUGAAUUUAUUGCAAAGUUUUUGUAUCGCUGAUCGUGUCAAAAUCAAUCAAAUACAAACAUUGCCAAGUUUUUGUAAUCUUGCGUCUCAUCCAUAGAAGGAUGAUACAAACAUUACAACGAACUCCAAUUCUGCCUGCUUCGACACCUUGUUUCUUGGAGCAUCAAGCCGUGAUAGAGGGACAAAGUUUUGUUAGCCUUUGCGACAUUGUUCAUUUCCUCAUCAAGUAUCCACUAAUAGAGAAGCAACACAUUGACCUGAGCCUAUCCGACUUUAAUCUUUUAAUUUUGUUAAAUUUGAUUCCGUGCAAAUUACUUGUAAUAUAUAUAUAUAUAUUCUUAAGAAUCAUAACUCUAUUGCAUAUAUCAAGUCUACAAUAUCAUACAAAAUUGACGUUUGUUUAUUUUAUGCUUGCCAUUAUACAUCACGUUACUGAACAAAAUAAAUUGCAUUAUUCCUAAUUGAAUUCUUUCUGCAAUUACUUUUUUAAAAAAAUCUUUGAAGUUUUUUUCACACCCUCAAUGCUACUUGUUAAUUGUCCUUUAGAAGAAGGCCUUUUUCAGAAUUUUAAUUGCAAAGUAUAGUUUUCACCAUUGCUGCCCAUCAUUCCAACUCUUCAAGGAUCUAGAGCAAAAAACUUUACACUCGUUGAUUCAGAAUUUCACCUCCGGAAGACCAAGUACAAAAUGCACCUUCUCUGGGGUGUUUUUUAUCUUAACCACAGGUAAAAUUCUAGAGUAAAUUCCUCUAGGAAAAAGCCUUUUGGAGUGGAUUAUGAAACAAAAAUAUCGCUUUGUCUUCGCAUACCUUUUUUUUUUUUUUUUCUUUUUUGAGAUAAGAAGGGGAACUAAUUGCUAUGGAUUCAGCCAACGAGGACUAUUUGUGAUUAAUCAAUGAAAAAUGUGUGAAAGUAUGUUGUUCUUUGAUUAAACAACAUUGUACAUUAAAACUUUAGCUUUAAAUUUAGUCAUUAAGUCUUUAAUGUAAUGCAUUCCACCAAAGUUCUUUCUUUUUCAAUAUAGUUGCAUAAACAUGAAAUAAAUUUCGAUUUCACCGAAUUCAUGAAUAUAGUAAAUUGAAAAAAUUGAGAAACAAAUUUACUAUAACUUCAAAUUUACUUUAGUCUUCAAUUGUAUUUAUAAUAACUAUACAAGAUUAAUUUCUAUAAAAUGAUAGAAAUUCUACAUUAGCAUCAAUGAAAGAUUUUGGUUUUUUGUUUCUUAGCUAUCGGGAACCAUAUCUCAUUUGAAACUUGAGAAUAGUUUUUUCUAAUGAUUUGAUAGAUCAUACUUUAUUAAUUCAGUAAUGGAGGCAAAUACGAGCUAGAUCAUUCCCAUUAGCAUAAAGAAUAUAAACAUAAGCCUACAAAUAGUGACUAUUUUGGUGAAACUUAGGAAAUAUUGCUAUUUUUUUGAUUGGAUGUAUCACAAAUUUGUGAGGCCCCAGUCCGUUCUACGUUGAUAUAUUCAUUAGCUGGGCGGUAACGUUUGGUUUUAGGAGUAUUUCGAAAACCCUAUGUAGGGAUUAAGAUUUAAAGCCCUACUAUCCAAUUAUUCCAUAAUAAGUGCAAGUGAGCCUAGAAAGUAGGGUUUCACUCUUCGGUUUCAGCAUUGGAGCAAAAUUAGGGUUUUUGUGAUUUUCGCCGGAUGAAAUUUUGGUACGGAAAAAGGAUCAAAUUUGGUGAUUAAAAGUGACUUUUAAGUGAGAAAUAAUAUGUAAUUAGGAGCAAUAAGAUAAGAUUAGUGAAUAGGAAGUAAAAACCCUAGUACGUGUGUUUUAAGAAAAAAUGGCGCGAACCGGCGGGUCCCGCGCAUUACCGAUUGAACGCACCAAUUGACCACCAUUUACUUGCCAUGCAAGUUUACCACUAAUAGAGCAAAAUAUCUUCCCUCCCUCUUAGCUUCUUAUUGGCCGAAAAUUAGUGGUUCAAAAUGCAACAAGAGAGAGAAAAUUGUGUGGUUGUGAUUCAACCAAGUGUUAACCAAACUUGUGGCUAGAAUUAAUUCUUAUUUUUUUCCAACCUUCUUAUAAGACAAAUGAAGCUUAAUCUUCCUCAUUCUUUUCUCUCUCUUGGCCGAAAUUCUCUCCAAAGGAAGAAAGAAAAAUCUCUCUCAAUUCCUUGUCCUAAUCUUGCUCAAUCUCAUAAACUAACAGGUUAAUCUUGAAUUCCUUCCAUAAAACCUCUUCAUUUGGUAUUAGUAAGUUGAUUGGUGAAGUGUUUGUGGAAGCUAAGGUGACAAGCAACUCCCUCUCUCUUGUUUUACUAGGUGAGUAAUGAAUGAACUCUCUCCUUCACCUAAUGAAGCUUAAUUCAUGCUUAGUGGUGUUAAGAGAUGAAAAAUUAUGGUUUAUAUCUUGAUUUGUGGAUGAUUUAGUGAAGUUUUAUAUUUAUUGGGAUUUUUCCUGUUUUAAUAUAAGCAUGAUUGUGUGGCUAUAUAUGAUGGUUGGAAAUGGUAUGUAAUGAUGCUAGAUGGUGGAAAAAGUGGAAGAUUGCAAGUGAUUUCUGUUUUGAAUGAAAUCUGGAAAAUUGGGGUUUCUUGGUUCUUCAUUCUGUCCGAAUAUUUUGGUCCUAGAUAGAGGCCGAAUUGGCCUUGGCUUAAAACAUGAAAGUUGUAGUAAAUGACAUUUUAUAGGUGCCUGUAAAAUUUCAGGUCAAUCGGAGUAGCGUAGAGUGAGAAAAGUUGAAAAUACCCUUGCUGUUCUGGUUUUGUCCGAACGUAAGAACUGCACUUGUAAUUGGUGAUUUUGGAUAGGAUUACUUCAGAAUUGGUUGUUCUAGUCUUCUGAUGAAAUGUAGCCCUGUUUCUAAGCUUUCGUAUGCCUUUGAAAUUUCUGAAUUUGGAAUUAAGUAGGCUGAGUUAUGCUGUUUGCACCAGGUUGCGGUUUGUUCACCUGUUUUACGAUUCUGGUUUAGUAUCUUACAGUUUUGACCUAGUUACACUCGAAACUGGGUUAAGUGGCCUUCUUCAACGUUGUAGCCUUUUAAGUGCUGAAUCUACCUGUAAAAUUUUAGGUCAAACAGAUUAAUGUAUUCCGAGUUAUAGACAAAACCCUCAGACCUGUUUUAGACGUCCGUUUGUGUACGUUUUGCAUUUCAGUUUCUGCCGUGCAUUUUUCCGUUCUGAUUCCAUACGAUCUGGGUGUCGACUCCUUCAUAAGAAAUUUAGAUCUUGGUCUCAUCUUCGAAACGGUAUAAAGUACGUCGAAAACCGAGUUCCGUAGCUCCUGUUAUGAUCAAAACAAUAACGCUCGUCAGAACUGCCUUGUAUUUGGACAGUUCUGACGGGUACGUUGACACUCGAUUUUCGUUCUGUUCUGAGUGGAUUCAGGUCUUGGCCAAAACAUCAAAGUUUUAGCCUUAUGUCUCAGCUUUCUAACGCCUUUGGAAUUUCUUGAUUUCGAUUUCUGAACCGUGAGUUACGGCCUUGCAAACAGGGCAUGUUUGGUAACUUGCCGUGAAACAGCUGGCACUAUCUCGUGCCUUUUUGACCUAUACCUAUUGAGAUCUGGGUUGAGAUGUCUUCAUGAGAAUUGUAUCCCUUCCUCUUAGCUUCGAAACAGUAUCUCGCUCACCUUGAUCCGACACUCCUAGCCUAACUUUCGACCAAAACGGUUUAAGAUGGCCGAUUUGGCCGUCCCGUUUGCCGUUCCGCGCGCGCGCGUGUGCCCCUUUUUGCCGUUUUCGCACUUGCGCGUGCCAAUUUUGCCGUUUUGCUUGUUUUACGUGUGUGAGUAGCUGUUUGUGAUAUAUUGUGACACAAUCUUCGAUUUCAGAUGGUGGUGAACUAGGCGGAGCCGGUGGGGCCCACUACUAGCCAACCAACGAAGUGAUUUCCGCUUUUGUACUACUUUUGUAUUUGGAGUAAGUACUCAGGCCGCUUUUGUAUGUUAGUUGCUUAUGUGUUUCGAUAUGUAUGAAGAGGGUACUUAGACGAGGGUGUACUUUAUCGCACUCGCUCUAAACCCUAAUUUGCGCACAUAUUUGUACAUGGCUUAUGUAUAUGAGCAAUUUUGGAACUAAAACCUUGAGCUGGUGGCUCGGGGUGACUUUUGAAUAAUUUUGUGAAUUUUGUGAGUUUGAGGUUGAACUCAAUACCUAGAUGGACUAUUCGAGCCGGUUAGGGCUUGGUCGAAGUCAGUCCAACUUGGUUUGAGGUCACCAAGUUUGUGAACCCGGUUCGCUGAGUAUGUGAACCAAUUUUGUGACCCGAGCUUGUGACUCAAGCUCAAGUUUGUGAUUUCGUUCGCCUGGGCAAGUUUGUGAGGUGACUGGCCAGUGAGGGUGAUAAGGUGUUCGGUGGGUGUACAAGUGGAGUUCUACGGACCUUAUGUAUGGUCGACGGAGUGUCGACAGGAGGUCACGCAUGGCAACGACUUGGCUUUGGAGCCACCUGUAUCCUUAUUAUGUGAUGUUACUUUUCUGCUUUUGCUUUACUCUUAUUGAGUAACUGUGGUUACGUGACAUUUACGCUUUUGCCCCUGUUUACUUACUAAGCAUAUAGCUUACCCCGUUCCUUUUGUUUUCCUUAGCAGGGGCCGACGCGGGGACUUAUGGGCACUUACACUAGUAUUGGUUUGUCAUAGUUGGACAAUUAGGAUGUUUGUUUUUAUUGUGGUGGUUUGUAUAAGGACCCUCCUUAGGGUCUACCUUUUAGUUUUGGUUGUAAUUAUAAGGGUGUAAUAGUUUGAGCAGGUACUUUUGGAGAAUGUAAUUAUAACCUUUUUGGGAUUUGUAUAUAGUAUGUAAGGUACUCUUUUGGAUUUUCUGGUUUUUAUCGCUUUAAGGUUUGAGUCCUGGCGCGAGCUAGGCAGGCGGCCCGCCGAUACCCUUGGGUUCGCCCUUGGGAGAAGUGGGGUCGUUACAAAAUUACUGAAUUUUUUUUAUUGAUAUGACAGUGAAAGUUAUUUCGGUUUAAUGAUUGUUUUCACUAUUUUCUUGGAACUAUUAAAUUUGUUGGAUGAUUUUCUUUUCUAGGGAGGAUUUGCAGACCUUGUAAUUUCUUGGUUAUUAAAUUCCUAUAUAAUUUCUUUUUCAAUUGAUACCAAUAAGACACUUCAAAAUUACUAAAAAGGUGAGGUUAUUAGAAGAGAUCUUGUGGUUAUUUAGGCAAAGCACUACCUCAUACCCUACCACUAUAACAAGAUUAAAUAAAAAAAAAAAAGAAAGAAGAAACAGUAACCAUAUCUUGUAAAUCACGUAUUUUGCACGAUUCAACUGAUUAAGGCAAUUCCUUGCCUAUGUAUAUGUGUUCUACAGUAAUAGCAGUGAACUAGGAUGUAUGUUGCUAAUAUUCUGAAAAACGAAAGGCAAUUGCUGCCUCCCGUGAGCUCUCCAGACGGUUUUAAGGGAUGAUAGUAACAAUAAGUAUAUUGUAACAUGUGGGACCUGUUUGAUGGGCUGAAUAUAAACAUAAGGUAGGAAUAAAAUUGUGCGACUGGAAUGGCGCUAUAUAUGUUGUCUCAUGUUACUGUGUGAAUAUUGAACGGUACUAAGAGAAAAAGAUCAUGAACAAUUGCUGUUUUAAUGGCGAUAUGGAAGAUAUGAAUAAAAGUAGUUGUGAUUUUAGAAAAUUGAGAAUGAACAGUGGACGCGAAAGUUCUUAUAAAAGCCAAAUGGGUAGGUUUGGAGCAGAGCAAGUCAUUAUGUUUGAUAACCAGCCUAAAAAGUUUAAGGGAAUCAUCACAGUCAGAAAUUUGAGAUAUGUUAAUGGGAAAGGCAAGGAUAGAAAUCCACAAGAAGUUACAGGAAUGGAAUAUGGUUUCUAUGCAGAAGUCUUCAGGUAAAAAAGCAGGGAAGAAGCCAACUUCAAUAAUGCUCCGGAAGAAUCUGCUGGAAGUGGCAUGAAGAAGGCUAGGAAACACUUUGAUUAAUGGUGCCAAUACUUUCACUACACCCCAAAAAGUCAUCAGUUUCUUCUAUAAUAACUUUCUCAAACACCUACCACCAUUAGUGCCCCCGAGCCAGAUCAUGCACUGGAGAGCUUGCCUUCUGCUUCAACAGAUGGUUCAAAGUUCAAACACGGAAGCUAUGAUAUUAUUAUGACAAUGGAUGUGCCUGAUCCGGAGCUUGACAGAGACAAAGAGGUGCUCAUGACAAUGAGGAUGGCAUGCCUGGCUUUCGUGCUAUUAUUCAUGAAGUCUUGUCCAGAAAGCCCUUUAGAGUUAGGAUUUCUAGUUGAACUCCAAAAGCAACAGCAAACUUGGCCCAUUAAAUUAGGUGGGUUGUGAUUUUUAUAAAACUUGCUAUACCAAUUUGUCACAAUGGUGGGUUCUGAUUUUACAAAAUUGAGAAUUUUGAUACCAAUUGAAAUAUAGGGAAGUUUAAAAAAAAAUUGAAGAUAAAGUCGAUGAUAAUAAUUGAAUUGUAUAAUUGCGUAUGAAAUUUGUAAGGAGGCUAAAAAAUUAAAGAUAAAGUCAGCAGCAGAAAUUGAACAAAUAUUUGGAAGAUGCUAGAGAAAUUUUAAUAGGUGAAUCACGCAUGACACAUGACUCUUCAUGAUCACAAGUUCUAUGCAACUUUUUUGUUUUCAGAAAACUGAAUUUCCUUAACUCAAUUCAAUGGGGACAUAUCUCCGCAUAUUGCAGAAUUUAUACAAGUUUUAAUGCAAAUUAUACAACUAUUCAAAACAUGGAUGGCUUCGACUUAAUAUCUUUGAAUUGGUUCAAUAAUUUACGCUACGAAGCGAUGUAGCCAAAUACUCGUUAGAUUAUUUCUAUUAGUGCAUACAAACAUGUAAAUAAAUACUAAUUUGUUGAAACUUGGGAAUCAUUAGAAUUGUGAAUAACACGCAUUAAAAAAUAAAUACAUCCAUUCUUUCAAGUAAUACGAAUAAAAUAGUUCAAAGACGCAUUAAAAAAUUGUUGACAAAAAAAUUAAACCAAGCUGAUUUGUUAUUUGGUAACUAGAUUAGAAUUUGUUUUAAAAUUGAUUUAGAAAAUAUAGUUGAGUUGUGUUUAGAUAUUAGUAUUUGAAUAGAUUUAUGGUUUUAUGCGUCUAUUUAAAGACUUGAGUUCAAUUUUUGUUAUCGAGAGAGUUGUGAUAUUUGAGUGAUAGGAUGGAAUUUUAUCAUUUAUUUUAUUAUUAAUUUCCUCUAUUACCUGAUUUGAUGUAGAUUAAUUGCUAGAUUCUACUCACUUUUAGUAUUUGACAUAUAUUUCAGGGAGUAGAACGAAAAUACCAUAACAAGUGCUAAUUUGAUAGUUAUUAAAAAAGAGUUCAAGUAGCAGGCAUUCAGGGCCAUUUUUGGAAUAUCAAAACGUGACCUUUUUGGUAAUUUUACGGAAGACAGCAUAAAAGAAGAAAAGGGAACGAAGGGCUGGAGGGGAGGUCCUCUCCGCAAGGGGGCGCAGCACAGAGCCGCCGCAAGGAGGAGGCAGACUUAGAUAGGAAUUAGAGAGGACUACUUUAAGUUGCUUUUGUUGACUUUUCUUUGGUUGGCUUUUGGCUUAACCUCAAUUCUCAUAUGUCAGAGGCCAUAAGAAAACAAAGAAAUCAUUCUCUGUAGCAAUUUUUCGUUUUGACUUUAGCCUUUCAUCCUCUGUGGCUCUCUUGCCGCAUAUGCCUGGAACAAUUAGGACAAUGGCUGCUGCUUUCUUUACACUUUUGCAUGGAUUUUUCGCACCAAAUAUGAAUUAAUCUCCUCACUCUAAUCAAGGAACAACGGAGGCUUUAGAUCGCCUAAAAUUGUGAGAUCGAUUUAAUUUCAUCUUUUUCUUUUAUUUAUUGGUAUUCGCAUAUUCCUUGAUUGUAGUGCUUAUGAUUAUUUAAUUAAUUGAUUGUCUUGGAUCCGGAUAAUUAGUUAAUUUAAUAAUCUAUUGUCAAUUAGGGCAUUAAAUUCGUAAUUGUUUAAUUGCCUUGAAAUAGUGAGAACUGGCAUGAUUGGGUUUGUGUCAGGGGGAUAUGCGGGCUAAUUUGAAAUAACCCUGGUAGUGCGUUAUUUGAUUAGAAUAGAGCUUCUCUAAUACGUAAGGCAAUUGGGAAAUUAAAUCUUAUGGGCGUACCUAGGAUUAUUUCUCAAUUAGGGCAGUGAUUAACGGGCGUACCUUAAUCACCGAUACAGUAAGGAGUGGUUGACUGCCAUCGCUUGUUUGGCAGUUAUAACCUCUUUAUUAGUAAAUAAUUGGAAUUGGCUUUGCGUCGAUGAUCAAUUAGGUGAACCAUUGCUGAAGUUAUUCCUUGACUAGAUCCUUAAUUAUCACUCAUUUGAUUUUAGUAAAUUAUUAUUUAAUUUCUAGUUGGCUAUUUUAUUUUUAUUAUUUUACUUUUAGUUGAAUUGUUUAAAUUGUCACUCCUGAUAUAAAAACACCCCCUUGUCACUAUAAAUUUGAAAAGAAACAAUUACUCCCAGUCCCUGUGGAUUCGACCAUACUCACCGCUAUCUACAGAAAUUACUUUUAGUUUGAGCAGAUUUUAUUAUUGCAUAGGCCUCGACAACCUGUCAUUGAGUUACAAAAUUAUUUCCUCUCCAGCAUAAUACUUUGCCUUCCUCCAUCGAAAGAGUGAUUAGACAAUUAAGAGCACAAAACUUUGGGUUUACCAGGCAAAAAGUAUUAUACAACUCGUCAAAGUUGUUCUUAAAAGGAGUUCAAGAGAGGAUUAUUUUUCUUUUUGUCUUGACUCCUGUCAAAACCUUCCACACAAGACUCUGUUGAUCGCGAGGUGUGUGCCCUUCGUCAAGAACCACAAGACCAGGCAGUUGAAGAAAGAUUUCCCUAAGGUCGUAUUUGAAUUGCAAUUUUUUGAAGUUUUUUGUAAAAAAUAUACCUUAACGAUUUGAUAUAUGUGAGAUAUAAAAGUGAUUAAAAAAUGUGUUCAGAAAAAAUAUAAAGAUUUUUUGAUAAAAAAUUCCUUUCCACACAAGGUCGUGCUAUUAAGUCUUUUAUCACUUCCUUUUUCCUUCCGUCCACUAGCAAUCUGCUCAAAUAACUUGUAGCUGAUUCCAAGAGCACUUUUAUCCUUUGUCCAAGAGUACAGCUUUGUCAUUCGACUUCCAACUCUCCGAGGAAAUUCUGCAUCAGUUUUGAGUUCGUUUCCUGACAAGUCCUUGCUAUGAAAGUUAUGAAAAUGAAUUCUAUAUCCCCAUUUUCGGAACUCAUUUUUCCAAAUAAGCAGCAUGCUUGUAGGAGCUAUAAUCAAGAGCCGGCACAUUGGAUAUAUUUUUAACAAUGACAAAAUGAGAACAAUUGUCAGGCAAGUCUUCCCUGUGCCAGGGGCAUGUGAUAUUAUGGCUCCUCUUCCAUCAUCAGACAGUUCAGUUUUCAGCUUCUUAAUACAAUACAAAUUUCUCCUACUAUGUUUUCCCACAAGAAGACAAAUCCAUUCAGUUGAUGACUAUACAUUGACGUUCUAAUAUCAUCGAGAAUAAGAUCCAAUAUAGAACCUUCAGCAUCAAUGGAGGUGUAGUAGUUUCCAGAGGCUAACUCACCAAAAUGAAGCUCAUGAAUACCUCUGCAAAGGUUACUAGAAGAGAUCAUGAGGUUGGUUUAGCAUCCCAUUUGAUAAGUUUGGUAUAGGACAACCAGAGACUUAACUAUGCAGGAUGCACAUAUUGCUUUGUUACAAAGCCAGUAAAAUUUUCAGGCCCUUUUCGACAGCAAAUUGGGCAUAGUGAUUGUAAAUCACGUCUUUUGCACUCACAGACACCAAUCAAGACAGUUUCAUUAAUUUAACAAAUUUAGUUCCUUGAUUAUACUUAAUUGUUCAAAAACCCAAAAUAUUUUUCUCCUCCACUAGAUUCUACCGAUCAACCCCUUUUUGUUGCCUGACUGCCGAUAUCUUAUUUCUCCUUUUCCCUGAUGUAAUCCAUCUGGUCGCCCGACGUUGGCAGUGAAAACCAAUCUUUAGUUAUUAUUACAAGAAAAAUAUUCAUAUCCAAUAAGUAAUCGAAUCAACUUACAAGAAAGCCAACCCAACUCCAUUGACAAUAAAUUAUAAUAGAUGACCAAUGAGCUUUAGCAACCAUUUUACUCAUGUUCAUGAUUUAGCUUUAUAAAAAUCUAAAUCUCAAGCCAUCCACCACCAGCAAAGCAUAAUCCAUCAUCCCUUUAAUCAUCAUUGCAGUUGCAUAAACUUCUAUAUACAGUACAUGUCUAAAUAAUUGAAUAAUUUUUUCAGAAGACAGAAAAAAUAAAAAAUGGGGAGAUACAAGUUAACCAUUCAAGAGUGUAGCUCUGGUUAUGAGGGACAUAAUCACCUAGUUUUGAGUUCGUUUCCUGACAAGUCCUUGCUAUGAAAGUUAUGAAAAUGAAUUCUAUAUCCCCAUUUUCGGAACUCAUUUUUCCAAAUAAGCAGCAUGCUUGUAGGAGCUAUAAUCAAGAGCCGGCACAUUGGAUAUAUUUUUAACAAUGACAAAAUGAGAACAAUUGUCAGGCAAGUCUUCCCUGUGCCAGGGGCAUGUGAUAUUAUGGCUCCUCUUCCAUCAUCAGACAGUUCAGUUUUCAGCUUCUUAAUACAAUACAAAUUUCUCCUACUAUGUUUUCCCACAAGAAGACAAAUCCAUUCAGUUGAUGACUAUACAUUGACGUUCUAAUAUCAUCGAGAAUAAGAUCCAAUAUAGAACCUUCAGCAUCAAUGGAGGUGUAGUAGUUUCCAGAGGCUAACUCACCAAAAUGAAGCUCAUGAAUACCUCUGCAAAGGUUACUAGAAGAGAUCAUGAGGUUGGUUUAGCAUCCCAUUUGAUAAGUUUGGUAUAGGACAACCAGAGACUUAACUAUGCAGGAUGCACAUAUUGCUUUGUUACAAAGCCAGUAAAAUUUUCAGGCCCUUUUCGACAGCAAAUUGGGCAUAGUGAUUGUAAAUCACGUCUUUUGCACUCACAGACACCAAUCAAGACAGUUUCAUUAAUUUAACAAAUUUAGUUCCUUGAUUAUACUUAAUUGUUCAAAAACCCAAAAUAUUUUUCUCCUCCACUAGAUUCUACCGAUCAACCCCUUUUUGUUGCCUGACUGCCGAUAUCUUAUUUCUCCUUUUCCCUGAUGUAAUCCAUCUGGUCGCCCGACGUUGGCAGUGAAAACCAAUCUUUAGUUAUUAUUACAAGAAAAAUAUUCAUAUCCAAUAAGUAAUCGAAUCAACUUACAAGAAAGCCAACCCAACUCCAUUGACAAUAAAUUAUAAUAGAUGACCAAUGAGCUUUAGCAACCAUUUUACUCAUGUUCAUGAUUUAGCUUUAUAAAAAUCUAAAUCUCAAGCCAUCCACCACCAGCAAAGCAUAAUCCAUCAUCCCUUUAAUCAUCAUUGCAGUUGCAUAAACUUCUAUAUACAGUACAUGUCUAAAUAAUUGAAUAAUUUUUUCAGAAGACAGAAAAAAUAAAAAAUGGGGAGAUACAAGUUAACCAUUCAAGAGUGUAGCUCUGGUUAUGAGGGACAUAAUCACCUAGAGAAGAUAAUUGAUUUGGGCUUUGAGGGCAAAUUAAGGAUUGCUAGAAGAGGAGGAAAGGAAGGUGAUGACCAAAUGGUUGAGAUAGAGAUGUGGAUAAAGAGGAUUAAGGAGAAUGGAAUUGGAGCAAAGCAUAGAUGGAUAAGGCAAAGAAUUAUAGAGUUGGGAAGAUGCAAAAUGUAAAAGAGAAGGAAAAAGAAAAGAGAAUGUGAAAUAAGAUGAUUGUGUUGUUCCCGAACAAGCAAGUAGUCUAUGCACCCAAAUUGAAAUGAGUGGCUAGAAAUUGUCCGUCGCUUUGAGAGAAGUUACCCCAUUUUCCGGAGACUUUUGGGAUUUCGUUUUUCAUCUUGUACAAUGUCUACUUGAAAGCAGCAGAGAAAGAGAUUCCACAUAGGAUUGAUAGGGUGAGUGUUCACCAAGAUGGGAAUAUAAUUGUGCAACUGGAUUGGUCCUGCUGUAGUCUUAUGUUACUUUAUUAAUAUUGGACAGUAAUUAGAGGGAAAAAAAUCAUUAAUGAUUGCUGUUUUAAUGGUGAUAUGGAAGAUAUGAAUAAAAAUAGUUGUGAUUUUACAAAAUUCAGAAUGGGUAGUUGAUGCGGAAAUUCUUAUGGAUAGGUUUGGAGCGGAGAAAGUCAUUAUUUCUGAUAACUAGCCUAAAAGUUUAAGGGAAUUAUCACAGUCAGAAAUUCGAGAUGUGUUGAUGGGAAAGGCAAGAAUGGAAAUCCACAAGAAGUUUAAGGAAUGGAAUAUGGCUGCUGUACAGAAGUCUUCAGUUAAAGAAGCAGGGGAAGCCAAUGAAAGUAGCCAACUUCAUUAAUGCUACGAAAGAAUCUGUUGGAAGUGGCAUGAAGGAGGCUAGAAACAUGAAAACACAAAGAUGAAGGGUGCCAAUACUGCAGAUACACCCCAAAAAGUAGUCAAUUUCUUCUAUUAUAACUUUCUCAGACACAACUGCCACCAUUAGUACCCUGAGCUAGAUCAUGCACUAGGGAGCUUGCCUUCUGCUUCAACAAAUGGCUCAAACACAGAAGCUACUGAUAUAUUCAUGACGAUGGAUGUGGCUGAUCCGGAUUUGACAAAGACGGGGUGGAAGAAUCAUUUGCUGAAAACCAGGUUUGGGCUGCAUAUGACAAUGAGGUGGUAUGCCUCGCUUUUAUGCUAUUAUUCAUGAAGCCUUGUCCAGAAAGCCCUUUAAAGUUAGGAUUAGCUGGUUGAACUCCAAAAGCAACAGCGAAUUGAACUUGGUCCAUUAAAUUUGUGUGAGUUGUGGUUUUGCUAAACUUGCGAAAGCAAUUGCCAUAAUGGUUGGUUGUGAUUUUACAAAAUUGAGAAUUUUGAUACCAAUUGUGAUAUAGGGAAGUUUUUUUAAAAAAAAAAAAAAUUGAAGAUAAAGUUGAUGAUAAUAAUUGAAUUAUCCAAUUAAGUAUGGAAUUUUUGAGGCUAAAAAGAUAAAGAUAAAGUCAGCCGUAGAAAUUGAACAAAUAUUCGGUAGAUUGUAUAGAAAUUUUAAUACAGUUGACUGUUAGCGAAUCACGCACUACGCACGGCUCUUCAUGAUCACAAGUACUGUGCAAAUAUAUUUUUUUAAAACUGAAUGUCCUUAAUUCAAUGGAUACAUAUGUCUGCAAAUUGCAGAAUUUAUACAGGUUUUAAUGCAAAUUAUACAACGAUUCAAAACAUGGAUGGAUGGCUUCGACUUAAUUUCAAAUAACUACAUAACAAAACUUUGUCAAAUUCUAAUUCAGUUUGGAGUCUAGACCAGAUGAAUUUCCAACUAAAAAGUGAGAUAGAGAGAUUUUAGUUAUCCAAGGAAACCGACUUGAAACUCACAAGUCAUAGUUGGAUCAAUUGCCAACGAGUGUGAAAUGUUCAGAAAUAGUGAGAGUUAAAAAGAAACUGAUUGUUUGAGCUGGUGUUCAGUUUUGCUGAAUUUGGAAGGAAUGCAAGAGCUAUCACCCUAUCAACUACGUAGGUAGUUUUUUUUCUCAAGCUCAAUACUCCUCUAUUUGAUUUUCACCUCUCAAUUAUACAUCAAUUCUCACUUUGAUUUUUAAAUUAUGAAUUGGGACACUUUAGUUCUUAAACUUUAGAAAAUGUCUCACUUAAGGAUAAUUGUUAAUGAAUCCCCAAAAUUAACAGAAUACUAGUCAAGUGAGCAACAAAAAAAAUUAAACAAUAACCAAAAAAAUCCCAAAUUAGAGAGAAAAAAAGGGAGUUUAGGAAACAAUUUGAGAAUCAUAGUAUAGUUUAGCAACUAAACUGACUCAAUUUAAAGCUUAGGGACCAAAUUGGGAAUCAAUGUAUAGUUUAGGGACUAAGAUAUCCCAAUUUAGAGUUUAGGAAUCAAAAUGUAAAUCGAAAUGUAGUGGAAGGGUGUAAAAUAGAAUUAACCCACCAAAAAAAAUACUACUUUGCUCCCCUCCCCCCAACCCUACAUACUUAUCUAAAGUUAUUUAUUGUCUCUACAUAUUUAUCUUGUGACGCCUCGAAAAUUAGGGUUUUCAUUUUAUGGAUCUUUUGUUGGACGAGUGGAGUAAAACAGUUUUUCAAUUCGGAUAAGAAACGAAAAAUUUUUGGAAAAAGGAAAGGGCCAAAUCCGGCCGGAAAUCCGGCCAGAAACUGGCCGGAUAGCUGGCCGGAUUGCCUUGACGUUUUGAAAAAAAAAUGGUUUAGCUACUGCCUUGUAUCCGGCCAGGAAUCCGGCCGGAAAUCCGGCCAGAUUCUGGCCGAAUUGUGACGUGUCACAGCCGGUCAGAAGCUUUGACCGGCUGUUUCCUUCAUAAAUAUCUUGUUUUUGGCUGCUUUUGUCUUCAUUUUGUUUCUGCUCAACCGAGGCCUUGAGAGAGAGGAAGAAAACUUCAUUCUUUUAGCUUCAAAUUUCUACUUCCAUCUUGAGUUUUAACCGUUUGUUUUGCAAAUUACUCCGAUUAAUCUCUCAUCUAAGUUGAUUGCAAGCCUUUGGUGGAGUUGUUUUGGUUGGAGAGGCUUUAAGGGGCUAUCUUCUUGAACUCAUGAGGUGAGUUGCAAAGAAAGUUGCUAUUUUUGGUUUAAUAAUGGUAUAGUAGUGAUUUGUGGUGGUGAUAUAUGUUAUAUUGUGAAUGAUUUCAUGGGUUUAAGGAAUUUGUGGUGAAUUUCUGAUUUAUUGGGUAUUUUUCUGAUUUUAUAUGAAAGUUAUGAUUAAUGUGGGAUUGAUGGAUUGAAAUGAUGUUAAAUGGAGGCCUUGUACGUUAUUUGCGGUUGUUUGCAGACAAUUUACGUUUGUAGUGUGAUUGCCGGUUUCUAGGGUUUUGAUUUGGGAAUUUUCAAUGGUUGGCCUAUAAGCUUUUGAUUGGCUUUGAUUGAAGGAAAUUAUGGUUGAAUUGAAUGUAUGAUAUUGAUUAUGAACCAUAUGGGUGACUAUGGUUAAUUGUUAUGAGCAUUGGUAUUUCAAUGGUAGGUUGGAAAUGUGCAAAAUCUAGGGGUUAUGCCGUCCAAUUUUUGAGAGUGUGUUUGUUUUGAAUUUGAAUUGAUCUUGAUUCAUUUUAUGGAAAUUCUUAUGAUUUGGACUUUGGGAGGAUUAAGAGUCCAUAAUGGUGACAUUUCUAAGCUUGUUUAAGUUCAUUCAUCCUUGUUUUGGCAUGUACAUGACUAGUAUAGGCUAGUCUUAUGUUAAGUGAGGAUUUCUAGCCCUAAUUGUGGUUAGUGAUGGUUAUUUGCAAAGAUUGGCUUGGAAGUGUAAUUUCAGCUUUUGUUGUAUUAUUUCUGCCCUGUUUUCGUACUGUACAUUUGACCAUGUUAAAGACUGAUUCGGCUCUUGCUCAAAACAUGAAACUUGUAGAUAUAUGAGUUGACUACUUGCCUGCAAAAUUUCAAAUUUAUUGGAGCACUGUGGCUUGUGAAUUGACCGAAAUACCCAUGACUGCCCCGUAACCCCUGUUUUAUGACAGAUUUCGCUCUUUCUCUUAGAUUUCGAUAUUUGACCCUGAAAUUGUACAUUUUGGCGUUGGAGGUCUUCAUAAGAAAUGUUUACAAAUGUUUUAGCUUCGUAACGCCAUAAGAUUUGUUUCGAUCGGAUAGGUGUAGCUUUACUUGUGAUUAAAAUGCCAAAAGGCAAUAGAAGCUUGUGUUAAUGUUAGAAUUUUCCUUUGCUUGACUUAAUAUUCGGUUUUAGGAUUUCCACUUGAUCAAGAUGAUGAGGUUUGCCGGAUAAGCUUCGCGAGCCGUGUUUGGUGAGUGUAUCACUAAAUGGUUCAUUGUACUUGUUAUAUGACUUGGAUAGGUCGAGGGUGUACUUUACCGCUCUUGACCACUUGCUUGCACUAUUGUUACUGUUGGACUGUGAAAUUUCAUGAAUAUGUGAUUUUGAGAUUUGUUAGGGCAAUGCCCUAUUUUUACUGUGAAAUUGAGCUCAUGCCCUUAGACCGUUAUUCGAGUCGAGCCGGCAAGGGUUUGGGCGAUUCGUUAACGAGCCUUUGGGUUCUUGAUAGGCGAGUGGAGUGCUAACUCCUCGACCUUGUGGUAUACUCGAGUAUUACCUUUUGAAACUUUGAGGCGGCGGGCCCGAAUAGGGGGUGAACGGUGGAAGGAGAUGGUGAGAAGAGGUGUCUACGGUUCUUGGUUAUCUUCAAUGGUUGACGGAGUGUCAACGAAUACGAUCAAGUAUGGACAUUGGAAACGGCCCUUGAGGGCCGAAUGUAUCCUUUUAUAAAUGAAUGUUUGAAUAAAGGCACUUAUGCGUAUAUGUUAUUUGGCCGUAUCAUGUAUUUGUGCAUUUGGUACCUCACGAGCGCAAGCUCACCUCCGUUGUUUUGUUUUCCUUACAGGGACACUGUUGGACUCAAGUUUUGAAAUGAGUUGAGCUAAUUAUGUAGCUAGUUUUGAGUGGCUCCUUGAAAACUUGAAAUUUUGAUCCAAUGAAUUCAAGUACUUUUGAAGGGUACAAUUGAACCUUUCUCAUGUAUAUAUGGCAUGUAUAUAUAUGUCCUUAUCAAGUCUUGGAUAAACUGCAUUACGUGUUUGAUGUGUUUAUGCGAGUACCGGAUUCGAACAAAGGAAGAGCUGUAUUACGUUAUUUGUGUACCUGGAUGGCUUGUAAUUUGUAUAGCUUAGAUUUGGAAUCGUUUGUGUAAUUGUUGGGCUAGGGGAAUUGGAAUGGAUGGGAUUACACCUUGUACGGUUUGAAUUUGGAUCGCCUCUUGUGUAAUAGCUUGUGGAUAUGGUUUGUAAUGAAUGAUUGGACUUGAAUGGACGUACGUGUACAUUCCGCAGCGUUUGUGAUCUGUAAAUCUUGGCGAAUUUGAUGUAAAAUACGAGAUUUAUAUGGUAAUUUACUUGAGGACCGUAGUGAUUGACUGAGUCCUGGCGAGAGCUGGGCAGGCGGCCCGUUGACCCCUCUGGUUCGCCUUAGGGGAAAAUGGGGUCGUUACAUAUCUAGUUUAUUUAUCUAAAGUUAUUUCUUUUAAAGUUUCUUGCAGUAAACAAAUUUCUAGUUUAGUUUCUUUCUUGGGUCUGUCUAAUGAAUACCCACUAGGCAUUUUUUAGACAAUAUUUAAUGGGCACUUGUUAAGGUGGUGAUAUUUUCAAAAUUUUAAAAAUAUAAAUAUAAGAUAGGAUAAUAGUUGUUAAUGUACAUUCACCUCGUAAUUUAAGUUAAAUUUGUUGUCAUUUAGGUGUUUUAACAAAUCUCCAUUGGCACAUGUUCAAGAACCUUUCUUUUAUAUGCUUCCUAAAACAAACCACCAACUAGUCAAUCUCUUAUAGUCACUUUCUUUUUUGACAAAUUUUAUGAACCAAACCAACUUCUAAUCUCCAUAAAAUUAGUAUAACAUAGCAAAAUAAGGAAAUUAUAACAAGGAAACAACAGAUAAACCAAAGGAAAUCUAACUUCUACUACAAUUUGUUUGUAUUAAAUUGACUUCAAUUAACACUCAUAUAUUAGGCAAAAACAACUACCAAAGCCAUGACUUCUUCCAAAAUCUGUACUUUUAACAAUUAACCCUCCCCAAAUAACAUUCUUGUGUCUUCAAGCAUCCAUUUUCCCGCAAACUCCAUUAUUCCAAGGAAAGUUUUUUGGUUUUUUUUGUUCCACCGAACUCCAUUGUAGCAAGGCAAGUUUAUUACUCCUAUUUUCUUUUAAAAUUUUUCUGUCAUGAAAUCAUCAAGAGUCGAUAGGCAAUCAGAUAUGUGAUGAUUUUCGUGCAGAGUCAUUGAUGACAUACUUCGAGAAAGAACUAAUUUUAUUCAAUUAUAGGUGCAUUUAAUCAAAUGAAUGAGUGUCGAUCACAAUUUCGCAUGCCUAGCAUUAAUAAGGAAUAGAAUGUUAUUUUGUAUUUUACUCGCUUUGACUAUUUUAAACAUUUGAUUACUUCUUAUGGCUUUAUUAAUCUUCUUUAUGAAUUUAUUAUGCUUUGUUUGUUGUUACAAUUUUUCACCAUUAUAUGUUUGAUGUUCGCCCCCGUUAAGCCAGAAUUCCGUCUAUGUUGGCAGCUGAGUUGCUACAGCUGACCAUCCGUAUCAUUAUCAAAAAUAAAAGGGAAAAAAGUAAUUGUCAUAACUUUUUCGUACAGAUUUUGCACGAGAUGUUUGAUUUAUCCUACACUGCAAACACUUUAUUCAUAGAUGUACCCCCUGAAUUCAUGCGAUGUAGUUAUGAAAGCAAUGUAAGAUGAUAAACCAAUUAUUAUUAUCAAGGGAAUGCAUUGGGAUCCUACCAUAUACCUCAAGGAAUAAUUUGCCAAUUCAGAUGCCAACAAAAGAUGAAGAGUCAUAGCCUUUGAAGGAAGAUGGCAGUCAGGGACAGGGAGAAAAAAUGAUUCAUAUCCUGAGAAUGUGAAGUCGGGACAAGGAAACAUCAGCUGAUCAGUUGAUUACAGUUGCAUGGAUUCUUGAAUCUCUUGAUAUCCUUGGAACUAAUCCUGGGAAGGAAGUUGAGACCAUUAAGGAUCCAGCAGCUGAUAAAAUUCCUUCUGUUAGAAAAGAAUAAUCUGGUCCGUGACCAAUUAUCAUUCCAAUUGUCCUAAGGAUGGUUGAGUUUGAUCAUAUGACCUUACUGGAGGUGUGAAUAUAUAUAUGCAAUCUUCUACGGAGAAAUGCCAAAUCCAGGAGAAAACUAAGCUCGUAAGCCACUGGAAAACAGUUCGGGACUAUCUAUGUUCAUUCAAGUCGUUGGGGUUUUGACAGUUUUCAACGUAUCAGCAACAAGAAGUUGGCAAGCUAUCGGACUUUCAUGUUCAAAUGCUUCUCAGACUGAGGCCAUGAACAAGCACAAGGAUUGAGAUUUAACUGCCGAGAGAUCAAUGGUUUCACCUUUCAAAUAAUAAUUGAAGUUCUUCUCUCUUACUUGUUAACAAUGGGAAGUGACCUAUUUCUAACUUGCCUUGAAAAUUUUGGUGUUAAUGAAGAUUUGUAAUAGAAUUGAAACAUUCAAAUUCGAUAAUUUGACCAUUAAUACUAGCCAAUAUUUGUGAGAACUCGAAAAUUUUCUUAUUUUCGUCAUAUAUUACUGGUUUAUUUAAAUAGUUAUUCACUUAUUUUCUCCGAAUUAUUUAAUUCGACUACAUAAAAUCCAUUUAUAUGGAAAAACACCUCUCUUAUGUUUUUAAAGCGUUUUGUUAGAAAAUUUACUUUUCGAAAACUCGUUUAGUUCGGAACAACGAGUAUACGUUUUUCGAGACUAUAUUUGAAUCGAGAGUAUAUUAAUUUUGGAGAAGUAAGAAUGAUCAAUAGUAGAUUUAGAAAAGUUAACUUGAGAUUUGAGGAGUUAAAACUCGACUCAUGUGAGGACUCGUAAAAUUUAUUAUCUUAGAUUCCAUUUCGAGUUUAUUCAAAUAUUUAAUUGCCCAUCUACUCCGAAUAUUAUUUUCUAGUCUAUUUAGACCUAAUUACAUGAGUUUAUAGCUUCGUUAUAAUUUUAAAAUGACUCGUUUCAAAAUUUAAUUUUUGGAAACUCGCGAAGUGAAAAUAGCGAAUACGCGAUUGGAGUUAAUAAUCAAUUCGAGGAUACACUAAGUUUGGAAAAUUAGAGACUUGCAGGAUGGUCUUAAAAUAGGUAAUUUUAUGUUUAAGUACUUAAGUGAUAGUUAUUAGUACUAUCGUUAUAAGAAAUUCUUGGAAGUUUCGCUUUAUCGCGCUUAAUUUGGAGAUACGCGUUUUUACACGCGCGAUUUAAUUAAGAGACUUUAGACCCUCAUUUUGGGAUAAUUAAGAGUGGACAAUAUUUAUAUGAAUAUGAGUGCAUUAAAGGUUUAGUGCACUAGUGAAAUAAACUCGAAAGGGAUCGAGUACGAAGUGCGCGUAUACACGCACUAUCCUUAGUUGACUUUUGGAGCAUUUUAGGCCACACAUUAUUGAGCUCCUUAUGGGUGCAUCACACUAGAUCAAAACCCUUCAAUUCUUCAACUAAAGUGGCGUGCAACAUCUUUUCUUUUCCCUCCAUUUCAGCCGUGCAUCUCAAAGAGCAAGAACCAAACUUGCUUCAUCAAUUUUCUUUCAUCAUUUCUUCACCAAAUCUUCUCCAAAUCACACCAAAAUUUAACUACACUUAACUAAUCACUUGGAGAGCACUUUGAGCUAGGAAAGGAGGCUGCUCUCACGGUUUUUCUUUGGCUCAAGAAGACCGAAAAUUUCUGCCUUGAACAUCUAGUGAAGUAAGUGACGAUCCGGCUUUAAAAUCUUGAUUUAUGGAAGUUCUAUUGCCCAUAUAAGCUCAUGCAUGUAAGUGGGUAGCUUUAUUUAUGUUGGAUUUUGGUGUGUGGGCUCUAUGAACUCCCACUUUGGUUGAUGAACUGAUUUGGUGGUUGAUGAUGAUAAUUAUGUUAGUUUAGUGCUUAAAUUAGUGGUAUAAUGUUGGGUUAUUGUUAGAAACUCCAAGAUGGUGCAAUGACCAAAAGUGAUCAUUUUACCCCUGCCUUGUUCAAGCACUUUAAUGUCAAAUUUUGAGGUUCUAAUGGUUUGUUUAUGUUGUUUACAUGUUAUAUUGGUUGUGUUAAAAGUUUCAUUGAAAAAUAACAUGAUUUGAUCACCCAAAUGUCGGAAAUUCGAAAGCUUGAAAAUCUGGAAUUUGAAUCCCGUCACUGCCCCAGGCAGUCUUCUUGUUUCGGACAUAACUUGUUGCUCCGAUGUCGGAAUCGAGUGCCGUUUGUGGCAUUGGAAACUAGACAUUCCUAGCUUUCGGUUGGUAUAAAAUGCAUGUCCUGGUUCCACUUGAGCUAGCCAAACCAUUCAUUUGAAAUCCACUGUCCUGUUUCAUUGCUUCCUGGAAGGAAGCUCAUGAGCUGCAAUUUAAUGCUCACGAACGAGCUGGUUAUGGACAGAUUUUGACAAUGGUUUCUUCUGAGAAAAUGUAGCCUUAUGAGUCUAUUUUCCAACGCCACCAACCAAGCUCAAUUCCGAGUUGAAUUGAGUGAUUUAUGAUCAAAACUCGAAUCUGGUCUGGUGAAGGAAUACCUUACAUUUGGACAGAUUUGAACUAGCAAUGAUUUGGGACUUGUUAUCCGAAAUUUCUUGGUGUAAAUCACCUAUCAAAUGUACCUUGGAUAUAUUUUAGACAUUACCUACUGGAAUGAAUCAUGUUUGAGUCGUUUCUUGGCCAAAUGUUUGGAAAAUGGCAAACCGGAAGCUCAAAGGCAGCUUAGCCUUAGAACUUCUUGCGAUUUCAACGGUUUUGUUAACCGACUUCCCUUUCAUAUUUUCUAUGAAAUUUGGCAAGGGAGUGGCCCUUUUAUGGUAGUAUAUUCAUACCAAAUUUGGUGCCGUUCUGAGUCUAUUUUGCUAUCAAACUAAAGUCCCAAAGUUUGGAACUCAAAUCUGGAAACUAGCUUAACAGUUUCGUUUUUUCCUCCAACUUUGAGUGACCGUAUCUCGGUGUUCAAAACUCCGAUUCUUGAUCCACUUGUUCUGUCCUAAACUUUACUUGUAACUCUAAUUGUGUUAUAAAUUUCAGAGAUUGGUUUGCAACGUAUGAAUUUUACCGAAUUUCCAAAGUUAGCGAAAAACCAACCCCAGCACAAUUCUGAGCACCCUGAAACAGUAAGUUUAAGCCCAUUUUUGAAUACCUUCCACUUAAAUUCAUGGAAAAGUAUCUUCUAAGAACUUUUAGUACUUUCAAAGAGGUUUCCAAUGGUGUCAAGUUUUCCAAUUUUGGACUUGUAAAGAAUGAGAUGCGAUUUUUCAAAGUAUAGGUGACAAAUCUGAAAUUUCCGAACUUAAAGGAAAUUGAGGGUUGCGAACUCUCUAUUUUCCUUCGAUAUUGUUAAGCCGUUUUACACUUGAUUUCAAAGAUGAAAAUCAGAUUUCGCUUGUGUUUUAAAACCCCAUUUUUGAGCCUUGAUUUACUAGUAAUUAAGGCUCAUUUUCAUGAAAUUUUCUUAGAUUAUACAAGUGUGCAAUCUUCCUCGAUAAUUAGGGGUUUUAAGCGAUAGUGUGUAAUAGACAAUUACCAUUUGCUCAGGUGCUCAAGGAAACCUUCAAGGGGAUCUUGAGAGGGAACACCUAAAGGCUCGUUUACGCACUUACUCCCUUAUUUCGAUUGGUGAGUGUCAAGUGCAUGAACUUGAUGUUAAGUGGUUAUCUGUUUCUUAUCCAUUAUGAAAAUUUGAAAUUUUGAGACGAGGGUGUACUUUACCGCACUCGUGCUCUUUCAAAUGAAAUUAUAUUCGAAUUUUGCUAUGUGAAUUCAUAUCCGACUUGUACAUGGUAAUGUGGAUAUGAUUCGUAUUUGUUUUGAUUUGUAUAUGUGAUCCGUAUUUGUGAUUCCUAUUUGGAAUCGUCGAUUUGAGAGUUGCUCGUCGACUUAUAUUCGUAUUCGUAUUCGUAUUCGUAUUCGGGGGACGCCCAAACUCGUUGGUUAACUUUGCGAAUCGAGCCAGCAUGGGCUUGGUCGAUAAGCUUAGCCAACCAUGAGAUAUUCGUAGAGCAUAAUCUAUUGGAGAGAUCUUGCUCGGCAUUACUCGUGCAGUAUUGCCAUGAUAUACUCGAGUAUUACCAAAAACUUUGAUGAGCGGGCCCGGUAAGGGGGUGUAAUGGUGACGGGAUUCGAAGCAAAGUGGUGUAUCUACGGAUUUGAUACUUAUGUGGUUGACGGAGUGUCAACGUGAGAUGUGAUCAAGACUUCAACUCGACUACGUGGAAUUUAGCUCCUGAGAGCUACAGUAUCCUUGAAUUGUUUCUGUUUAGUUUUUUCCUAUUCGAAAUGUGAAUUAUUCGAACUUUAUAACUUUACUUACCAUGUAAUUUGUGACUAUUUGGAUUAUGUGUUUGCAUGUGUGUUUCUUGGCCUCACUGAGUAUUGGCUCAUCCCAUUAGUUUGUUUUCCUUAACAGGUUGGAUUGGAAGAUUUUGGAAAAGCCGACUAGAUUAUACUUUUGAUUGAAAUUUGAACUGUAAAUGUGUAGUCGACUUUUAAUGGUUGUAUUUUGGGACUUGAUAUAUCUUUUGUGAACAUGAAGUAAGAUUUGAAUAUUUAGUUAAGGAAGCGACUUUUCUUUAUUUUGACUUGUAGUAUUUGGUAUGUAUUGUUAAGUUCGAUUUGAAUUGUCUUGAGUCCUGGCGAGAGCUGGGCAGGCGUCCCGCGGAUACCCUUGGGUUCGCCCUUGGGAGAAGUGGGGGCGUCACAAUAUUACAUGUAUUUGCUUUUUUUUUUGGGCCCUAAUAUUAUAGUACAUGUAUUUCAGAUAAAAGAAUUAAAAUCUCACCAAGCCUACUAAGAAAAAACAUAAAACUUCUUCGCUUGUAAACUUCUGCUUGGAUUAAUUCAUCCUUCUUACAUUCUCGUAUACCCAUAUGACUAUUGCAUGUACUAAAUGGUCUAUAAAUGAAGCGUUAGAUCAAGCCUACACAAGUUUCUAUGGUAGAGUUUUGAUAAAAAAAAAUACUUAUUUGGUGGAAUCUUUCAUAAAUAUAUUCCUAAAAAAAUGCCAGAUAGGAUUUUUUACCUAUGGUUUUAUCCCACCAAUAUGAUUGGAAAAAAUAUAUAGGCAGUAGCCUACGAAGGUAAUUGCCAAUUACCCACUGAGCAAGAUUUAAUAUUACUGUAUAUACUGCCUAUGUAUACCAAUGUGCAAAUCAAGUGCAAUUAACAUUCAAAAUUUAAUAUCUGAGCAUUUAUUGGGUGAAAGUGAAAAAAAUGAAAAGAUUAGUACUAAAGGUUAGAAACAAAGUUGCGGUCUGAGUUUAUUGCCAAAAUAACACUCUUGUUAAAAAAUAUUCCCAAUAUGAUUGACUUUCAAAAUUUAUUCCCAUAAUGAUGUUAUUGUUGCCAUCUAGUUAUCCUGAUUACCAUGCACGAUAACAAGAAAAGAAAGUUCAAAUCUAAUUUAAAGUAUCCAACAUGAACUAAAAAUUAAAAAAAAAUUUUAUUACAGAGGCACAAGAAGAUUGCAUAACUUUUAUAAUUUCUUUAUAAUUAUUUAAAAUAAAUUCUACCAUUAUUGACCUUGCUAUUAUUGGGCUCUAAUUUUUAAAAAAUGUGUCAAACCUAUUGCAUAUAUAUUUUUCAAAAAAUAAAUUUUAAAAAUACAAAAGUUGCAACAAAAAUUGUAAGCAAUUAAAAAACUUCAAGACUAUCAUAUUUAUUUAUGUUAUCAUUCCUACUCCUUAAAAAGAUACGAGAAUAAUUUUCAUUUGCCUUGAGAUUAUCAACUCGAGAAGCAUAUUUUUUAGAUACUGUUAAUAUAAAUAUUAAUUUCUUAGAAUUACGAGUGUGUUUGGAUUAAAGAUUAUUUCACUUUAUUUACACCUUAUUUACACACACUGACUUGCUUAUAUCAUCAACACAUUUUCUAAUCACCUUUUUAUCUCACAUACAUCAUAUCAAAAAAAGUGUUACAGUAAAAAUAUUUCAAAUAUACGUUUGACAAGGGAAAGAUAAUGAAACAAAACAAUGCGGGAAGAUUUAGAAAGAAAAUUGGAGAAGAUAUUAGAUGGAAAAGAGAAAUGGAACGUGCUUUUAUCUCCAUCCUGACACAUAUGCUGCCUAAGUGGCAAAAAAAGGAUUAUAAAGGUAAUAAAUUAUAAAAAUAGAUUACUUUGGGUAUAUGUUUUGAAAGAAGAGUUAUUUUGACAAUAAACUCACAGGUGCUUGUCUAAAUUAAAAUAUAUAACAAUUUUUGAAAGUAAAAUGGGGACUGCAUAGUUCCUACUUUGACCCUGGACCCAGUCCAGCGGUUCCGUUCUUCGGAAUUUUGCAGGCCCACUUCCUGCGUUAAAAAUUCCUCGCCGGAGAAUUUUGGGGCCAUUGGCUAAUUUAUCUGUUUUUGGUAACAUGGGGCAGACUAGGUCAGGAGGGCCCAAGUAGUUAACGGGUAAAUAUUGGUUUUUAUUCAACGUAGAACUUAUUUCUUGUUGACUUUUUCCAAGAUACGUUAUGCCUCGUAUUGGUGUUCAUUUCAGAUACUUUGGUCUGAAUAUGUUCUCGCAAUUGAUCAUAUUUGUAGCAAUUAAAUUAUUUAAAUGUUGGACAGCAUAAUCUCAAGCCUAAGUAAAAUUUAACUCUUAAGUCCUUGAGAAUUUACAAUAGCUUGCCUCUUGAGAAUUUAAACUUUGCUAUUUGUAAUCAAAUUUUCAUAUGUUAAGUAAAAAUUAAAAAAAAAAGGCCAUAAAAAGUGGAAAAAGUUUUGAACAUUUUAUCUCUAGUAGCUUUUGGAUGCUCCAAUUUUUGAGUCAUUGCAUAUAAUAGAAAUAUAUGUACCUUCAACCGCAUGGACUUGAUUAUUUCACCAAGGUUUUAACCUUUCCGAUGAGCUCACAAUUUGCACUGCAACAUCUGUCGCAAUUAUUCCAGUUUCUUUCUUGAUUUAAUAAGGGAUAAUUUCAGAAACCUCUCUAGAAAUUUCUGACAAUUUCACCUAAUUUCCCUUUCAUUUGAAAAGUUACAUUUACCUCCAUUCUCAAGGACAAAAAAAAAGCUAUAAUAACUUUCUUAAAAGAAUGACACUCAUCCUAAGCAAAAUUUGAAGCCAAAGUUAUUAUUGCCGUUAUUUAAAAGGAAAAAAAAAAGGUAACAAUAAAGUCAAAUGGCUAUCAAACAUUUAAAAAAUUGCUACUAAGUCUAACACGGUGGGUUUUGCCCUAUCAUUACCAUUACAAGGGAGGUUAGUGAAAUUAUCCCUUGAUUUUAACAUUAUUGUUGAUAUUUGAUUAAAAAAACGUUCUUGUUUAUACUUCUUUUUAUUCAGGGCAAUCUCUCCUUUUUCUGAUAUUUAAUACACCGAUAAAAUUCAGCUGUCUUUGGAAGUGCGUACGUGCGUAGAAUUCAUCUCGUUCCACUGUCAAUCUACUACUUUUAACCAUCGGGACAUAUUUUCUUGGUCACAAAUUAAUCCUACUCUUUUUGUACUAGUACCUUUUCUUUUUUACUAAUGCCACGUCAAGCGCACGAGCUAUAAAAUGGAUAUGUGCAAAUGGGUAAUUCUUUGGUUUUAAUUUCGGUAAAAAGACAUUUUAUCCGUUUUUCCCAUCAUUGAAUGAUGGAAGAAGCUAUAUGUGAUGAUGUGAGAAAAUUCCCAAUUAAAAAAAAAAUAUGAGUACACUAUGUGAUCGCUUUAUUUGCCUUUUCCCUCAUUCAAUAAAAAAACUAUGAAUAAAUUUAUACCUUGGCUUUUAAGACAAGUCACCUGUUAAUUUUCUCAAAAGCCCACAAAUGUUUUUUUUUUAAAAAAAAAAGUAAAAACCACAGACUAUAUAUGCAUUGACAUAAGCUUAUACGGAAAUUUAGAAAAAAAAAAUAAAAUUUAAGCUUAUAGGGUGUACAGACUGCAACUUCCGAAUUUGCUCGAUUUAUUUGAACCAAAAAAAAAAAGAUGCUAUUUAUAUGUGCAAACAUUUUAUUUAAUUAUUUAUCUAUUUUAUGCGUACGAGUAUACAUUACAUGACCAUGCAAUUGGCUUUGCGUAUCCCUGGAUCAUAUUUUGAUUUACGACUGAACAUGUGAUAUUUAGACAACCAUCACUAAUGCUCAAUAAUUAAUCUCAAGUGUCUAACUUCAAAAUAUUGAUGAAUAAGUAAAAAACCAGAGGACAACUACUAAUUUAAAGAUUGAAAAUUUCGAAAUUCAGCGACUAAGUCGUGACACAAAAAUUAGCGUGCAAAGUAUCAAAAAAGGAAAAAAUAGUAUACCAUAGUGCAAAUUGGUAGUAAGUUGAAUUGAUUCAAAGUAUCCCCUAAUCCAUAUUUUAUACAUCAUCUUCGGGGACUAAUCUGCCAACCAAAUAAGGAUAGUUAAAAUUAUUAAAGGAAAACUUUAAGUGCUUAUUUUUAAGUGUUUGAACUAGCCGAUGCUUUCAAACCCGACGGGAGACCAAGUCAAUCUCUUUAGUUGUUUUGACUUGCUUCUUUACCAAAACUUGAUCCGACCAAAAAGCUUAGAAUGCUCCUUUGAAGUAAUUUUUCUUUUCUGCACUAGUCUACAUGUAAAGACAGAUCUCCUUGGCAAAUGUCCUAACCUAUCAUAUUUUUAAGCUUUUAAGUGCGAAAAAUGUUCCAAGUAUAUUAGUUGCGCACGAAGUUUGAGGAAGUAUUACUUCAACUACUGUUCCGUCAUAUGCUUAGAGGCCCUGGAUAUGGUAUAAUGAUAAUCCGACCAAAACAUCUCUACUCCUGUCCCUCUCACGUGUGAUUCGAUUUUAACUGAGCGUUGUUCUUAAGCUUUCUGUGUCAAAUCAUAUUUGGAUAUGCGGUUUGUACUUUAAUUAUGCUGAAAGGUAGUUAUUGGCUUGGUUUUAUGGAGUAAUUUUUUUAAUUGCUUAAGAGUUGAAGUGAAUGUUAUGCCGCUUUCUUAGGGGCAUUUGCAUUUACGGUCACUAAUUAAGUUUUGCUUUACUGGUGAAAGAUGAGGGCUUUUUUGGAUGGUCACAUCAGGAAAUUAAUCUUAAGGUUACCUUUUGGGCUGAAUGUUAUUACUCAAGAUUGGGAUUUAUUUUUGUCCUACAGAUUAGGACAUUGUGUGGUGUUGAACAUGAUGAUUUGAAGAGGCUGUUUUUUGUGUCAAAAUCGAUAAGAGAAGCGGUAAGCUUUUAUACAUCUCUAUGAAUUAAAUUAAUUUAAAAUUUGAGUGCUUUCUUCAACAUGUCUUGAGCAUUGGUUGAUUUUGAUUUGGAUUUCUUAAACAAAAAUGCAGACUUUGAUUGCAAAGCGAUGGCAUUUUGCAGAUAGCACCCCCAAGAAGACACUCGGAUUUCCAAAUGCUAUUGAUUUUGAAAAUGUGGAUGAGUUAAUGAUUGAACAAGCUCCAAGGCAAGUGAGAAUUCCGAGGGCUCGAUUGAGCAGCAAGAAGUUGGCUGACAUUUCCGUGACCUUAUAUACUUCUGCUGGCGAACAGAAUUGGCUGCGAAGAGAGCUAUUUGUGGCAAUGGAUGCAGAAAUAUGAGUUGAAUGAUUUAUGAAGAUCCAGAACGGUCUUCUUCUUGUUGUACAAUUUGGUAACUUCUUGGUUAAGCGAAAUAGAUAGAAGACAGAAAGAAAAUCUGACGUGCGUAUCAUAUUUUUUGAUAGUUUGUACAUGACAAAACAAAUCCAUGCAGGCCCAUUUUCGUCAAUUCUUUCAUUGAAGAUAGGAUUGGCUUGUUUAUACUUUGUUUGUACAUGUAGAAGAAAUGGUUUAGGGAUUUCAUUUAAGGAGCUGUAGUGGCCCUUUUUGUUCUCAUAAGCGUGUAUAUACGAGCCUCCAAGCUCUUUGGUGGUACUUAUUCGAAUGGGUUGGAUGAAUACAUCUCUGCCAAGCUGAUUUUGCAAUUUGAUUGUUGUUCUGUUUUCCCUACACACAAUGCUGUUCUUCUUCCUCAAAAGUGAUUGCUACGGUGCAGUAGAACUAUGUAAGAGAUUAUUCUUGGCCAAUUCGAGACGUCAGCUGAGAUUCUUGUUUCAUUUAGGAUAUGUACUAGAUUUUUUUCGCCCUUUUAUGUUCUGCAUUAAUGCAUCUGUGUCUGAACUCUGUUGAUUCUAUUUGGUCGAUACCUUUUCAGCAAUCAGGUGAUGGGGCUACCUGUUGAUUUCUUGUUGAAAUUAUCAGUAUUAAAUCCUUUUGUUUUCGCGGGCGGUUAUCACCAAGAUUGUCAGGCAGCGAUUAGUACACUAUGAAAAGGAAAAUGGAGGAGCUACCAUUAUGUUUAUUUCCAUUCCCUACUUGUUUUGGCGAGCGGCGUCUUCAGAGAACAUGGACUUUGCGCUUUCUGCAUUAAUAAUAAGAUAAGAUGUUAAUUUCCUAUUCUGGUACCUAGGAUUUCAUUGAGGAUCUGGCUGUAUCGGAGGUAAUGGUUUGAGGGAAGCUAGCUGGAAUCCUUGAAACCUUAAUUACAGGAUGAAAAUUUGCGCCAAAAUGAUCUGUUUAGUGGAUGUUGUUGCAGCUAUGAAGGAAAUCAAGUAAUUGGUGAAUGGAUAAGUAGUUCAAAGUUUGGGAGAAAGGAAGUUGACUUAUUCAGUCGGAUAGAUAAUUCAAAUAUGGUUUUAAAAUUCAACAAUAUACUUAUUCUCCAUAAAAGAUAUCUGUUAGUACAUGGGUGUCAGGGAUUGUUAACAAAGAUAGAAGAAUGAUAUUUGGAUAUAUUUUUCUUCUCUUUUGCUUGUGAAUAAAAACGAAAACAAGAAGGUUAAAUUUUUUUCUCGCCAUUUUUAAUCUCCUAAUAUGGGGAGUUCCAAUCAUCAAUGGUUGUAUGUCCUGUUAUUGCAGAGUAAAGCACCAACACAGCGUCUAGUUGGAUUUGCAAUUCUCCACCAGGCGUAUUCUUCCCAGCAGCCUAGUUCUAACCCGUUCAGUUUUGUGCUUGUGAAUGUAAGCAUGCAUAUGUCUUCUCCUCAUUGCAUUUGUUGUUCUCAGGAUUUUGUUUGUGCUCUAUUAAUGGUCAAUUUUAAAUAAUCAUGCACUGUGUAAGAUUGUUCAUCUAUGCAGUAUGCACAUCAAGUGCAUUUUUGACUUGUUUAUUCAGUGAUAGUAGAAAGCUGACAGUAUUUUCAGUUAACUUUUAUACGGAGUGCUAAGAAUUAUUGGACUGUCUGCUGUAUGAAAUACUGAGUGUAGUGAAUUUAGAUAACCACAUGAACCUGGUGUGGAGGCCUAUUCAUUACUGUGGGAAAGACUUCUUUUCAGAGCCUAUUUUUGCUUCUAGAAUAAGAAAUCGUUGACAAAUUAAUAGUAACAAAUCCUUUUUUUUACUAUUACGUAUAUCACUGUGGGCUGACACCAAGAAAGCUGCCAGUAUGUUAUUUUAUAGGCAUAUCGAUGUGUUCUAUGUGUUAAUUUCCUGAAUGUGAGUGUUCUUUUGUUUGGUUAUCAGGAACUUGGGGAGAAUAAUCCUGUCAUAGCAGUUGAAGUUCUCAUUAAGCCUGCAAAUUCACCUGAAAUUGAAGAGUAUGUUCAUCUUUUUACGUUAUACUAUAAGAAACUUAAUCUUAUUAGUGUUCCGACAACAAAUUUUUUUUAUGAAAUGCAGGUAUUUUACUGUUCUUGUCAGUAUGGAUAUGAGCCUUCAUUCAAUGGAAGUGGUUAACAGGCUUACUACAGCUGUCGAACUACCAACUGAAUUUAUUCACUUGUAUAUAACGAACUGUAUAUCUUCGUGUGAGAACACCAAGGUUCUUAGUCCUCUCUACUCUUUGAUGUACUUCCCCAUUUUUCAGUAAAGCCUCAUCUGCAAUACCUGCAAUGGUGGACAAUUCGAGACCUAGGAUGUCCAGUCAUCAAUCUGUUGUGCAGAAUGAAAGUUCAGCAUAUAUUUUGUUUAUGUGAGGAAAGUCGCAGGCAUAUAAGCAUUUUCAGUAAACCGCGAUAAUGAACACUCAAAGAAAGAGGGGACUAAGCUGUGCAUGUCAUGGAUGAUUCAUGUACAAGUUGAUUCACGAAUGCUAAUGAAAAUCAUGAAUGGUUGGUUCACACAAGCUGUUUAGGAGAAUCGAUGAAAUUAUCUGCCAAAUUAAGAGGCAGAUUACAGAACAUAGAUUCACCUUCAGCUGUGUCUGUAGAGAAUGCAAUCUACUUGCAGAGUUUUUGGCCAAUUUAGGCCGUGACUCACAAUGCAAUUAGGCUAAAGAUUAACUUUAUUCCAAAAUUUCAAAUUUGCUGAAUCUUAGAUUGGAUAGAUUGCAUAUCGGCUAUGUUAUUCUUUCUUCUUGAUGUACUCAAAUGUCUAUAAUAAAAUGAAAGAUCUAUUUCUGAACCCCCAACCUACUCUUGGUGGUUUGUUAAAAAAGAGAGAGAACCUGCAGUCAUGAAUACGUUGGACUUGUUUCCUUUUAAAUAAAAAAAAUGUAUGAUUUGGGAAGUUAAAAUGUUUGCAGAAGGUUUCUGAAGGGUAAUGUGUUUCAAGUCUUGCUUCUAUCUCGUAUUAUGUAUACCUCUCAAGCUUACGUAUAAAAAGAAAUGAGCGAGGAGAAAUAUGGAAUGUGUAAUGCCUUUUGCCUUUUCAAUAUAGAGCUAGUGAGCCUCUAGCAAUGAUCUAUAUAUUCCUAGAAAUGCAUGCUUGAGGGAUUGGGUUGAGAUUGGCUUCUGAUUGUCUUAGCUUUGAUAUUUGAACUGCUAGGCAUACUUGUGAAAAAUUUGAUAACAUAACUGAUGUUUCUUCUUGGUUUUGGUUUUCUUCUUUUUGUUGGCAUUUCUUGUCCAUCUUUUUAGCACAUCUGUGUCUUUGAGUGUGUGUGUUCUUUGCCUUCAAGGAUUGGCUAGUGACUUGGUGUGUUCAGUUGGGGGGUGCAUUGGUUGCUGCUAUUUGUUUUGAUUUAAGUUCUCUUGGGUUUUGAUUCAAAUUUUAUGCACCUUGAUCUGUUUUAAAUAUAAAGUGCAUAUGGCAGCUUCCAUCUCUCAAACCUUGAUUUAUUCUCAUUGAUCUAAUUUUACUAAAUGCUGUCGAACCUUUGCAAUGCAGUUCAGGAUCUAUUUAUUGAAGUCCAAGCCUUUUGUAUAGAGUUUUCAAGGAUGAGAGAAGCAGCUACGUUGUUUAGGCUCCUUAAAAGCUUAGAAUAAGAUAGUCUAGUUUAAUUUUACUUAGUUCUCUCUGUGUAAGAUGAUCCUGCCCUGUUGCUAUGACGUUCUAUUUUGAGGAUAGCAUCAUGGCUUGUAAUGUGAGGGGUAAAAGAUAAAGCACUGCUGCGUAUACUGAGGAUUUUGCAUCCAUCUGGCGCUAUCCCAGAUAAUGGGCAUAUCUUUUUAUUUCAAAAUGCAAAAAUGGCAGCAAGAAAGGAAUCAACAUGCAAUUUGAAACACCUUGGAAGGUUUCAUUUUUGAAACACCUUUACUUCAUUAAGCGACAGACGGGGAGAUAAAAAGUGUCAUUACAAUGCUCUAUUUGACUUGGUGGCGGAUUCAAGGAAAGGGCACUGGGAUCCUUAAAUUCCUAUAGUACCCAUAAAAUUUUGAUAUAAUUUCAAGUGUGUCCUUGAAGUUUUCUUAUGAAGGAUGUGAAAGAAUUACGUGGUUCUUUAAAUUAGUUAAUGAACUAAAAUUCUGAAAGGAUAUGUGGAACACAAAGUUUCAUUUAAAGUAAACUAGAAAAAGCCUUUUCGUCUCAACUUAGUGGUGAAUAUUUUUUGGCUUAAAAUACUAGAAAAAAAUUAGGUAAAAAAUUUUAGUGUUAUUUUUAUCCCAAUUGAGAAUUUUUUCUGGAUCCGCCACUGAUUUGACUUGCAUGUAUUCAAUGACCAGAGCUUGAAAUGAGCUUCAGCAUGUAGCAAGAAACAUGCUGAUGCUACUUAGCUGUCAUAUUUUAAUAGCUGUUACAACUUGAUUUUUUUGGUUCUCUCAUUUGUCACCAGAUGUUAGCUGUCUAGGAAAUUUUUCCAUACAUCAUUUUUAUGCUACUGCUGAGGUUCACUUUUGAUUUUAUUUUAUACACAUCAACAAAUGGACAUAGUGAAGAACAAGACAAUGAGCAGCAACUCUGAGGCUCAAACCUCUAAGACACCAAAGCUAUUUGAGUUACUUUGGCUAGUUGUAGGAUCUAUUUAACAGGAUCUCACAAAUUUUUACUUGCAUAAAACUGUGUGCCUUUCAAGCAUAAUUGGAAUUGUGUAGUUAGCCUCUUUCUUUCUUCAAUCAUUUUUAUCUCCUUCAAUCAUUGUAUUUUACUCACAAAUUUGUCUUCUUUUUCUUAUGCUAAUCACAUACUUGUGACAUAGCAUUAACAAGUGAAAUAUCCGAAUCAAAGUAUACCAUUAAGAUGUGAUUUCUCCUCCACUCACAAAAAUAGGAGGGAGAAUACGUGAAAGAUACAAAGGGCUAAUAUUUUUAAGAGUCAGAUGAGCAGGACAUAUGGUUCAGGGCAAUCUCUCUUCACCUUCUUAAAGAUCCAAAAUUUGCCUUUGGAUGACUAAAGCAGCUGAAUUCCACUGAAAUCAAAUUAAGCAAACAUUGCGUUUAUUUUCAGGGAUUGUUCAGCUGUUUUAGAUCGUUUUUUGGGUAAUAAACUAUCCAACAAGAUCCAAAAUUAUCUUACCCUUGUAAUUUUUGGAUGAGUUAAUAAUACGAACCGUUAUUCAUGAGAAGAAACUGAGUGGAGAAAAUCUUUGCCAUAAAUUGUUCAUCAUGGCAAAAUAUAUAAUCACUUGAAAAAUUUAGAUGCACAGCCAACAUUUAUGCCAAAUACAUUGUCACUAAAUGAGAGUUGAUGAGGCUUUGAUUGACCCCACGCUAAUGGAUUACACGAAACUUUAUAUAAAAACAAACUAAUUUGAGAUAGCAUAUGAUUAGAAGCAAAAGUUCACAACCAUCAGCAAGAAAAAUCACAUAGUUUUUAAACAUAUUGACUAGCAAAUAAAAAUGCUAACGACAAUAGAUAAGCAAAAAACUUUAUUUGGAUAGUCACUAGUUAUGCAAUCUAGGCAUUGAUAGCAACUAGUUAAUAUUAUUAUAUCAAUUGAAUUAUGUUUCAUGGACCGGAAUACCGAUUAUUUAGGAUUUUUGAUUCACAAGUGGCCCUAAUGGUGGUGGCGGCGGUGGAUUCUUUGGCGGACUGAUGGAGGGACAGGCACCCCUCUUGAAAGCCUAGGAAAUACGCUAUCCUGGGGUAAAGCAUGUGGCCCAUGUGGCUCUAUCAGUGGAGGUAGUGGAGGAUACUUUGUAGGACCUGAUGGAGGGAUCGGCUCCCUUUUAAAAGCUUGGGGAACCAAUGUUUUGAAAACCGGAUCGGCCUGUCAAUUCGACUAAUCAGACUGCAAAUCGGCCAAGUCUUUGAUCCAAUUCAUUAUUAGUAUUGACUUUUUGUAAAAAUCGCAAAAAAUCAACCAUAUCGUUCAACUCAAAUUGAACUGUGAACCGUGAUUUUUUUAUUUUUUCCAUCUUUUUUUUAAAAUUGAACCUAAUGUUUUAACAUAAUAAAACUUAUUAGUAGAAUCUUUUGUUCCUGAAGAGGUGAUUUUUGGCGGGUAAUUAGUCCAACCGAAAUCAGCUCUCUUGUUAAUGUGGUGAGGUGAGCUCGAUUAUCUCACCUCGGGUGGAAUGAGGUGAGGUUGCACGGUCGAAGUGGAAGGCGGGGCUUUUCCCCUGCGAUCACUCCGACGAUCAAGUUAGUAUGAGAACGAGAAUAAUUAGAGUAUGAAUGAGUGAACAGUAUGCUUACUUGUGGGAGGUAUGCGAGGGGUAUUUAUAGGUCAGGAGGGAAUGCUAGGACGGAGUGCUCAUGCUGGUGGGACCCGCAUCCUGGCAUUACGGCUCUGUUUCCUGUCAGGAGGUCUGACUCUGACACUGUAGCCGCCUGAAUAUGAUGACGGAGAGUAUGGUGCAGGUGCCAUUAAGUGCCUCCAGUGCUUCUCAGAUAAAGCACUGGUCUGGUUCCGGGUGAUGUCAGGUGGCUUGACAUCAUCAGCGUGCAGCUGGGGUGGAGGUGCCGAGGUCACCUACACGGUAGACUAGGGAUCCGGCCGAGCUCAGGGGUUAUGCUCAAGACACGGACGAGCUCUGAUGAGAGACGAGGUGGGUUCACCUCGGACAUGCAGGGUGGUCGAGGUGAGCAUCCUCAAUAAGCCCCCCAAGCCUCGGGAGCUCCGAGCCAGGGAGGUACCGAGGCUUCCUGGUGCCGAAGUCGUAAAGAGUCGGGGUCCCGAAACUGCUCCGGAAGAUGCGGGGACGUGACACGUGGGCGAGUCAGUUGACAGGACGUGGCCGCUGGUAGCCGUCGCGUCGUGAAGUAGUGGGACGUUUCGUGCAGAGGGUGUCAGUCGAAAGGACGGGGCAUUAAUGAGGAGAGAGGGAGGCACGGCGUUUUGAAUUCGAACGUGGCCGUCUUUUCGCAUUCUUGCCGCCUCUUCGGAUUCCCCCCAAACCCUUAUAAAUAGGGGGUCCUUUUCACCGUAUGGCCCAUCACUUUCUUUCUUUGCCUGCGACUUGCAAAAUUUACGAGUGUUGCCGAGAUCAAUCCUGCCAGCCGAGAUCCCAGCCGAAGUCAUCAUCUUUGUUCGAUACCGUAGUCAACAGUAAGUAUCUUUCUUUCCAUCUCGUCUUACACACAUGGCCAAAAUAGCUAGGACCCAUAAAGAAAUCGUGACACCGAGCUACCAGACAGAGGUGAGGCCGGAUCCUGAAGAAGUGACGACGUCCAGCUCUGAGGGGUCGACGCCAAGUUCUGAGGAAGGAUCAACCGAGGUGAGAGCCGGCGAGACAGCCUCGGAGUUGGAGUCGUCCGAGAUGAGCGGGGGUGGUUCCGAGGUGGUCUAUAACGAGGAGUUCGGCGUCGAGAUACCACACGACGAGGACGUACUGGAGCCCGUCGCUCCUAGGGACGCAGCCAACAUCGACUUCGGCAAGAUGCCGAAGUUUAGAAGUCACAUAGGAAGAGAUAGGGCCGAGAAGGUGAUAAACAAGUAUCCCUUCCGGCCGGGGUACGAAAUUACACCGCCCGGGGUGGAUGACUCAGCCGAGAAACCCCCCUUUGGCACGGUGGCCAUCUAUGUCCAACAGUUGGAGGCCGGGCUGAGGAUGCCCACGUCGAGGUUCUUCAGGGACUUGCUUCAUCACUUCUGCGUGAGGAUUACCCAGCUCACCCCGAACGCGGUCCGCAUCAUCGUAGGGUUCGAGAUGCUGUGCCGACAUCAGGAGGUGACUCCCUCUGUCGACCUCUUCCGCCGAUGCUAUACCCUCAAGGCGCACGGGACGGAUAAGGGAUGGUUUUAUGUUUGCAAUCGGAACAAUGCCAUCCCGAAAUUGGUGAUUGGUGCUCCCAACUCGAUCAAGAAUUGGAAGCGCGACUUCUUCUUUGUAUCCGGAUUGGACUUCCCUAGGGGUUUUUGGUGGAGGCCAAUUAAGGCGAAGGCCGACCCUUCUGCGGGGGAUGCCGAGGAGGAGGCCUUCCAAAAGCUGAUGGGGUCAGGACUUCGGAUAUACAGUUGGGACUACCCCGAAACCGUGCCGGUUGACGGGGGAAUUAGCCGAGCUUUACUCAGUCCUGACAAGACUCCCUUCACUUCCACUAAACUUAAGAUACCUUGUAAUUUUCUUUCAUAGCUUUGAUUCCACUUCGGCUAAGGCAUAUGAUAAUAUUUGUUUCUUGUGCAGUGACUAAACUGUCCGACAUUGUCGUAUCGGGCUCGUCCGAAGUGGCCAAGAGGUCGAAGAGGAAGAGCUCUGACGAGACAUCGGCACCUCCGCCGAAGAAGAAGUCACAAGGACAGGCUGCCAAGACUUCGGUGGCCAAGAGCACUCCCACCCCGGGAGGCCAAAGCAGCUCGGCUGGCGCGGCUACUGGGUCCACCGCGUCUGUGCCAGAGGGAGUGCCCCUUAGAGUCGUCACGGUACUCCCGCCUCCUCAUGGCCGAGGCAAGCAGCUGAAACCCCCGGUCAAUCAGGUCUCGGCGUUUCCAUAGCUCCCCGGUGUUUUCCGGGAAGGAGAAGACGCACCCUGGCGAGCAUUGGUGUCCGGAAUGGAAACUUACUAUUAACGAUAGGUGCAGUCAUCCUCGGGUUGCACAAGAGCUGGUGAUGCACUCUACCUUGCCGAGGGAGUUGGAAUUUAUGAAGAAAUUGACUCCGGCCGAGAUGGUUCAAAACCUUAUGGUGACCACAGCCUCCAACUCAGCCUUUGUGGCCGAGAUGACACACCGGUACUGUGCUCUACUCGAGGAGCAGGACUCCGGCAAGUUACAAAAUCAGAUCUCCAAGUUGGAGAAAAAAUUGGCAGUGUCCGAGUCUGAGAAGGCCGAGCUUCAAAGACAGCUUAAAGAGGCCGAGACGAAAGAUGAGGAGGCCGUGGCUACAAUCAACAGCCUCAGAUCGGCCCUCGAGGAAGAGCAGAAGAGGGGGGACGAGGUGAAGAAGUCUCACGAACAAGAUCUCGAGAGUGCUGGGGCCUCGGCCGUGGACGCAUUUCGGAACUCCGAGGGCUUCACCCGGGAUCUCGGCCAACUGCUUGCGCCGAGCUUCAUGUUCGGCUUCACGUCAGCCGUGGAGGAGGCCGCAGCUCACCUCUCCUCUGAAGCCUUGGAGUCUCUGAAAGACAAUGCCAACUACAAUGAGGACUCCAAGGAGUUAUGCGAUCGGAUGGCCGAGGGCCUCCAAUCCGGAAGGAACUUGUCCGAAGUCCGGGACGAGUUCAACAAGUGGCUGUCCGAGCUCGACGAAGUGUUCGAGGAGGGCCAAGGAGAAGAAGCUGGAGGAGAAGAAGCCGGGGGAAACAUCGGUGAAGAGCAGGGAGGAGGAGAGCUUCACCCCGGCGGGGAGGAGACAGGAGAGAAGGCUACCCAGGAGGGAGCCGAGACGGGGGAGGGAGCCGAGACGAGAGUCUAGGCUCAUAGAUAUUUAAUUAGGAUUCCGAGGUGGGAGAUGCUUAGAGGCACUUCCGAUCUCGGUCUUGUAUUCUGUUCUGUAUUGUCCUUUCAUUAAAUGAAACGUCUAUUUUUCUCAUCUCGGCACUUUAAUUUCUUGUCUUGACUUCGUCCCUUGCUUGUCCCCCUUAUUUUUGAAUAGCGUAAUAUCGAUGUUGAAAAAUAACAUAACACCCGAAGUCAUUACUUGAUUAAAAAUUCAAGUAUAAUACAUUUUGAGAUUCUCGGCGUGCCAAGACCUCGGCACUAGGGAGCCAUCUCGGUAGCUCAGUUUACAAUAUCCCUUAAGGUCAGAUUCCACAACUCGGUAAGGGCCUUCCCAUUUCGGGCACAAUUUCCCUUGCGGUUCAGCUCGGCUGGUCGAGUUUUUUCUGAGAACCAAGUCUUCAGGCUGGAAUCUACGGUGUCUGACACGGGCAUUGUAAUAGUGUGCCAGUGUGUUCUUGUAGGAAGCUAUCCGGGUUGAGGCGAGGUCCCUUCGUUCCUCGACGAGGUCGAGAUCCAGCUGUCUCUGUUCGUCAUUCACCUCGGCAGCAUAGGCUGCCAGCCGAGAGCUGGGGGUAAGGAUCUCGGCCGAGAUGACAGCCUCGGCGCCGUAGGUCAAGGAGAAGGGGGUCUCUUGCGUUGCUGACCUCGACGUGGUCCGGUACGACCACAGGACACUGGGGAGUUUCUCGACCCAAAAUGACCCAACUCGGUGUAGUCGAGUCUUGAGACCAUGCAGGAGAGUUCGGUUGAAAUUUUCUGCUUGACCGUUGGCCUGGGGGUGGCCCACCGAAGUGAAAUGUUGUUUGAUGCCAAGGUUUGUGCACCAAGUUUUAAAGGGGUUCUCGGCAAAUUGCCUUCCAUUAUCCGAGAUGAUGACCUGAGGUAUGCCGAAGCGGUAGACGAUGCAUUUCCAAAAGAAUUUUUGAAUUGCCAGUCGGGUGAUGGUCCUCAGAGGCUCGGCCUCAACACACUUGGUGAAAUAAUCCACAGCGGUUAUCAGGAAAGUAUAACCCCCGACGGCUCUGGGGAAAGGACCUAUGAUGUCUGUCCCCCAUUGCUCAAAUGGCCAAGGUGAAGUGAUGGGAACCAUGAAGUUUGCGGGCUGGUGAUGCUCGGGUACGUGGACUUGGCAGGAAGGGCAGCCGAGAACGAGAUCAUGGGCGUCUUGCCGAACAGAGGGCCAGAAAUAUCCAAGAAGCAAAGCCUUCUUGGCUAGCAUUUUGUGGCCGACGUGAGCUCCACACAGGCUUUCGUGGAUCUCGUGGAAGACGUGGCGUCCUGCCUCGGGGGUGACACACCUCAGCCACGGGCCGAGGUAGGAGCGCUUAUAUAGUUCUUCAUCGCGGAGAACAUACCGAGCAGCCUUGCGUUGUAUCUUCCUCGCCUGGGCUCGGUAUUCGGGAAGGGCUCCCUGACCCAAGAAAAGGAUGAACGGGGUCAUCCAGGUAUCUUCAGAGUGCACGGGGCAGGCCACCUCUUCCACGUAUCCCGGUUCACUCAGGACUUCCACUAAAACUGUUUUGUUGAGAUCAGAGAAUGAUGUGGAAGCCAGCCGGGAUAAGGCGUCGGCUCGCUUAUUCUGGGACCGGGAUAUUCUUUGGAUUUCGAAAGACUCGAAGUACGCGAUGAGUUGGUGAACUUUGGAGAGGUACCGUUGCAUGGUCUCAUCCUUGGCCUCGUAUUCACCAAGAACUUGCCGUACAACGAAUUGGGAGUCACUGCGGACGUGGAUUUGCUGGGCGCCGAGCCUGCGAGCCAGUUGGAGUCCAGCAAUUAAGGUCUCGUACUCGGCUUCAUUAUUGGUGGCUGGGAAGCCAAAGCGGAGGGCGUACGAGCACAUUUCUCCUUGGGGGCCCUCCAGGAGCAACCCAGCUCCGCUGCCCUCUCCAUUAGAGGAUCCAUCUACAUACAAUGUCCACAGGGAUGGGGUGGACACCUCGGCAAAGGCGGAGGUGGAUUCUGGACCUUCCGUGAAGGUGAGUUCGGCAAGGAAAUCGGCUAAGGCUUGUACUUUUAUGGCGGUGCGGGGCUCAUAUGACAAGUCAUACUCUCCCAAUUCGAUGGCCCACUUGGUAAGGCGCCCGGAUGCCUCGGGUCGCACCAGUAUCUGCCGUAUAGGUUGGUCUGUUCUGACGGAGAUGGGGUGAGCCAGGAAGUAGGGUUUCAGCCGCCGAGCUGCGUGGACUAGUCCCAAUACGAGCUUUUCCACCUGGAUGUACCGAGUCUCCGGCCCACGGAGGGCUCGGCUGAUAUAGUAGACCGGCACUUGGGUGCCCUCAUCUCGGAUGAACACAGCACUGACAGCCUCAUCGGCUGCGGAUAGAUAUAGGUACAGCUUCUCCUCGGGCCGAGGUGAAGCGAGAGUGGGUAGUGGUGCAGGUACUGUUUCAGCUGGUCGAAGGCAGCCUGACACUCCUCAGUCCAGGCGAAUUGGUCAGCCUUCUUCAACACCUUAAAGAAGGGCAGAGCUUUCUUAGCAGAUUGGGACAGGAAGCGGUUCAGCGCGGCCAGGCGUCCAUUUAGUCUUUGGACUUCUCGGAGGUUCCGAGGUGGGGACAUGUCCUGAAUGGUCUUGACCUUGUCGGGGUUGGCCUCGAUUCUCCGGCGGGAAACCAGAUAUCCCAAGAAUUUUCCGGAGGUGACGCCGAAGACGCACUUCUUGGGAUUCAAUUUCAUCCUCGAGUCCCGCAGGACGCCGAAGACCUCUCUCACAUCGGACAAAAAAGCCGAAGUAGUUAGGCUCUUGACGAGAAUGUCGUCCGAGUAGGCCUCCACAUUGCGGCCGAUCUGGUUUUUGAAGAGGCGGUUGAUCAGCCUCUGGUAGGUCGCCCCGGCGUUCUUUAGCCCAAAUGGCAUGGUAGUGUAGCAAUAAACACCUUGGUCGGUGUAGAACGCCGUCUUCUCUUGGUCCUCUUCACUCAUUCCUAUUUGAUGAUACCCUUUGAAGGCAUCCAGUAAACAAAGGAUCUCGUAACCCAUCGCCGAGUCGACGAGGGUGUCUAUUCUUGGGAGAGGAUAGCAGUCUUUGGGGCAGGCCUUGUUGAGAUCGGUGAAAUCCACACACAUUCUCCAACCACCGAUGUCCUUUUUGACCAUGACUGGGUUGGACAGUCAGGUGGGAUAUUGAACCUCGUGGAUCAUCUUGGCCGACAAGAGCUUGUCGACCUCAUCCGAUAUAGCACGUUCGGGGCCGAAGUGCCUUCGUUUCUGCCUUACAGGGCGGGCCUGCGGAUUAACGUUGAGCUGGUGAAUCAUGAGCUCAGGUGGCACUCCGACCACUUCAUCAGCGGAUCAUGCGAAGACGUCUCGGUGGUCCUUGAUCAGGGAGAUCAUUUCUUCUUUCAGGGGUGAGAGGAGUCCGGCCCCUACUUGCACCACUUGGUCAGGUUUCGCUUCAUCCAAGACCACUCGUUCCAUCUCAUCCCCGGGCUCAAGCCUGUUGGGCUCUCCUGCCUUCCGAGGGUCGAUGCAGUUUAUGGAGAGGACCGCUUAUCACUAUCUACAGAAAUUAUAUUUUAUUUAAGCAGGUUUUUAUUAUUGCACAGGUUCGGCACCUGUCAAUUUUUGGCGCCGUUGCCGGGGAACUGGUGUCAGUUUAAUUUGUUUCUUUUUGAGUUCACCUUGUUUUCAUUUUUAAUUUAUUUCUCUUAUUUUUUUAUUAUAUAGUUUAUGGCUUCUAACACUCCGUAUUUUGGUGAUUUACUGGAUUUUGUUUCCGAGGAAGGCAAUGAGACUGAUUUUUUUUCUAAGUUUCCAUAUUUAGAGGCACUAAACUCUAUUAGAGAAAGAAUGGCUGCUGCAACCUGUGAAAUUUGUUAUGCCAGGGAUCAUUCGACCGGUAUGUGCCCCGAAUAUCAAGAUAAUCUGAAUGUCCCACUCAAUAAUUAUGGAGAUUUUUCACCAUGGUCUCAAACGUGGUAUAACCCUAAUCCAAACGGGUAUGAUCAAGGAUGGUGGGAUAACUCCAGUUAUAAUUAUACAACAGGGCCAAUGAAUUUUCAGCAGUAUGAGUCUCAAGAACCGUCAUCCAUGUCAGAUAUGUCUCUUGAAGAAAUAGUUGAAUUAAUAGCUACUAACACAUAUCAAAUUCAACAGGAGGUACAUCAACUUCAACAGGAGACACAAAGGAUGAGCAAAGAGAUGAAAGAAGCAAGGCUUGAAUGUGCAUUUAAAACGAGCAAAUUGAUUUCUCCAGUUUAUGAAGAAUUGCCCUCACCAACUAUUAUAGACCAUGAGGAAGAUGAGAGUGCAAUUAUUCUGACAAAUGACAUGGUACUGCAAGAGUCUCAAGAAGAAGAAUCUAAAGAUGUAGUUGAAAAGAAAGUUGAGGAGCAAGAAUUGAGACCCCAACAUCAAAUGGUUCAAGUGAAUGAAUCCAGUGAACAAUCUCCAAAUGCGGUGACAUCUCCUCCAUUCCUUGAUCAAUAUUUUCCUGACUCUUAUUCUUUAAUUCCUGUUAGUGAGAUUGAUUUUAUUAUACCAGACAAUUUUGAAUUUCAUGCCAGGAAUAAAUUAAGAGUCAUGAUGGCAAAAUAUCUCGAACCAAUAAGUGCUCUUGAUGGAGGAGUGAGUGAAGAUUUAAGAUCAUCACUUGUUUGUUUGGUGCCAUUUACUAGUCCAUGGAAGCCCGUAGCUCGUGUGCCCAAGAAUCACUCUAUUUACGAGGGCUAUCAGGAUUACAUAGAAGAUGAAGUACUGAAACGAGCCACAAGAUUUUAUCCUCCAUGAAUACACAUGAAAAUGUCUAGUCAAAGACAUUAAAGAAAGGCGCUACUUGGGAGGCAACCCAAGACUAUUUGUUUCAGUUUUCAUGCAUUUUUGAAGUUUUAGUUAAGUGUUAGUGUCAAUUAAUAGUUUGAUGUUUGGUGGCAGGAAAUUAGCAGUUAGACGUGCCCACGCCAGGUGGUCACGCCUGAGGGGAAGAACUUUUCGUUCAAGAUCUGCGGACUCUAUAGCAGUUAGACGUGCCCACGCCAGGUGGUCACGCCUGAGGGGAAGGACUUUUCGUUCAGGAUCUGCGGACUCUAUAGCAGUUGAGUGUGCCCACGCCUAAGACUGGAUUUCUCGUAAAAAAAAAAAUUUGAAAUGAAAAAGACACGGAACCCUACUCUUUUCUUCUUCUUCUUUCUUUUCUUUUUCUUUCUUUCUUCUUUCUUCUUCCUUUUCUUUCUUUUUCUCCUUCUUCUUCUUCCUUUUUCUUGCUGUCUGCCGCCGCCCCACACCAGAGCCAAGGACUGCCGCCGCCCAUCGCGCCGCUGCCCGCCGCGACCACGCCCCCAGCAACCAGCCGCCCUCCUCCGUUUUAAGGGAAGUGUCUUUGCCCCAAUAUCUCUAUUUUGCUCUUUCUUUGCUUACAUUGAGGGCAAUGCAAGAUUUAGGUGUGGGGGGAGUAGUAUAUUGGCAUUUUAUUGAAAAAGUGCAAGUGUAGGCAUUUUUGUUGGAAUUUUUGUUUGACUUUGUCGAAUUUUGUCCAAUUUUUGCCUAUCUUUGUGCUUAUUUGUGAUUAUUCCUGAUAAACGAUGGUUAGAUGUCUCAAAAUUUUCUAUUGCUAAGAUUUUUCACUUUAAGGUGUCGAGUAUGACAUUGUUGAGUUUAAGGGUAUCUCUUUGGUGAAUAUUUGAGAUUUUGUGACUUUUGCACUUUUUGGUUAACUUUUCUAAGUAUUGUAAAUAUUUGUCUUGCUUUUUUUUUGUGCAAAUUGGUUCAACUAUUAAUCUUAGUUCUCCAUGUUUAAGAAAUGAAGCGGGUUUGUGUGGUAUUUAAUUUUAUUUUUAGUGCUUAUUUAUGAAUAGUAUUCAGCUAUACUCCGCUAGUAUCGUUGUCUAGUAACCGGGAGUUCUCACCACAAAUGUCGACUUUCGCGUCAAAAAGCGACGAUAGCUAUGAGUAUGUGGUUUUUAAGCGAUGAUGGCUGAGUAACCGGGCUCCUUCAUAUGGUCAAUGUCGGAGUUCGCGUCAAAACGCUUGAAUGGCUAAAAACUAAACGUUCCCCCUAAAAAAAAAUAAAAAAAAUAUCAUCAUUCAUGUGUGGGGAUAUUCUAGAAAAAAAAUAUGUGCUAAUAGUGAAAAAUAUGGAAGUGUUUGAAUGAAUUGUUAACCCGCUGAUCCCUGAAUUUUAAUGUUGAGAUUUUGCUUAAUAGUUGAACCAUUUGCUUAUGGAUGCUGGUUGAAUAUUUUAUAUUCUUAGAUUAGUUAGUCAUAAAUUGAAAGAAUCAUUGAUCUUGAAAGCUAGUUGGAGAGAUAUUUCUUGAAAAUUGCCACUAAUACUUAACAUGUGUUUUAAUUGUCUUUUGGCAAUAGAAGAUUCGAAUAAUACCAUUGUUUGAAUUUGAUUAUUUGAUUUGUUGUUCUCAUGCUUGAGGACAAGCAUGGUUUACGUGUGGGGGAAAUUGAUAGGUCAUUAUUUGUCGCUAAAUCUAUAAUUAUUCUUCCCUUGAUUUCAGCCAAAUAUUGCGUUAAUUGAUGGAUUCUACUUAUAUUUGGUUAAUGAUGCUAAAUUGUAUGAAAAAGAGCAAAACGUGACAAAAAUGGGCAAUCUUCUAAUUAAUUUGAUGGUGGCACGUUCGGGAUCGAUUUCCAAAUUCGAUUCAAACUCUGGGCAGCUUUAGAGGAAGAUUUGGAAGACUUGAAUUCUAAUUACUAGUCUUAUUGUUGAAUUAGGAAACUUGAAAUACUUUCUUUUGUGGUUUAUUUUGCUAUUUAGGAAACUAGUUCUUUUUGGGUAGUAUUUUUCCAUUAGGAAACUAAGGAGAAAAAGAAAGUCAGGUUCCGUGUGAUUAGGAGGAAGCCACCAACGCAUUUGGGGACUUCUUAUUAUGUUUGCGGGGUCGGCCGCAAAGUACAAUUUGGCAGAGCCUUUUGGCCUUUUGGCCAAUCUUUUGUUCUCUGCAGUUUUUCUCUUAUCAAACUCGAAGGCGGCUAUUAUUUUUAUUCUUGGAUGGCUGGUUCUCCAUUAAUGGAGAACUAGCUUCUCAAUUCUAGUCAAGGGGACAACUGAAGAUUUGGUUCAACAAUUACUGUGAGAUCUAAUUUAUUUUAAUUGCUUCCUUCAUUUAUUGGUAUUCAUAUGUUUCCUGCUUUUAACCGUUAUAGCUCGUGUGGAUGAUUGAUUAGUGCGCAAUAAUUAAUUAUUCAUAUAGGCUAUUUUGCUAAAUAGGGGUAAUUGAAUCCGUAAUUGUUCGUUAUCCCUAUCUCAGUAGCAACUGGCGUAAUUGGGUUUAUGUCAGGGGAACAUACGAUCUAAUUUAAACAAACCCUCGUAGCGUGUUUGUUAUUUGGGAUUGGGCCUUUCUAAUUCUUAAUGCAAGCUAGAAAUUAAAUCCUACGGUCGUACCUAGGGUUGUUUUUGGGUUAAAGAAAUAGUUAACGGUCGUACCUUAACUAUCGAGAAAUUAAGGAAGGGUUGGUUGUUUAGUGCGUGCGAGACAACUAUAACCAAUCUAUUAAAUAAAUGUUGGAAUUAUCUCUGAAUCGAUGAUCAGUACAUGAACCAUUUCUGAAGUGUACCCUUGGCUAGAGUUUCUCCAAUAAUUAUUUCUUUUAUUUAUUUUCUGCAUUUAAUUUAUUUAGUUAGCAUUUAAUCCAAAAAUCCCCCCAUACUUUGAACUCUAGAAGAAACUAAUUAUCCCCAAUCCCUGUGGAUUCGACCCUACUUAUCACUAUCUACAGAAAUUAUAUUUUAUUUAAGCAGGUUUUUAUUAUUGCACAGGUUCGGCACCUGUCAAUUUUUGGCGCCGUUGCCGGGGAACUGGUGUCAGUUUAAUUUGUUUCUUUUUGAGUUCACCUUGUUUUCAUUUUUAAUUUAUUUCUCUUAUUUUUUUAUUAUAUAGUUUAUGGCUUCUAACACUCCGUAUUUUGGUGAUUUACUGGAUUUUGUUUCCGAGGAAGGCAAUGAGACUGAUUUUUUUUCUAAGUUUCCAUAUUUAGAGGCACUAAACUCUAUUAGAGAAAGAAUGGCUGCUGCAACCUGUGAAAUUUGUUAUGCCAGGGAUCAUUCGACCGGUAUGUGCCCCGAAUAUCAAGAUAAUCUGAGUGUCUCACUCAAUAAUUAUGGAGAUUUUUCACCAUGGUCUCAAACGUGGUAUAACCCUAAUCCAAACGGGUAUGAUCAAGGAUGGUGGGAUAACUCCAGUUAUAAUUAUACAACAGGGCCAAUGAAUUUUCAGCAGUAUGAGUCUCAAGAACCGUCAUCCAUGUCAGAUAUGUCUCUUGAAGAAAUAGUUGAAUUAAUAGCUACUAACACAUAUCAAAUUCAACAGGAGGUACAUCAACUUCAACAGGAGACACAAAGGAUGAGCAAAGAGAUGAAAGAAGCAAGGCUUGAAUGUGCAUUUAAAACGAGCAAAUUGAUUUCUCCAGUUUAUGAAGAAUUGCCCUCACCAACUAUUAUAGACCAUGAGGAAGAUGAGAGUGCAAUUAUUCUGACAAAUGACAUGGUACUGCAAGAGUCUCAAGAAGAAGAAUCUAAAGAUGUAGUUGAAAAGAAAGUUGAGGAGCAAGAAUUGAGACCCCAACAUCAAAUGGUUCAAGUGAAUGAAUCCAGUGAACAAUCUCCAAAUGCGGUGACAUCUCCUCCAUUCCUUGAUCAAUAUUUUCCUGACUCUUAUUCUUUAAUUCCUGUUAGUGAGAUUGAUUUUAUUAUACCAGACAAUUUUGAAUUUCAUGCCAGGAAUAAAUUAAGAGUCAUGAUGGCAAAAUAUCUCGAACCAAUAAGUGCUCUUGAUGGAGGAGUGAGUGAAGAUUUAAGAUCAUCACUUGUUUGUUUGGUGCCAUUUACUAGUCCAUGGAAGCCCGUAGCUCGUGUGCCCAAGAAUCACUCUAUUUACGAGGGCUAUCAGGAUUACAUAGAAGAUGAAGUACUGAAACGAGCCACAAGAUUUUAUCCUCCAUGAAUACACAUGAAAAUGUCUAGUCAAAGACAUUAAAGAAAGGCGCUACUUGGGAGGCAACCCAAGACUAUUUGUUUCAGUUUUCAUGCAUUUUUGAAGUUUUAGUUAAGUGUUAGUGUCAAUUAAUAGUUUGAUGUUUGGUGGCAGGAAAUUAGCAGUUAGACGUGCCCACGCCAGGUGGUCACGCCUGAGGGGAAGAACUUUUCGUUCAAGAUCUGCGGACUCUAUAGCAGUUAGACGUGCCCACGCCAGGUGGUCACGCCUGAGGGGAAGGACUUUUCGUUCAGGAUCUGCGGACUCUAUAGCAGUUGAGUGUGCCCACGCCUAAGACUGGAUUUCUCGUAAAAAAAAAAAUUUGAAAUGAAAAAGACACGGAACCCUACUCUUUUCUUCUUCUUCUUUCUUUUCUUUUUCUUUCUUUCUUCUUUCUUCUUCCUUUUCUUUCUUUUUCUCCUUCUUCUUCUUCCUUUUUCUUGCUGUCUGCCGCCGCCCCACACCAGAGCCAAGGACUGCCGCCGCCCAUCGCGCCGCUGCCCGCCGCGACCACGCCCCCAGCAACCAGCCGCCCUCCUCCGUUUUAAGGGAAGUGUCUUUGCCCCAAUAUCUCUAUUUUGCUCUUUCUUUGCUUACAUUGAGGGCAAUGCAAGAUUUAGGUGUGGGGGGAGUAGUAUAUUGGCAUUUUAUUGAAAAAGUGCAAGUGUAGGCAUUUUUGUUGGAAUUUUUGUUUGACUUUGUCGAAUUUUGUCCAAUUUUUGCCUAUCUUUGUGCUUAUUUGUGAUUAUUCCUGAUAAACGAUGGUUAGAUGUCUCAAAAUUUUCUAUUGCUAAGAUUUUUCACUUUAAGGUGUCGAGUAUGACAUUGUUGAGUUUAAGGGUAUCUCUUUGGUGAAUAUUUGAGAUUUUGUGACUUUUGCACUUUUUGGUUAACUUUUCUAAGUAUUGUAAAUAUUUGUCUUGCUUUUUUUUUGUGCAAAUUGGUUCAACUAUUAAUCUUAGUUCUCCAUGUUUAAGAAAUGAAGCGGGUUUGUGUGGUAUUUAAUUUUAUUUUUAGUGCUUAUUUAUGAAUAGUAUUCAGCUAUACUCCGCUAGUAUCGUUGUCUAGUAACCGGGAGUUCUCACCACAAAUGUCGACUUUCGCGUCAAAAAGCGACGAUAGCUAUGAGUAUGUGGUUUUUAAGCGAUGAUGGCUGAGUAACCGGGCUCCUUCAUAUGGUCAAUGUCGGAGUUCGCGUCAAAACGCUUGAAUGGCUAAAAACUAAACGUUCCCCCUAAAAAAAAAUAAAAAAAAUAUCAUCAUUCAUGUGUGGGGAUAUUCUAGAAAAAAAAUAUGUGCUAAUAGUGAAAAAUAUGGAAGUGUUUGAAUGAAUUGUUAACCCGCUGAUCCCUGAAUUUUAAUGUUGAGAUUUUGCUUAAUAGUUGAACCAUUUGCUUAUGGAUGCUGGUUGAAUAUUUUAUAUUUUUCGAUUAGUUAGUCAUAAAUUGAAAGAAUCAUUGAUCUUGAAAGCUAGUUUGAGAGAUAUUUCUUGAAAAUUGCCACUAAUACUUAACAUGUGUUUUAAUUGUCUUUUGGCAAUAGAAGAUUCGAAUAAUACCAUUGUUUGAAUUUGAUUAUUUGAUUUGUUGUUCUCAUGCUUGAGGACAAGCAUGGUUUAGGUGUGGGGGAAAUUGAUAGAUCAUUAUUUGUCGCUAAAUCUAUAAUUAUUCUUCCCUUGAUUUUAGCCAAAUAUUGCGUUAAUUGAUGGAUUCUACUUAUAUUUGGUUAAUGAUGCUAAAUUGUAGGAAAAAGAGCAAAACGUGACAAAAAUGGGCAAUCUUCUAAUUAAUUUGAUGGUGGCACGUUCGGGAUCGAUUUCCAAAUUCGAUUCAAACUCUGGCAGCUUUAGAGGAAGAUUUGGAAGACUUGAAUUCUAAUUACUAGUCUUAUUGUUGAAUUAGGAAACUUGAAAUACUUUCUUUUGUGGUUUAUUUUGCUAUUUAGGAAACUAGUUCUUUUUGGGUAGUAUUUUUCCAUUAGGAAACUAAGGAGAAAAAGAAAGUCAGGUUCCGUGUGAUUAGGAGGAAGCCACCAACGCAUUUGGGGACUUCUUAUUAUGUUUGCGGGGUCGGCCGCAAAGUACAAUUUGGCAGAGCCUUUUGGCCUUUUGGCCAAUCUUUUGUUCUCUGCAGUUUUUCUCUUAUCAAACUCGAAGGCGGCUAUUAUUUUUAUUCUUGGAUGGCUGGUUCUCCAUUAAUGGAGAACUAGCUUCUCAAUUCUAGUCAAGGGGACAACUGAAGAUUUGGUUCAACAAUUACUGUGAGAUCUAAUUUAUUUUAAUUGCUUCCUUCAUUUAUUGGUAUUCAUAUGUUUCCUGCUUUUAACCGUUAUAGCUCGUGUGGAUGAUUGAUUAGUGCGCAAUAAUUAAUUAUUCAUAUAGGCUAUUUUGCUAAAUAGGGGUAAUUGAAUCCGUAAUUGUUCGUUAUCCCUAUCUCAGUAGCAACUGGCAUAAUUGGGUUUAUGUCAGGGGAACAUACGAUCUAAUUUAAAAAACCCUCGUAGCGUGUUUGUUAGUUGGGAUUGGGUCUUUCUAAUUCUUAAUGCAAGUUAGAAAUUAAAUCCUACGGUCGUACCUAGGGUUGUUUUUGGGUUAGAAAAAUAGUUAACGGUCGUACCUUAACUAUCGAGAAAUUAAGGAAGGGUUGGUUGUUUAGCGCGUGCGAGACAACUAUAACCAAUCUAUUAAAUAAAUGUUGGAAUUAUCUCUGAAUCGAUGAUCAGUACAUGAACCAUUUCUGAAGUGUACCCUUGGCUAGAGUUUCUCUAAUAAUUAUUUCUUUUAUUUAUUUUCUGCAUUUAAUUUAUUUAGUUAGCAUUUAAUCCAAAAAUCCCCCCAUACUUUGAACUCUAGAAGAAACUAAUUAUCCCCACUCCCUGUGGAUUCGACCCUGCUUAUCACUAUCUACAGAAAUUAUAUUUUAUUUAAGCAGGUUUUUAUUAUUGCACAGGUUCGGCACCUGUCAAUAAGUAUUGAUCCAAAUCCUGUGCUGCAGGCUCCAAAUAAGCAGGAGCUAAUAUGUUCAGCAAACUUGAGAAGCGAAAAGAAAAAACUAUUGAAGAUAAAAAGCUGACAUUGAAGACUAAUAGUAUUUGGAUUUAUUUCGAAUCCAAAUGUGUUGUAUGAUGGUACCAAUAGGAGCAAUUUGAUUGAUUGGAUUGGAAUUAAUUUGAAAGGCAAAUCUCUUGCUAAAACAAGGAAGAGUUUUUGUUGGCAGCUGCUAUUUAGUGCAUUUGGAAAGAAAGGAAUGCAACACAAUUUAGGAAUGAAGGUAGGGAUACAAAAGUUAUUCAACAAGAGAUCCUUGAGGUAAUUAGAUGUAGAUUGUCCUCUUUCAAGAAAGUCAAGAAGACGGAUACUAAUAGAUGAUUUGUUUUCACUUGCAAGAGUAGUUAGGGAUUCCAUAAUUUUAGACACAUUUUUAUUGUUAUUUUGCUACUUUUAUUACAUGUUAGUAGAGUAAAUUUAAGUGCUUUAUUUGUGAUCAACUAAACAAUAGAGGAGUUCGAAAACUAUUAGUAAUUGACAAUCUUUUCUGUAGGAUUGACACCUAAUAUCCUAUACUCAAUAAAUCAUCUGACAUUCAAGUCGGGGGUUAGAGUAAACUUGUCAACCGAUUAUUAUCGAUUUAUUUGAGUUUGAAUUAUCAAAAAGUUGAAGACACGUGGCAGUUGUAUAAAGAAGGGACAGAGGGGAUAGAGACUAAUUUAGGGAUAGAAGAUUCGAAGCCAAAAGUAGGAUACUUUAGUUUAUAUAUUAAAAUAACACUUGAGUGAGAUAUACCCUAAAAUACAUUAUAUUUUCAUCCUAAAAUAAAAAAGUUCUCAAAAAUAUCAUUGAGAUUUUGUAAGAUCUUGGCAAGCUAACUUCGUUACUGUGUCAGAAAGACUUAGUUACUUACUUAGCAAUUAGUUGGAGUUAAUUGAAUGCUGACUCCGCAAGACAAGUUAGCUACUUUGUUGUAAGUUAGUUACAAUUAGUUACUGUUAAUUGUUGACAGCCAGGUAGAGUAGUAAGUUACAAUUGGUUUGAAACGGGGGUUGGACGAAUAAAUGAUGCAUCAAUACUGGGGUUACUGAGUGAGGAAGUGGGUCUAAAUUGCUGUUACAAUUUCUCAAGUUCUUCUUGCGCAAUUUUCUCUCAGUUCACUAUCUUUUCCUCUGGUGUCUGAAUUGUAUUGUCCAUUUCAAUUUACAAAGUCAAGAGCUAAAGUAGUUUCUGUAAGGCCUGGUCCAAGGAAAUUGAUGAAAACGUUUUUUGACAAUUCCGAAAGACAAUAAUAAAGCAAAAAUAAAUAUAGAAGAGAGACAUAAGAAUUACGUGGCUCGGCCAACAAACCUACAUUCGCAGGCAAAAGAGUAGCAAAUUCACAAUAAAAAAGAGAGUACAAAAGAAAGAGUACAAAACUCUAGAAAAGAAAUCCUAGGUCUAAAAGCACUAAAUUCUAGAAACACAAGAGAAUCUAAAUAUAACAAAAGACUCAACAACCUAAGAGGUCCAAAUAGUCCACUGACUAGCUCUCUUUGUUUGGUACCUUUCAAAAACUUCUCUCUUGAAUUGGGGCUUAGGGUCCUUGACUGGUGCUUUGAUGCAUUUGACCUCAUUUAAACCCAUCAUAUUUAUAACCACUAAAAGGAGAGAUAUCUUUGUAAAAUUUUCGAUAUGUUUUACAAAAACAAACACAACAAAUCUCUACCUUAUAUAUCCAACAUCGACAAGUAGCAACCGUGCUUCACCUUCUGCACGAAAGUUUCAACGGAUCCUAAUAGACCAAGAUCAUAAAAGCCACAACGAAUUCUAAUGGGUCAAAGCCACAAAAGCCCCAACAAAUUCCAAUCAGCCAAAAUCACAAAAGUCUCAGCAGAUCUCAACAAGUUGAAAUCACGAAUAUAGUAAUCUUGUUUCAUAUUUUCCACAAAACCCUCAAUGGACUUUUUCUAAAUUCCCUGUAGCACUAAAUUAACUCCAGCAUGAACUAAAAAUAGCCCCCAUCUUGAGUUGUCAUCCGGAAAAUGGAUGGAAGUGUUUUUGGCAAUUUCAAAAUACAAUAAUAAAGCAAAAAUAAAUAUAACAGACAAGAAUUAUGUUGUUUGGACAAUUGAACUAUGUCACAAGUGAAAGAGCAGCAAAUUCACUAUAAAGAAGAGAGCACAAAAUCAUAAGUUUUAGAGUACCAAAUACUAAAACACAAAAAAGCUUAAAUAAAACAAAAGGCUCAACAACCUAAAAGGUCCAAAUAAGCUACUAACUAGCUGUUUUGGGUGGCACUUCUCAAAAAUCUCUCUUAAAUUGGGGCCUAGGGCCUCCUGAAUCUCUGUUGAUAUACUAAGGCCCAGCUGUUCGAUAAUUUAAUUUAGUACUUAAAUUUAAUGGAUUCAAAUUUUAACAUAUUUAGAUGCGUUUGAUAGCUAAAAAUUGAACAUCUGAAUUAAUUAAGUAGCACUGAAUUUUCUAGACAAAACUUGUUCCAAAAAAUAAGCGGUAAGUUAUUCACUUUUCACUGAUUGUGAUAUACACUCAAAUAUAUUAAAUUUAAUAUUUAAUAAUUUAAUAGAUUCAAACUUCAGAUUUCAAAUUUCAGACUUCAAUUUUAUCAAACGCAACCUAACUAAUUGUCCAAGCUUGCUAUUAGUAUCUUUUCACAAGAAAGUCCAACAAAGAGUUUGGUUAGUGGAGACUUGCUAGCAAUAAUAUCUUUUCUUUUGCAUUUUUAGAUCAUCUUAAGCUGGACGUUCAGUCCCAGUAGAGUUUGGAUUUGGUUUGGUCAAUUAGCUGUAUUUUCUUGUUGAGGGCAGAAGACUAGAAGAGUUGUCCAAAUUAGCUAGAGGAUUUGGUUUAUUUUGUUGUGUUGCCUCGCUAAGCCGAGAAAAAACACAAUUGGAGAAAGAAAACAAAUCACAAAAAGUUUUCCAAUAUGACACAAAUAAACAUCUAAACUACCUUUUCUUGCCUUUUCUAUCUUAUCAUGUCUUCCAUUUGCAACAAGUUCACUUUAUUACAACCCAUGAAUCCUCCUGUUUCCUGAUUUCAACCCAUUUCUUUUGUUUUGGUACUCUGGUAGAAUGCAAACUUAGGUGGCGUUUGGUAAAAGGGUUUCGGAAUGGGGAAUUGGAAUAAACUCCAUGAAUUAUGUUUGGUUCACUACUAUCGGAAUUGAAAUUUUGGAAUGAUGUCUAAAAAUUUAGCAUUCCACCAUUUCUUAGUAAGUUGGUGGGUUCUGUCCAAAACCCAAGUGUGAUUCCCAAAUCUUAUAAUUGCAUAAUAUUCAGUAUAAUUAAUAUUUAUAUUUAUAUUUAUAUUUAUAUUAUAAUAUAUACAUAUAUAAUAUGUUAUAAUUAUAAUAUUAGUAUAUUAUAUAAAUAUAUAUUUUAACUAUUUAGUUAAACAUAAUUAUAUUUAAAUAAUAUAUAUUAUAAAUUUAUUAAUAUUAUAUAAUAAUAUAUUUAUAAUAUAUAUGUAUAUUUAUAAAUGUAUAUUAUAUGUGCAUAUAAUUAUAAUAUAUACAUGUACAUAAUAUUAAUAAAUUAUAUAAUUAUAUUUAUAUUUAUUAUUUUAAAUAUAAUAAUAUAUAAUAAUAACUAUAUUUAAUAUGUAAUAUACAUUAUAUUUAUAUAAAAUAUUAGUACAAUUAAUAUUUAUAUAUUAUAUAUUUAUAUUAUAAAUUUUGUAUAAUUAUAAUUAAUUAUACAUAUAAUAUUUAAUUUAAUUAGUUACAAACUUAUAAUAAUGAUAUUAUUAUAUUAUAUAAUUAUAUAUUAUAAUUAUUUAGUUAAAUAUAAUUAUAUUUAUAUAAUAUAUAUUAUAAACUUAUUAAUAUUAUAUAAUAAUAUAUUUAUGAUAUAUAUGUAUAUUUAUAAAUGAAUAUUAUAUGUGCAUAUAAUUAUAAUAUAUACAUGUAUAUAAAUAUAUAAUAUUAAUAAAUUAUAUAAUUAUAAUAAUUAUUAUUAUUUCAAAUAUAAUAAUAUAUAAUAAUAACUAUAUUUAAUAUGUAAUAUAUAUUAUAUUUAUAUAAAAUAUUAGUAUAAUUAAUAUUAGUAUAUAUUAUAUAAUUAUAAUUAUAUAUUUAUAUUAUAACAUUUGUAUAUUUAUAUUUAAUUAUAUAUAUAAUAUUUAAUUUAAUUAGUUACAAACUUACAAUAAUAAUAUUAUUAGUUAUAUGUAUUAUAUAAUAUAUAUUAAUCUAUGUAAUAUAAUUGAUAUUAUUAAUUAUACAUUUUCACUAAUAGAAAUUAUUACUUAGUUAUACUAAAUUUCUUAUAUCCCAUUUACAAAGAGCCAACGAACCAAACAUCAACUAUAGUAAUGAUAUACAUUAUUGGCACUGAACCAAACAAAUGUAUUAUAAUGAUUGAUUCCAUUCCAAAUCCAGAAUAAACGAUUCCGAAUCCGAAUUUGAUUCCAACAUGUGAAUCAAACGCCACCUUAAAUGUAUGCAGCAAGAUGUAUUAUUGCUUUUUGAUAUAUAUUAUAGGAAAAAGGGGAAAAGAAAGUGGAACGAAGAGAUGAAGAAAUAGGAUAGAGGACUCAAAUUUAUGACCAAAUGGGUGAGAAUCCAAAGUUUGACAAAUUUUUAUCAGAUGUGGUCAUAAAGUUAACAACACCAGGAUGAUCUAUACCUUUCUUUGUUCCUUUGAUAAAGUAACAUCCAUUGUCUUGGUUGCUGGAAACUGUGUUCUAACUUAUUUAGCCUUUUUGUUUUUUUUUUGCCCAAAGCACUACUGCACUUUAUCUUUUGUGGAAAGAGAACAAGAUAGCCUAUAAACAAGAUGACAACUUGAAUUUUCUUGUUCUUUUCCUCUAUUCCAAAAGGAGUAUUCAAAUAUGCCAAUAUAGCUGAGCGUGAACUAGUUGAUUUGGUGGUUACUGCUCAUGGGAAUAUUAUAUCUAACCCGAAAAAAAAUAAGGUAAAAGGAAAAAAAACCUGUGUAACAAGUAGGCAUAACCUUGUUGAUUCUCAGCUAGAACAAUCCUAUUAUUUCUAAGAUUGGAUAAUCUCUCUGUUUGCCUACAAAUUUUUAAGUAUUUUAAAAACAAUACAGUUUUUACAAAAAAGGAGCAAAUGGACGGUUAAAACUUCUAUCACGGUUGAAACUCCUUUAGAUUUUCACUUAGAAUGAGCCAAAUUAAAUGAACAUCCUAACACAGCAAAUUUGGUAAUUGAAAUACAUAUUUUCUUUUUUUUUAAAAUUUUAACUUCACAAAUAAAUGAAAGAGAUAAUAGGAAAGAAAAGGUCACAUUGAGUGCCUAAAUCUCUGAAAAAUGUAAGGACGUAUUUAGUAUUGGAUUUCCUUUAACAAAAAAUAAAUAAAAGAAUGAAAACUUUUGUUACAAAUAGCUAUAUAGAUAAAAAUACCAAUGUUUUGCUCGAAAUCAAUUGCUUUUCUAUAAAGAAAUUUAUGUCAACAACAUUCUAUUACUAAAUAUAACCUCAAGGUUAAUUUUUUCGCUAUCUGUUGUUUAGUUCUACAAAGUUUAAGCAAUUAGAAAAUUGAGCUCUUCCUAAAGGCAUGAGUUUAAUUUCUUUAUUAUGCCUUCACAGUAUGGGGCUCCAGGAAUCACAUUACUUGGUGUAAUUGGGUUCCAAGGUAGGCAAUUGAUUUUGAGUUCUCACGUUGAUCUAGCAUGGCAAGAAAUUUUCUUCCAAAUGUAGCUUCAGUAAACUUCUAAAAUCCAUCCACAAGAACUCAUUUUUGAUAAAUGACAAUUAUGCAAAAUUCGAAUUUGAAAUUCAAUUUUUGCACAUGUAUCAUAGAUCUAACAAUGAUAGGUUAUACACUGUCAGUAUAUAUAAGAUUUACUUUUUUGUAUAAUAUUUAAUUUUAAUCCCUUUCCCCAAGUAUUUCCUUCAUUCAUAAUUUUAUUCAUUACAAGUUUUUAGAUAUUCUCCUUUAGUUUCCAAAAGUUUCUCCAGGAGAGUUUUCUUAUCGCAACAAUUAAUCAUGUUGAACAAGAAAUUGAUACGCUAAUCUUCUUUAGUUUCUAAAAAUAUUGUCAAAGAAAUUUGUUAAACUUCUUUCCGAACAAUUUCUUUUUACACUAUUGCUCAAGAAAAUUCAGGAAAUCUGCUUACAUGCUCUAAAAUUAAUUGAUUGCCAAAAGAAAUUUCUAAAACUUCUUUACAAACAAUUUCUUUCCAACUAUUGCUCAAGAAAGUUAACAAAAUCUGAGUUCAAUAUAUUUUAUAUUUCUAAAGUAAAAACCCAUUCUUGCUGUUACAUUGAAUUACAUAAAUAGCCACAAUUAUCAUAAAUAAUGCAAAGCUAAAAAAACAACAUUGCAUACCGCUAAUUUAAACUCUUGCUCAUAAUAUAUUAUAGAUAAGCUGCACCUCUAUAAGCAUUUAAUUAGAGCUACACGCUAGCCACAAUAUUGUAGCAGGAAUACUUGAAAACUUGAAAGCCAUAAGCCAGCUAUUGUUUAAGAACGAUAUUAAAAUUAAUGCAGAAACCAUUACAUGAAUGUUGUAAUCUAAUUGCUGAUGUGACUGCAAAUUUGAGCUCGAAAUGGGAGGAAUCUUACUUCAAUUUGCUCAUAAAACAAGGGACCAAAUUGGGACACGCAUGGCCACCAAUAAAGCACCAGAUUCGGGAAUCUUUGUUUGGCGCUACACUGAAGUUGCUGGGAAAGUAUGGUCGAACUUAUUCAACUUUUUAUUACUUCUGCAGUUCUGAGAAAGUUUUGGAUCCUGAACUGAUUUUAUUGAGCAGCUGCUAAACCAGAUAAAAAUCUAAUAUCAGAGUGAAAAGAAGAUAUUAUAAUGGAGAUCCCCUCAGCAGUAACGCCAACUGCUUUGAUUUUGCUUUAUAUGAUUAUCUGCACUCGCAUCACAUCUCCUCCAGCACUAGCACUAGUUGCUUUGAUCUUGCUUUGGAUUUUCUAACCAAGCUUGAAAAUGGGCUCCUAUUUGGCUGCGACUUCAAGGACCUGAAGAAGCGGGUAAGAUUAAUGAAAACCUGUUUUCUGUAUGUCAAAAAGUGUAGGAGGAGGAGGAACCACGAAGCGCUUUUGGAGCAUGAUCGCGAGGACAGGUGUAAUACUAUGUCUGAAAGUUUGAGACGUAGAAUUAUUUGCUUCAGAAUUCAAGAUGUGGCUAUCAGGAUGAUUCAAGAACUUCAGCCUGUUUAUUUUAAUUUUUAUUCAAUCUGGUUAUCACUUAGAUUUUGACAUCAUUCGAAGUGCGGUUACCAGAUCCGGGGAAAAGAUCAAACCGUUUCUUGAGACAGAUCUCAAGAAAUCAUGCACCGCCAUCUUCAUCGACUAUUACCCACCAGGAGAUCCACGACUAGUUAUGGAUCUUAUUAUGUGCGUUUUAGGGAAUAUCAUUUGGGUUUGCCGUGCUUGGGAGCUAAGGGAGACAAUUAAAUAUAGGCUAAAACUCUUAAGGAAUCUCAUUGGCUUUGUUACAAUGCAAGGUCUUGAAUGUUCGCAACUGACAGAUCUCUUGACUUACACUGUAGUUGCAGCUGGACGCCUGAUUUCUAUAUGUAUGUUUGACUAUGAUGAACAAGUGGCCAAUCGAAUGGAAUCUGAAAUUUAUCAGCUGAUGCACGAGAAGAUCAAUCUUCUUGAUCUCCAAGUCCGAGAAACUUUUGUCCAUGUCCUGACAGCUUCAAAGAAAC